GAUCCUUUGGGGGAACCAAAUCAAUGGAUCUAUCCCAUUCGAAAUUGGAUAUUUGAGAAAUUUGACUUAUUUGAGUCUCUCCAAGAAUAGAAUUGUUGGUCGAAUCCCUUCUGCUUUGGGUCAAUUAACCAGUCUCCAAUCUCUGAUCCUUUCGGGGAACCAAAUCAAUGGAUCUAUCCCAUUAGAAAUUGGAUAUUUGAGAAAUUUGACUGAUUUGAGUCUCUCCAGCAAUGGAAUUGUUGGUCCAAUCCCUUCUGCUUUGGGUCAAUUAACCAGUCUCCAAUAUCUGCUCCUUUCGGGGAACCAAAUCAAUGGAUCUAUCCCAUUAGAAAUUGGAUAUUUGAGAAAUUUGACUUAUUUGAGUCUCUACAACAAUAGACUUGUCGAUUCAAUACCCAUUACUCUGUACCAAUUAACCAAUUUGGAAAUUUUGGACGUUGAUAAUAACCAACUUCAAGGUUCUAUUCCCCAAGAAAUUUGUAAUCUAGCAAAUUUAACUUCAUUGUACCUCUCCCAAAACAAAUUGACUGGUUCAAUCCCUUCUUGUGUUGGUAGUUUAUCAAAGAUGCUGUACUUAAGCCUUGGUUCUAAUCUAUUAAAAGGUCCUAUUCCCCAAGAAAUUUGUAAUCUAGCAAAUUUGACUUCAUUGUACCUCUCCCAAAACAAAUUGACUGGUUCAAUCCCUUCUUGUAUUGGUAGUUUAUCAAAGAUGCUGGACUUAAGCCUUGGUUCUAAUCUAUUAAAAGGUUCUAUCCCAAAAGAAAUUGGCAAGCUUUUUGAUCUAUCAUAUCUAAACCUUAGCUUCAACCAACUCUCAGGUCCUAUCCCUAUCUUGUCUGCCACUAAGCUUCGCAUUAUCGAUGCUGGAAAUGGUUGUAACAAGAUUUCUCCCGAUCCAUUUGAAGGCAAUAGUGAUUUAUCACCCUAUAUGUGUCCUACUCCACUAACCAAAAUAGCCAACAGCAGCAGAAUUCCUUACUAUAUCAAAACAUUCCUCCCUAUUGCGAUCUUAUUCACAUUCUCCAUUUUAGGAUGUUUGCUAUUUUCACGGUUUAAGCUCAAGAAUAACCAUGUCAGCGUACAACCAACCAAGAAUGGGGAUUUGUGUUCCAUAUGGAACUAUGAUGGAAAGAUAGCAUACGAGGAUAUCGUUGCAGCAACAGAGGAUUUCGACUUCCGAUACUGUAUUGGAGUUGGUGGUUAUGGUAGUGUUUACAAAGCAAAACUCCCUUGUGGUAAAGUAGUUGCUUUGAAGAAACUUCAUCAUUUAGAAGCCGAAAAUCCAACUUUUGACAAGAGUUUCAGGAACGAGAUCAAGUUUCUAUCAGAAAUACGACAUCGAAACAUAGUGAAGCUUCACGGGUUUUGUCUACACCGACGAUCCAUGUUUUUGAUCUAUGAAUACAUGGAAAAAGGGAGUUUGUUCUGCAACCUAAGGGAUGAAGUGAACGCUGUGGACAUGGAUUGGACGAAAAGAGUAGAGAUCAUCAAAGGCAUAGCACAUGCUUUGUCUUACUUGCACCAUGAUUGCUGCCCUCCGAUAGUUCAUCGAGACAUAUCAAGUAACAAUGUUCUUUUAAACUCAAGUUUUGAGGCCUUUGUGGCCGACUUUGGAACAGCUAGAAUGUUGGAUCUUGAUUCAUCUUAUCAGACCAUUAUUGUCGGAACUUGUGGCUACGUAGCUCCAGGUGGCGUUUUCUUUUUUACUUGAUUUACUGACCUUUUCUCUGAACAUAUAGUUGAAUUUCUUCUUACUAAUUUGUGUAGGUAGAACUUGCUUAUACAAUGAUUGUCACCGAAAAAUGCGAUGUUUAUAGUUUUGGAGUGAUAGCACUGGAAACAUUAAUGGGAAAGCAUCCUGAAGAAGUGUUAUCAUGGUUGUCAUCACCAACUUCUUUGGUAAACAUGAAGCUGGUUGAUGUGUUAGACAACCGUUUACCACUUCCAACAAGUCAACUAGUUACACAAAAUCUUGUUCAUGUUGAUACACUGGCAUUCGCUUGCUUAAAUCCACAAACGAAGUCCCGACCAACAAUGAAGGAAGUGUCUGAAUGGUUCCUUUCUCGCCAUACAUCCUUGGGAAUUCCUCUUUGGAUGAUCUCUUUGUUACAACUCAUGAACCGUGAAAUGCAUAUUAAAGGCAAAACUAAAACUUGUGAUGUUUAAAGUCCAUGCGCUUGUUGAUUAGAUAUUGUUUAUCAUGCUCUGAUAAUUUGUUUGUAAACCAUCUCUGGUUUUAUAUAUGAUGGAAUGAAUUGCAAUGUUUAAUAAACCCGUUUAUUCGGUUGCUUUAGAAGACAUAAAUUCUACAAUUUGAUCCAAAUAUUAAGACAUCAUCGCUGGCUGCUUCCUUGAAUUUUGUGCUUCUUUCAAACCAACUCAAAGAUAAAUAACAUAAAAGUAAAUUAAGGGUGAAUCAAAGCAACAAAAUGCAAUCAAUACAUACAUCAAGAAUUCACCUCAGCUAUCUAUAAUUCAUGAAACAAUCUCUCAACUUAUAAAAUGUAAGUGAGACUCCACAGACCUGAUAUCCAAACUCAAAAGCAAUAAAAGGCGUCAUCAGAACCCUGGCAAGUGAAGACGACAAUCUUUUCAAGCAAGGUAGCGAUACAACUUCCUGUCACCUUUAUCCCUCUCCAGGAACUCCCGCUCAAUAAGGGACUCGAUCCGUUUCUUAAUUACAACGGGGUUGGGCAGAAACCGUGACUGUAGCUGUUUUGUGACCUCAGCAACAAUGUUGUUAUGAUCCAGCACACGCCUAGCUUUCAUGAUCCUCACGAUUGCUGCCUCAAUUUGCGGUUUUCGAUCUUCCUCCACUCUCUGCCUAGUUUCUUGAUUUUCAGGUUCCGACUCCCUUUGCGCAGCCACAGUGCCUAUCUUGACCUUGAAGAACUUGCUUGUAUACUUGUCAUUGAAAAGAAAGGUAUCAGUGUCUACUAUGUCCUUGCUCAUAGGUUCUUUCCGAAGCACAUUUUUUCCCUUAACACAGGCAAGAGACUGCAAGCACCUUUUCAAGUCAAAGGUAGGAAUCUCGGUCACCUGCUCAAUCUCCUUAUAGCUUAGUCGAUCAGCAUCGUUGAAGAGCAUAAGGACACACAUCUGGUAUGUGGAAACAUUCAGUUCAUGCUUCUGUCCCUUACCAAAGGUUGCCUUCAAAUCAGCUGUCCCCAUGUUAGUUUGCCAAGACAAUCUCCGUCCGGUAUGGGUACCUAGGUAAUAAUUACGGAAUUUCUCACAUAUUCCCAGAAUUUCAGCAGGAAGUUUGCAUGUAGUAAUAGGUUGAGUUGGCCAAGAUCCAGUUGUCAGAACCUGGACAGAAAGCAUGGGACCAUCCCCUAUAUCCGAACCAUGACUUGCAUGGAAACCUUGCAUCGUAUCUUGUGAUGUCUUCAUAUCUGUGAACAUACCCUCCAACUUUGAGGUGAAUUGAUACCCACACUCUGUUUUGAGCUUAACAAUCAAACUUCUUUCAGCAUCAUCAGAGACGGACUUCCCUGAAAGAAGCCUUUUGGCCAAGUGUUGUUUGUAGUACUUCUCGAAAACAUCUUUCUCUUGAAGGUAACGGAAGAGCAUCAUCACCUUGUCGAGUAACAAUUCCACAUCCUCUUCAGUAACCCCCCUCAAACCUUUUCGAAGCUUAUCAUCAACAAACAAAGAGAUGAACUCUGGAGACCGAGAAUUCAGAUUGAUGAAAUAUUCAAACGAGGAAUUUAAUGCAUUUUGAAAAGUCUUGUCAUUUCUAAAUGCUGAAGUGAUAAUCUUGUCGUAUUUGUCCUUUAAAUCCAACAGAUGUUGCACAAAAUCGACAGGAUCCUUCAGCCUUUCGGGAUCAGUGAGUAACUGCUUACCAGUAUCACGAAUGUAUGAAGUCAUGACAUCUCUGAUUAAAACAAGCCCAUUGGAUACUCGACGAAACAAGUAAUACAUCCUUCCUAAGUCCUCAUAUUUUUCAUCGACAAUCAUAUUAAUCAACCCCGAGUUCUCCAUUUGCACAAGCCUGUGCAUAUGACUUUCAAUCAUCUCCGUUUCUACCACAUUUGUUAUCUUGACUUCACUUCUGGUGUCCAAGUAAUGUGAGACUCUCUCUAUUUCUUCAUUUAGGCGUCUCUCGGCUUUCUUUAGAUACUCCCCACAAUCACAUUACAGUCAUCUUCUAACCCACAAUCAUUUGUGCUAUGAGCUUUUGGGCACUAUUCCGGAUAAAAUGGACGGAGGCAAGAUCGAGAUGGGCUAGUUGCGAGACACACUCCUGGAUCCGGAUGAAGAUUCAACCGAAAUAGAAAGAAUCCGAUAUGCUCGGGCAUACAUUCUUCAGUUAAUUGGAGGUUAUCUAAUGAUAGACUUGUCACGGAGCCGCGUACAUCUAAUAUGGCUGCUGAAACUCGUUGAUUUUAGAGCAGCUGGUGAAUUCAGUUGGGGGUCUACCGUCUUGGCCACAUUAUAUCGGGAGAUGUGCGGGGCGACGUGACCGAGGAGAGUAAAAAUCAGAGGUUGCCUGUCACUACUGCAAUCAUGGGCACGGUUUCGCUUUCCAUUUUUAUGUCCUCGAGUGGACCACCCAUAUACAUUCCCAUUCAUAACGAGGUAAAUUUUAUAUUAGAUUUUACAAUUAUUAUGUAGAUAUUUAAAAAUAAAAGUAUGCUAAAAGUUUAUUUAAUUAGGUGGAACCAUCCGGCAAGUCAUGCUCGAUUACCUACCGAACUUGAAAAUAUACGGCUUCUAUUAGACCAACAGUCGGAAGCACAUGUAAGUAUUAAAUAAAAUUGAUAUUUCCAUCAUUCGCUAGUCGAUUGGUAAAUAGUAUUUAGUAUUUAGUAUUUAGUAUUUAGUAUUAUGUAUAUAACUAAUAUUUCUAUAAUGUUCACAUAGUUUCAAUGGACACCAUACGAGGAUCCGGCAAUUUGGGCAAUAAUUCCGGAUGAGUUCUUACAAAAUCGAAACGCUUGGCACGUGAAAGUCGUGUUGAUCAACUACACGACCAUGGAGCCACACCAGUCAGACAGAGUGCUACGACAGUUUGGAUGUAGACAACUAAUUCCCGUGGAACCUGAGGUGUUUGACGAUCAACACAAAAUCGACCUUCGGCAAUUGAAUACGGAUUGGCCAAGAUACUGGUUCGAGUACAUGGAAAUGUGGGAAGAUCGGUAUGAAUACAUACCUACUCUGGAACCAAUCAUCGUUCCGGAGUUAGUGUGGGUGCUGGAAUACAUGUCAUGGUUUAGGAUUCAUGGCAAGCUGUAUUUACUGACGCCAGAGGAGAGGCAGCGGCAAUUACGUGUCCAAAGGGAAAGGCGCAGGCCUCAAAAUCCAAGACGACAAGACGACGACGCUAGCCCCUCAACGAGGCCUAGACAUUCACCCGGCCCAUCAUCAGAGGUCAUGCAAUCACUAGGCCCAACGAGAGUACCGACACAGUCACCUGACCCAGCAGUCCAACCGAUGAUACCCACGCAACCGCUUUUUCAGAUGAUGCCAGGUGCGUUUCCUAGCCUUUUUAUAUAUCCUAACCCUUAUAUGUAUCCUUUUCCGAGUCCUAAGGCAGGUUGGAGCCAAUGGCCCGGUUCAGCUCCGUUUCCUGUUACGCCGAGUGGACCGCCGAUGUAUAGGUCAGCAGCACACGAGGGAUCGCAAGAGGGGCCGUCGAGGAGCUCUUCUUUUUACCAAUCCCCACCACCGUAUGAGUUUCAAACACCGUCACCGUUGGUGAUGCAAAAACCUCCACAUUCACUAUUCUUUGAAGGUGGAUCAUCGUCCCAACUCCGACAACCAGAUACCCUACCAGAAGAACCAGAAUCCCCGCCACAGGAACCACAACCGCCACCGGAAGCUGGACAAAGGAGGCAUCCAGCGCGUAACCAUCGACGGCCGCCAUGUGGCACUGAAUCCAGCGGGCACAGACAUUGAUUUUUGUAUUUAAAUUUAUUUGUACAAAUAUUUUGAAUAUUUUGAUACUAUUUGAUGUAAUAAAAUAGAAAUUGUUUUGAGUUAUUACUUAAAACCCUAAACUAAUUUCUUAAAAAUUUAUAAAUCUAUAAUUUAUAAUUUAAUUGACAAACCUUAAACCCCAAAACUAAAAACCCUAACCCUAAUCAUAACCCUUAACUUAAAAACUCUAACCUUUAAAUUAAAAACACUAAACCCUAAACCUAAAAACCAUAAACCCUUAAGCUAAAAACCUAACCUUAGACCCUAACCAUUAACCUAAAACACUAACCUUAAACCCUAAACUCAUAAACCUAAAUACCCUAACCCUAAACCCUAAACCCUUAACCUAAAAACCUUAACCAUUAACCUAAGAACCCUAAACCCUUAACCUAAAAACCCUAACCCUCAACCUAAAAACCUUAAACCCUUAACCUAAAAACCCUACACACUAAACUUAAAACCCUAAACCCUUAACCUAAAAAUCCUAACCCUUAACAUAAAAACCUUAAACCCUUAACCAAAAAACCCUAUACACUAAACUUAAAACCCUAAACCUUAAAUCUAAAAACCCUAACCCUUAACCUAAAUUUCAUAAACCCUUAACCUAAAAACCCUAACCCUGAACCUAAAUUCUAUAAACCCUUAAUCUAAAAACCCUAACCCUAAACCUUAACCUAAAAACCUUAACCCUCAACCUAAAAACCCUAACCCUUAACCUAAAAACCCUAAAUGCUUAACCUAAAAACCCUAACCCUCAACCUAAAAACCCUAAACCCUUAACAUAAAAACUCUACACACUAAACUUAAAACCUUAAACCCUUAACCUAAAAACUCUAACCCUUAACCUAAAAACCUUCAACCCUUAAACUAAAAACCCUAACCCUCAACCUAAAAACCUUAAACCCUUAACCUAAAUUCCAUAAACCCUUAACCUAAAAACCCUAACCCUUAACCUAAAUUCCAUAAACCCUUAACCUAAAAACCCUAACCCUCAACCUAAAUACCCUAAACCCUUAACAUAAAAACCCUAACAUAAAGGCUUAAAAACUAUCCUUGUCCCUUAACUUAAAUAUAAUUUGAUAAUUUUACUAACCAUUAAUACAAUUAUCAGUUAAUAACUUUACAUUCACGUAAUGUUAGAUUUGGAAAAAUGUUUUGACUAGUACUAACAAUUAAUAAUUUUAUAUAAUUUUAUAAUUUUUCUAACAAUUAAUACAAUUAUCAAUUAAUAAUUGAAAAAAUAUAAUUAGCAGCAAUUACAUUCAACUAUUGCGAUUAGGGCAUGAUCGACUUGUAUGGCCUAGAUUCCUACACCAUCCGCACAACUUUUGUUGACUGGCUGUUUCUCGGAUAGCCAUAUUGUUGCGUAUUCUAGUCGAGCAAGGUCGACCCCUUGGUUUGCGACGCAAUUUUCUAUCCAGUAACAGCUUAAAAUGAGCAAGAGAUACGGGCAGCCACUUACGUUCAUCUGGGGCCAGUGGGAAAACGUGUCUCUAGAUGUUGUACAUGUUUUCUAAUUUGUACACUUCGUCCACAUAGCUCAUCGGAUCCAGACGGAGAUUCUGACAAGAUACAAUAACAUGAGAGCAUGGAUAACAAAGUGCAUCAAAACUCUCACGGUCGCAAGUCCUAUUUCGCAAGUCUACAUGAUAUUGCCCACCAACAACACUUUGGAGCGGUCUAUCAAACUCUGUCACGCGAAACAAUAAGUUGUCUCAAUCGUGACACACGGUGUGCAUGGUGUUUGCCCGCGCCUUGGCCUUGUGAAUUUCUUAAACUACCUUGCUGCACCAUACAUGGCCUCUCUGCAUCUGGCCUGCAUAACUUGCUGCUCGCUUUGGAAAUAGUGCCACCAAACGAAAAUAUGUCUCUCGCACAACUGAUGUUAUCUGUAGAUGACGCAUUUUUUUAAGAACAGAAUUUAUGCAUUCAGCCAAGUUUGACGUCAUAUGGCCAUAUCGUAGGCCGUCGUCGUAUGCUUGUGCCCACUAUUUGAAACGUAUGUUAAAAGGUAGUACGCCCCUCCUUUGUUAAUUGAACGUAAAAUUGCCAACAUCUCGUGAAAACGGUCUUUAUUUAUUUCAUACCCUACCAAUAUAAGUUCAUAGAGAAUAUUACAUGCCACUUAUACUAAUAAAACUAAUUCAAAUUGACAAACGAAAAACACAAAUAUAGACUAAAUACACAUGUUGGUCACUUGUCGUCAUUCGUUCUUAGAUGGAUAUUGACUGUAGUAGUUGGGAGCAACGUGUCUUAGGCAAUAUCGAUGGUGCGUGCGCUGCCAUAAGCUUCCCUCUCGAUCAAAUGCAACUAGUAUAUCGGUGCCCCGAUCUAAAAUAACACAGAUAUCAGGUUGGGGGCACACAUGCCUCCUUAACCUAGAGAGAAAGAAAUCUCAAUCAUCAGAUGACUCCCCCGGUGUUAUUGCAAAUGCAAUUGGAAGAAUUCUCCCACCGCCAUCCUGUGCCACUGCAAGCAAUAGCCGAUGAGUAUACCUACCAAACAUAAAGGUACCGUCAAUUUGUACCAAUGGCUUACAGUAUGGAAAUGCGUCUCGGCAUUGCUUAAAGGUCCAAAACAGGUGUUUGAACACUCGGCAUCCACGUAGCAAUCGGCCGUUGUAGUACGCAUGUUCCGUUUGAAGGUCUAUGAUGGCACCUGGGACGUACCUCUCUAGCACUUGACACCACUGCCAUAUUUUAUUAUAUGAGGCAUCCCACCCACUAUGCAUCUUCUCCAAUUCCUUUUGCUUAGCUAUCCAAGCCUUGCGGUAAGACGGCGUGUACCCUAUUUGGCUACAGAUAUUGGCAAUUAACACCGGCACUGAAGUCUUGGGAUCUGCUUUUACCGUGGGCAGUAUCAAGCUAGCUAACAUAGCUAAAUCCAUCUUGGGAUGAUCUUGUAAAACACCUAUAAUUGGAGUACAUUAAAUAAUGCAACAUUACAUAAUAAAAGUAUUAUUCAGAAACCGUCAAUAUUGUACCUACAGCACAUGUAUGUGGACCUUUGUACUUUUUAAUCUCCCACAACCCUGUCCUUUUCCUUAACGAGGCGUAGGUUUUCCAUGAACAUGUGCCGUCUUGUACCGCAUACUUCACCUCAAACUUAUCAAAUUUCAAUUUAACGACGUGGUAGUUAACGUCGUUUUUGAUGCUAUGUUGUUUCAAAGCACCAAUAAAACUAUCCUUGUUGGUAAACUGAUUGCCAACUUUAAAUUCACCCGAAUCUAGCCCCGAACUUGUACGAUCACGCAACAGGUGUGGUAGAUCUGGAAACUCUAACGUAUCAUCUGCAGACAGAUCGACAUUAUGUAUGUGGGCUAGAGGUGAGUAUACUCUGAAUCAUGGAUUUUCUUCUUCAAUUGAACUCCUUUCAGCAUCUUCAUGUUCUGUUGGAAUAGGCUCCGGUUCAGAAAAUAAGCCAACUUCUGCACCAUCGGGCCCGAGCUCUCGAGGUGGAUCCACAUUACAGUCAUCUUCUAACCCACAAUCAUCUGCAGCGUACGAGGUCCCCUCACCGGUUGACGUCGUAGGGUGUACAUCAUCCCUUCUUCUGGGCAUUUCAUAACGUCCCCAAUUGGAUGUAGAUUGCCACCCACUAGAACUUGAUGUCGUUCCCUAAUACGUAUUUCUAGCAUCAAACGUCGAGCCACUGACGUACAUAUCCCAUCCACCAACAGAGUGUCUUGCAGGGGAUGUGCAUUCGACACCACUAUCAAAUAUGGGCUAUUCUGUGUUUUGUAACCUGCUAACCCAGUGUCAACUAGUGGUCAUGUAUACAUCUCGAACACCAGUCGCAAGUACAUCAUUUGGCGGUGUAAAUUGUACAUAUAACUCAAUAUAAGGUGCUCCACUAGCAAAAUGAGUCUGCACAAUUGCCUCCAAGUUACGAGCACCUUUUAUGUCGAACGAGUCAUAUGUCACCGGAUCAACAGAAGAACAAAAUCAACACGUGAUAGACAGAACUUUCAUUGGUGUCGUUCCAAAAAUUUUACGCCUAAUUCUUUUACGAAGUUUUGUCAAAUCUAUGUUCUGGUUAAAAACCAGUCGCACCGUAUUCUCCGAUAAAAAAACAACACCAUUCUCGGUAUGGCAAACCUCACCAUCGUAGUAAAUAACAGCACUAAUAUGUUCACUCAUAUUUGAAACUCUAACCUUCUUAGCCUCUCUAAAUUGUUUCUGCUGUGACUUAUGCAUUUUGAGAACAUUUUUUGCCUCAUUUAUAGCCUCAGCCCAAACAUGCUAUUGUAGCAAAAGCGCAUCCACGUGGGCACGAUUUCAUAAAUUCUUCUCAUAAAGCUUUUUUUUGGUAAAUUUAAAAAAAUAGGCUUUUUUUGGUAAAUUGCCCUCAAUUGGGUGCAAAAAGUUCGUAGGGGCUUAAUUGAUUUUUUUCGAAAAAGUUCGACGAUCAAAAAUACCUUUAAGCCCUACUUUAACUAUUGAUAUGUCUUUUUUAAUUAAUUUUACAUUCGUGCAUAGUAUAGGCACACAAUGUACGAGGUGUUUCCACGUAUACAUGUAAAGUGCAUUUUGAUGCCACGAAGGAAUUAGAUAAAAAUGUGAUUGUUAAGUUAGUAAUGUCACCUUCUAGUAAUUGAAAAGAAUUAGAUGCAUUUAGCUAGUAGAGUGUAAUUAUAUUGUAAUUCUUUGUGCCUUGUUUAGUAAUAUAAAUUGUAAUUACACAUUUACAAAUUUUAAAUUGUUUAAAAAGUAUUAAUUAAUAUAAAUAUUUAUCAAUAAUAUCUGAGAAAAAAUUUUAAACAAGUGACAUAAAUUAAAAUCAAAUCAUGUUAUGUUAGUCCAAGAAAAUAACCGACAACAUGAUUACCGAUAAAAAAAAAUAAAAAUAAACAUUAUAUGCAACUUUAUUAUUGCUUUAGCAUUCCAUGUUUGUUGGGUUAUUCCUUUUCUAACAUUUAACAUCUACUUCUUAUCAUCAUCUAUUAGUUCUUGACCAAUUUCUUCAUUGUUGAUACAAGGUACAACAAUGGAGGGGAGUAAGGAGGAGGUAAGGUGGAGUGAGUGGUGGUUUUGUGGAGGCCGGUUCACUUAAAGAGGUGGAGAGCCGAAAAGGAACAAGAGGAUAGGCUGAUUGCUGAAAGUGGAGAUGGCUGCUCAGAGUAACUUUAAGGAUUGGAAAAUCGAUCCAUUCUUCAUCGUUGGAAAGGUAUUUAUAAGAGAGGUCCACUUGUCCAUUAGCAUGACAUGGCAGGAUAAAUGUUCAGUCCCACCAAAUGUGUAAAGGAUAUUCAUGAACAUAAAGGAUAUUCAUGAUGGGCCCCAUUAUGUUAUUCAUUUGAUCAAUACAAGGUUGUUAUGCCCAUGCAAGUCCUAAUGGACUCAAGGAUGUGUUCACACCAAAAAAGGGGGUGCCAAGCCUUUCUAAAGGGUUGGUGCUCCUUUGAUCUUAGUGGAUGGUCCAGUGAGACAUCUUCUUAGGAAAACUCAAUGAGAGGGUUAAUGUUGUCUAUACUAUUGACACGUGUCCAUGUGGCGGGGAUAUAACAUUCAUCAUCUACAUCAAAAUCUGAAUAUGCAUCAUUAAGAUUAUUGAAAUCAUUUUUUUAUUUGUAUCAUUAAGAUUAUCAAGAUCUUUUUUUUUUCAUGUACUAUUUAAAAGUAUUGAUAAUUCCAAUUCCACCUAUAAAUGGAAUUGUGAAGUAUACAACAAGUUAGAACGAUUGAACAUUGUUUUUUGGACUAUAUUGAUGUGGUUUGUUAAUAUGAGAAAUAUUUUUUUAGAACAACAAAUAUCCUCUCAACCACAUUUCAAAGCUUUGAAUAAAGAGUUUGCGAGCUGUGUUUGGUACUUGUGUCUAGCUCUAUUCUUUCAAAUGAUAUCAUACCCCGUGAUAUACUGCAAAAAACCUUUUGCAUUUGCAUAAUCAAUAUCUAUCACAUAAUAUUUCCUAAAAAACAUGUAACAAUUUAAAUGAUUUGUGAGAAAAAUAAAAUAACAGCAAGGUGAUGAUAAUAUUAAUGUAUUUAUGAAGUACAAUUUUGAUCUAUUUUCUCUCUCAAACAUCAUUCUUAGCAUUCUAGUAUUUGAGGCACAAAUCAACUUUAUAAUCCUUCAAUUAUAAUAGUUUUUAUAAAUCUAAUUUGCAGUUUACUAUGUGUUCAAUAAUAAACCAACUUUAUAACCUUUUUAUAAUAUUUCGAUUGCUAUUAUUUCAUGCAAUUUAGAUAAAUAUAUAUAUAAAUUUUAUAAUAUAACAUUUAUAAACAAUGUUUUUAUAAAGUGCUGAAUAGCUUUUAUGGUGCUUAUGUUAAAGUGCUCAAAUAUGUGUCACACAAUAAUAGUAUAAAAAUUAUAACACACGAUUUAUAAGCAUAAUUUGCUAGGUUAAAAUUUGCUUUAAAAAAAUACAGGAGUUAGGUGACAUGGCAAGGGUUUCUCCUACCUUAAUCAAUAAUCGAGGGUUUGAUCCUUACUCUAGGUAUGGAGUAGUUUUAAAACUUGUGGCCAGUAUCUACCCCCUUAAUGGGCUUACAGAAUGUGAAAGAUUAGUUAUCGGGCUUGCUUAGGUAGAUAGAUUGAGAAAUCAAAAAAAAAUUACACAAAAUAUUUUGACUUAUGUGUCUAAUAGCAAAGCAAUUUUGACCCGAUAAGAUAUAUAUAAUUAUACUUAAAAAAAUAUAAAAUAUAUGUCCUAAAAUUAAAAUAUAUUAUUAUAUUAAAAUAUUUUUUGUAAAUUAAAAUAUAUUAUUAUUGCAUUAAAAUAAUUUUUGUAAACUUGUAUAAAAAAUAAUUUCUUAAAUCAUGUACAUGUGUUUAAAAAACUAUAAGGUAAUUAGUAAUUUAUUGUAAUUACUCGCGUAAUUACCCCAACUCUCAACCCCUAAAAAUUGAAUAGCAUAAUUGAGGUGCUAAAAUUACAUUCAAUUUAGUGAACCCACAAAUCACAAUGGUUUUCUAAACACGCCACACAUUUGCAAUAGCAAGUAAUUGCACUCAAAUCUAAUAUUUGCAUGAAAUAUUUGAAUUUAUAUGUCUAAUAGCAAAGCAAUUUUGACCCAAUAAGAAAUAUAUAAUUAUAUUUUAAAAAUAUAAAAUAUAUGUUCUAAAAUUAAAAUACUUUAUUAUUAUAUUAAAAUAACUUUUAUAAAUUUGUAUAAAAAAUAAUUUCUUAAAUCAUGUACGUAUGUUUGAAAAACUAUAAGGUAAUUAGUAAUUUAUUGUAAUUACUCGCAUAAUUACCCAACUCUCAACUCUCUAAAAAUUAAAUAGUAUAAUUGAGGUGCUAUAAUUACAUUUAAUUUAAUGGACCCAUCAAUAACAAUAGUUAGUCAAACAUACUAUACUUUUAUAAUAGCAAUUAAUCACACUCAAAUCUAAUAAUUAAUUUAUAUUGAAAUCUUCAAAAUCAUAUACUUUGUGGUCCAAGUUAAACUGAUUUUUUUUUUCAAAACAAUUGCAAAGAAAAUUCAUGAAAUUAAGUUGUUUUCAAAUAAUUAAUUCACAUUGGGAUUUUCAAAUAAAAUGUCACAUUAAUAAUAUUUCAAUCAUUAAAAUAUUAUGUAAGACAUUUUGCUUAUACAAGAAAUAUGAAAAAUUCUAAAAUUUAAUCCAGUUUAAUCUGCUGAAGGAAAUGACUCUAACACUGACCUAAUUCAAUUAAGCCUCUGAAAUUAGCUUAACUUCAUAAAACUUAAUCCAGUUUAGUCAUUCUAAAGUCUCUAAUUUUGUUUAAAAGAGUUUUUAAAUAUAUAAAUGAUUUUAAAUUUGUAUGUUUUAAUAUGAAAUUCAUUAUAUUGUAGUAAGAUUUAAUGUGGCAUGUUUAAAAUUUUAAUUUAACUCAAAUAAUUUCAUUUAAUUUGGCUCGACUCAAAUUUUAUUUCACUUGAUUCGAUUUGAAAAAAAAUUCAAAUUGAAUUAGAAUGAUAAAAUGAGACUCGUCAACUCGAAAUUAUUUUACUCGAUUCGAUCCAACACUCACCCUUAGUAAUUGCAUCAUUGAUACUAAUAACAACAUAAAAAAUGUAUACUUAUCUUUUCUAAUCAAUAUGCAGGCACGAAAUGGAAAUUUCCAUGAGAAAGAAGUAUAUCGCGUAUGAAAAAGUAAGUUCCAUGACAUCGGCUGAAGCAAUAACAACAAAUGCAAAAAGACAUUGACUCCUAUGGAAAUCCAUCAGUUUGGAAACUAUAACGUAUAUGCUACGACUCGGUGUUUUUUGGUGUGUCACCCGUUAGACUUUCAAUUAUGUUGGUAAUAAAUAUAAUCUAUUUCAAUUAAAAAAAUGAGUAGAAUUUAGUAAUUCAUUAUGACCCAAAUUAUUGGUGAAGUUAAAAUUAAAAUUUUUUCGACAAAAACUUUCAGUACUUAGUACUUAUGUGUAAUUCAAAUCUUUCCAUUAUAUAUCCCAAAUAAGUUAAAAGGCAUGGCGUGGUGUCUACCUUUGCUUAUCCAUGUCAGACUUGCAAUUCUUUAUAUUAACCUUAAUUAUCGGCCUUCAUAAAAAGAUGUGUAAUUAUACAAGUCAAGAGCAAAAAAGAUAUGUUCUCUCAUAUCACUUGGAGUGAUGAGUCCUUUCUGAACCACUCCAUCACCUUCGUAUGUCAUACCAUAUUUAAAACAUUACUUUAAGCACCUAUCAAUGUGAAUCCAUUUGGUGAUGAAUCAAAGUAUGACGGUUAACACAUAAGGAGAGUUUGUGUAAGUCUAAAGAUUGUUUACACUACCAAUACAUGAGACUAUUUCUAUAGGCAUUUGAGUGAAAUACCAAAUGGAACUAUCAUAGCAGGUCAAGUUAUAUUUUAUAAUUUUUUCGAAACUUUUUAAAAAUUAUUCACAUUUUAUUUUUUAUAUUUGUAAUAAAUUUUAUAAUUUUUAUAACUUUUACAUUUUUAAAAUAUUCUAAUAACUUGACAAGCAACAUCAACAUACUUCCACAUGGCAUGUCACAUGUCAACUUGUCAUAGCUUCCGCCAACCACAUCAACAACCAAUAUUGAUAAAAUCAGUCAACAACCGUUUUCGUUAGCGAAAGGAGCCAAUUGAUUUUUUUCUCAUUGAAUGCUCGAUUGGGUCAAUUUUUUUAUUAUGAACUUGAUUGAUUUUUAACUUUUUACUAAGGUGUUUUUUACACUUUAACCUUAUAUUAAUAUUCAUUAUUUUAUUAAAAAACUUAUUUCUAAGUAAUUUUUCCGACCGAAUUGAUAUCGGAUUAACUCCAAUAAAAUAUAUUAUAUAAACAUAUUAAAAUAUAUCAAUAAAGAAAACACCAUUAAUUUGUUUGAAGUCUCGACUUUUUGAGUCUUAAUGGGUGAGAAAUUUCUUAUAUAGAAACUGAAGACGAUAUAUAAAGUAAAUGCCACAUUAAAAGCCCAAUUCUUUGGAAAAUAAAUUCCAUCACGACUGAACCAAAAAUUAAAAUAAAAUCUAUCAUAUUUAAUAUAUUAGUCCAAGAAAAUAAUCGAUAAUAUGAUUACUAAUAAAAAUAACAAGAAAAAUGAUUUAUGUUAGGUUAUAACAAUAUUUUUUUUUUUUUGAACAAUGAGAUUUUGACCUAGACUAUUCCUUGAAAAGGUGAAUACUCGACUAAUAGGCCACAACUUAAAAUUUUUUAAAUUAUAACCAUUUUUAUAAUACAUGAAUUAGGUUUAAAAUAGUAUAAAAUUUAUAAUAUAUACCAACUAUAUAAAAAAUUAUUUAUAAGGUGUCCAAUAACUUCCAAAACACUUCUUAUAAAUAAUAAAUAUUUUUAUCUUAAAAAGUUUUUUUUUUUAAAUAAGUCAUGGAAAAAAAUUAUAAUUGUUUUAUAAAUAAGUAUAUUUUUUUGUAUAACAUAUAGUAUGGACACAUAAAUAAGUUAUAUUUAAAUUUUUUGACCAUAACUUUUUUUUUUAUAAAUAAGUAUUUGCAUAAUAUAGUAUUUGCAUAAUAUAAUGUUUGCAUUAUUGAUACUAACAACAUAGAAAUUUCCAUGAAAAAGGCCUUGAAUCCUUUGAUGAAUUAAGUUCCAUGACAAGGACUGAAGCAAUGACGACAGCUGGCCCCUGCAACUAUUGCAACAAGACCUUGAAUCCUUUGAUGAGUUCCUUUAAAUUCAUCAGUUUGGAAACCAUAACAUAUAUGCUACCACUAAAUCCUUACCAGAUUAAACAUGGCCCCAUCCUUAACCAUUUCUGUUAUUCUAGGGGUACUGUGGGCCACCAUCCUUCUUUCCUUUGCUACAACUGUGACAGCAGCAUAUCCAUCGCCAUUGGAGUCCGAAGCCAUAGCUCUGCUAGAAAGCAGGUGGUGGAGUAACCAUAGCAGCAAUACUUCACAACGUUGCCAGUGGCCUGGUAUAACCUGCAACACUGCUGAAAGCAUCACCCAAAUUAACUUAUCUGAUGCGCCCAACAUUGAGGUUGGAGAUAGAUUUGGGAAACUGAAUUUCUCUUCAUUUCCAAAUCUUGUCCUUCUUGAUCUUAGUGAUCAUCAACUUAGAGGAAAAAUCCCGCAUCAGAUAGGUGAUCUAUCAGCAUUGAAGUACCUUGACUUGUCCAAUUGUGGUUUAUCUGGUGAGUUACCUCCUUCUCUAGGGAAGCUGACCCAAUUAGAAUUCCUCGACAUGUCCUAUAAUGGUAAUAUUAAUGGUUCCAUCCCUCCACAAUUGGGGAACCUAAAGAACCUCGUGACUUUAAACUUAAGGCAAUGUGGAAUUGUUGGUCCAAUCCCUUCUGCUUUGGGUCAAUUAAUCAAUCUCCAAUCUCUGAUCCUUUCGGGGAACCAAAUCAAUGGAUCUAUCCCAUUAGAAAUUGGAUAUUUGAGAAAUUUGACUUAUUUGAGUCUCUCCAACAAUAGAAUUGUUGGUCCAAUCCCUUCUGCUUUAGGUCAAUUAACCAGUCUCCAAUCUCUGAUCCUUUGGGGGAACCAAAUCAAUGGAUCUAUCCCAUUAGAAAUUGGAUAUUUGAGAAAUUUGACUUGUUUGGAUCUCUACAACAGUAGACUUGUCGAUUCAAUACCAAUUACUCUGUACCAAUUAACCAAUUUGGAAAUUUUGUACCUUGAUAAUAACCAACUUCAAGGUUCAAUCCCUUCUUGUGUUGGUAGUUUAUCAAAGAUGCAGUACUUAAGCCUUGAUUCUAAUCUAUUAAAAGGUCCUAUUCCCCAAGAAAUUUGUAAUCUAGCAAAUUUAACUUCAUUGUACCUCUCCCAAAACAAAUUGACAGGUUCAAUCCCUUCUUGUAUUGGUAGCUUAUCAAAGAUGCAGUACUUAUGACUUGAUUCUAAUCUAUUAAAAGGUCCUAUUCCCCAAGAAAUUUGUAAUCUAGCAAAUUUAACUUCAUUGUACCUCUCCCAAAACAAAUUGACUGGUUCAAUCCCUUCUUGUAUUGGUAGUUUAUCAAAGAUGCAGUACUCAAGCCUUACUUCUAAUCUAUUAAAAGGUCCUAUUCCCCAAGAAAUUUGUGAUCUAGCAAAUUUAACUUCGUUGUACCUCUCCCAAAAUAAAUUGACUGGUUCAAUCCCUUCUUGUAUUGGUAGUUUAUCAAAGUUGCAGUACUUAAGCCUUGCUUCUAAUCUAUUAAAAGGUUCUAUCCCAAAAGAAAUUGGCAAGCUUUUUGAUCUAUCAAAUCUAAACCUUAGCUUCAACCAACUCUCAGGUCCUAUCCCUAUCUUGUCUGCUACUCAUCUCUACAUUGUCGACGCUGGAAAUGGUUGUCAAAAGAUUUUUCCCGAUCCAUUUGAAGGCAAUAGUGAUUUAUCACCCUAUAUGUGUCCUACUCCAGUUACCAAAAAAGCCAACAGCAGCAGAAUUCCUUACCAUUUCAAAAUAUUCCUCCCUAUUGCGAUCUUAUUCACAAUCUCCAUUUUAGGAUGUUUGCUAUUUUCACGGUUUAAGCUCAAGAAUAACCAUGUCAACGUACAACCAACCAAGAAUGGGGAUUUGUGUUCCAUAUGGAACUAUGAUGGAAAGAUAGCAUACGAGGAUAUCGUUGCAGCAACAGAGGAUUUCGACUUCCGAUACUGUAUUGGAGUUGGUGGUUAUGGUAGUGUUUACAAAGCAGAACUCCCUUGUGGUAAAGUAGUUGCUUUGAAGAAACUUCAUCAUUUAGAAGCCGAAAAUCCAACUUUUGACAGGAGUUUCAGGAACGAGAUCAAGUUUCUAUCAGAAAUACGACAUCGAAACAUUGUGAAGCUUCACGGGUUUUGUCUACACCGACGAUCCAUGUUUUUGAUCUAUGAAUACAUGGAAAAAGGGAGUUUGUUCUGCAACCUAAGGGAUGAAGUGAAUGCUGUGGAAAUGGAUUGGACGAAAAGAGUAGAGAUCAUCAAAGGCAUAGCACAUGCUUUGUCUUACUUGCACCAUGAUUGCUGCCCUCCGAUAGUUCAUCGAGACAUAUCAAGUAACAAUGUUCUUUUAAACUCAAGUUUUGAGGCCUUUGUGGCCGACUUUGGAACAGCUAGAAUGUUGGAUCUUGAUUCAUCUUAUCGGACCAUUAUUGUCGGAACUUGUGGCUGCGUAGCUCCAGGUGGCGUUUUCUUUUUUUACUUGAUUUACUGACCUUUUCUCUGAACAUAUAAUUGAAUUUCUUCUUACUAAUUUGUGUAUGUAGAACUUGCUUAUACAAUGAUUGUCACCGAAAAAUGCGAUGUUUAUAGUUUUGGAGUGGUAGCACUGGAAAUAUUGAUGGGAAAGCAUCCUGAAGAAAUGUUAUCAUGGUUGUCAUCACCAACUUCUUUGGUAAACAUGAAGCUGAUUGAUGUGUUAGACAACCGUUUACCACUUCCAACAAGCCAACUAGUUACACAAAAUCUUGUUCAUGUUGCUACACUGGCUUUCGCUUGCUUAAAUCCACAACCGAAGUCCAGACCAACAAUGAAGGAAGUGUGUGAAGAGUUCCUUUCUCGCCAUACAUCCUUGGGAAUUCCUCUUCGGAUGAUCUCUUUGUUACAACUCAUGAACCGUGAAAUGCAUAUUGGAGGCAAAACUAAAACUUGUGGUGUUUGAAGUCCAUGCGCUUUUUGAUUAGAUACUGUUUAUCAUACUCUGAUAACUUGUUUGUAAACCAUCUCUGGUUUUAUAUAUGAUGGAAUGAAUUGCAAUGUUUAAUAAACCUGUUUAUUCGGUUGCUUUAGAAGACAUAAAUUCUGCAAUUUGAUCCAAAUAUUAAGACAUCAUCGCUGGCUGCUUCCUUGAAUUUUGUGCUUCUUUCAAACCAACUCAAAGAUAAAUAACAUAAAAGUAAAUUAAGGGUGAAUUUAUCAACCACUGCACAAGUAGUGUGUAUUUCUUUUGUUAUGCAUAUAAGCACAACUCCUCAUAUAUGAAUUAUCUACCAAAUACUCACGAAAGGCUUUUCAGAAAAUAGUAGUUAGUAAAGCCAUCCAGGAGGGAAUAUGCUACUAACGUGGAACGGGCAAAAUUACAUGGUAAAUAUGUCUUCAUGAGACUGCUGUAUUUCUUUAAGAACCAAAAGCACCAUAAGUGAAGGCAAAAUAGUUUAUUGUCUCAACUCUUUAUAUCCCCAUACCUCAUUGUGCAAUGAAUAAAGUACAUCAAGCAGGGAUUUGUCCCUGGCCAUAAAUAUAUCGCACUGGUCUUUGCUUUAUACAAAUUUCUUGAAACACAACUCUGAAAUUUUAAUAUUUGGAACCCCUAAGCUACCUGAAAUAACUGCAAGUUACCAUGACUAAAGUGCAUACAUACAUAUAUGAAAGUUUCUCAAGCAAUGAUAAGAUAAUUAAUUGCUAAAAAUCUUUAUUGAUUUUGUGGAGAGACAAUCAGACAAGUCAUGUCAGAUUAAUGAUGGGACAAAAAGGUUUUCUGGACUUUUAAAAGUUAUGAAUGCAUCUAUCAGGCUCAAGCAUUUCCAACAUCUAAUUUAUGGCUUACAUCUCAAAGCAAUGAAUGCAAAGCAUCAGGCUUAAAGAUCAUAAUAUGCACAAAAAAUGUAGUGGCCCUACAAGGUUUGCAUCAUGUCAUGCAUGCAUAGAUACAUUACAUUACUACAAGCAAAUUUACAGCUUUAUUGGUCUACAACACGGUAGCAUAAUUAGAAACUAUCAAACAUGUCGGAGCGUGCAUGUCUGAAUCUACAAAGGCAAAAAUAUACAGGUUUCUUCUCACUGCAGUAUAGUAUAAACAAACUUCUAUUGCCUGUAAAGGAUGGAAGAUGCUAACUCAAGCCUUACAACAGUGCAUACAUCACAAGAUGCAUGCGAGCCAAUGGUGCUUCAAGAGACAUGAAAAUUUACACAGUUAGAAUCUUCACGUUUACCCCGAAAAUUCAGACUUCAAACAAUAGAAAAUGGUAGACGAACUAGCUUUUAUAGUGUCAAACAUGCUGCAUUACAACAAAAUAUUCAGAUUGUUCUUCUCCGGUAAAACAAAAGGUUAACAUUUAGGGAUUAAAACAAACGGAAAAUGAAAAAAUAAUUGGAAACAGACUAUUAAACAAAAUAAUUUCCAAUAUAUAUAUGCUAAAUAAAAACCCAAAAUGGCAAUCGGUCUUGAAUCCCAAUCACUUAACAAUUCAAGAAACAAAUUCCAAUUCCAAAAAAUCCCAGUCUCUUAACAAAACAAAAACCAAAUAUACCAAAUACCCUUUCCCUUACACACAAAAGCUAAUUCAAGAGAUUACCAAAAAAAACACUAAUUCAAGAACCAAGCUUGAAAAACAACCAAAACCCCCAAUUAAAAUCUUGGUCAGCUUACCCUGAAAAAUCACAUAGAAAGAGAAAAAGAGAAACUCACAUGUGGCCAUGGAGAAAGCAACGAAUUUACAGAGUAACCAAAAUACAAUAACUUUGAAGAACAAAAAUAAUCAGGGAAAUAACAAAAGAGAAAAGCAAUAAGUUAAACCCCAUGAAGGAAAUUCCAACUGCUCAUUUACAGAGUAAUCAAAAUAAAAUAUAGUGAUAUAACUUGAUAGGAUUGGAAAGCUAGAUUUUGAAGUUUCUUCAAAAUGCAGACUUGGUAAGGACGACGAGAUAACAAGACUCGGAUUCGGAGAUGAGGCCAACGAAUAGAGAUGAGGAGGAGAGGCGGAGGCUGAUGGACAAAGAGGAAGGAGAACGACUGUUGUGAUGAGAGUGGAGGAAAAUGGAAAAUGUCUUACCGAAAUAAAAUUGGUAAGAAGUUUUCCAUAAAAGGCCGUUUCAUUUACCCUUGGUUUAGAAAAUGUUUUCUGAAGUAAUUUAUUUUUCAUCAAACAAAUACAGUAAAAUAAAAAAAAAUAUUUUACGGAAAAUAUUUUACUAAUAAAUAAACAGAGCCUAAGUAUUGCAUUGCAAAAGAUAUAAUAUCACCCAUAUCAACAAUAUAAACGGACAGACAUAUUAAAAUUUAAAUUUAAAUUCAUAAAAAUUUAUGUACUUAUAUUCAUGCAUUUAUUCAAACACAAGAAAGAUAUAUAAAUUUACAAGAACCAACACGAUGUCAAAUCAAUAUAAUUCCUUCCUUCAAUACAAACAUCGUGUGACAUCAACCAACAUAAAGAAGAUAACAAAAAGUAUGGCCUAGUUUCAGCACUCUUUUAAGGCAGUUACUAAAAGUUGUUUUCAACCAAGUUAAAAAGCAUAUCAAGAAAUCAAGUUAAGGAGGACUUCGAAUGAAAGUUGACAAGAAAUUUUGCAGAGAUGGAUGUACUAUCCACGAUCCGUUCUAACAAUUUGAUCUUUAGUCUUACCUUCUAUUAUAAGAAUGAGUAGCCUUUGUUUCUGGCAAUUUUUGAUUGGUUCCAAUACUCACUAAUAAGAAAGAUUUUUAUUUUCUGAAUACGUAUAUAACCUGAAUCCAUUCUAUAUCAACAACAACGAUAAUACACAUGAUGGAGUGAUAGAUUACAAGUUUCCAUACAAGAUUUCACACAUACAAUAAAAGAAAAAUAAGUGAAUUAAUUCCAUCUAAAAUGAAAUUAAAGAAAGCCAAAACUAAUGCAGUAGAACAGAUAAUUGAGAAUGUAGAAUUUUCUUAUAUUAGUUCCAUCUGUUUAAAAAAAAAAAGAUUGCAAGGUAAAUCAGUAGUAAGAAAGAAAAAUAUGGAAUACCCACAAAGGGAUUGCGAACAAACAAGCCGAUUUAGAUCAAAAAAAUCAGAUUGAGAAACCAAUUAUUCAAGAACCGUGAAAGAACUGGAAAAUAUAAUGGUUAGGAACAAAAACGAUUACCCUCUUUUUAUUUGUCAACAACCACUUGAUUUUAAGUCUUUGAACAUAAAUUUAUCGACAAAGAAGACAUACUUGGACCCUCCAUUGAAUCCAUCUUUUGUUUUUCUAUGUUGAAUAAAAAAUUCAAUCGAAACACACAAUCUGAUUUCUACUAUUUUGAUUCAAUACAGAUCAUAAUAGUUUUUUCAGUCAAAUGAAAAAGAAAACUAUUUUUCCUAUUUUAUGGAAAAUUAUCCUUUUUUGUAUAAUUAUAGGUGUUUCAUCUAUUUUAUGGUCCUUACAGUGCUGACACGACCGUUAACAACAUUAACGUGGCGCUUUAUGUCAGCAAUAGUUAGCUACAAUGUCAGCAAAAAUAAAAAAAAUAAAAAUUAAAAGGAAUAUUUAAAUUUAUUUUACUAGAAUGAACCUAAACAUAUAGUUGUCCAAGUUCAUUCGUUUCAAAACUUAAAUUUUUUUUAAAUUUAAAAAAAUUAAGUUUUUUAUAAAUGUGUACAACACUAUUAAAAUUUAAUAAAAAUAUUUAAAACUUAAGUCCCUAAUGAAUAUGUCCAAAUUCAUUCAAGAUUAGUUUCAAAUAUACUAAAAUUAAUUUUCUUUAAAAAUUGAUAUGUGUGUCAAUAUUUUUCUAUUGCUACCUCUUAGGAUGAAUAAUAUAUAUAUAUAUAUAUAUCAAUUUAAAGAAUUUAAAUUUUAUUAAUCAUACUUCUAAAGAUUUUUUAAAUGUAUGAAUAUAUCCAAUUAAAACAGUGUAUCUAUUAUUUCAUUACAUGUGUAGCCUAAAAGGUUUAAAAAAUUAGAUAUAUUCAUACAUUUAAAACAACUUUACACAAACAAUUAAUAAUAUUUAUUUUUAUUUAUUUUCUGAAAUAUAUUUUUUUUAAUUUUUAUACAUUCUAAAAUGUACCAAUGGAAUUAGAACAUUGAUACACGUAUCAAUUUUUUUAAAGAAGAUUAAUUUUUAAUAUUUUUUAAACUUUGUACAAUUUAGAAAAACUUGAAUGAAUUUAGACAUAGAAUUAACUUGUAAUUGGUUUUUAUUAAUUUUUAUUUUUUUAAUUUAUUUAAUAUUUUAUAAAUUUUAAUAAUAUUUUAAAAUUUUAUAAAAUUUUAAAAAACAUUAUUUUUUAAAUAUUAUUUUUAAUUUAAAAAUUUUUUAAGCUUCGAAACAAAUGAACUUGGUACUGCGACAUCAACAACUAUUCCUUUUAAAAAUUUUAAAUAUUCCAUUUAAUUUUUUUUAUUUUUGUUGACAUGGCAGUUGACGUGGUAUUGCCACAUAAGCAACUAUCGCUAACAUGAAGCACCACGUUAACGCUGUUAAUGGCCACGUCAACGUUGUAACGGUCAAUAUUAGUCAAAGGGCCUAUUUGGCCAAUUUUGUUAGUUCAUGGGCUCAAUUGGGUGCAAAAAGUUUGCAAGGGCUUAAUUGAUUUUUUUGAAAAAGUUUGAGGACCAAAAAUACCAUUAAACCCUUCUUUAACUAUUGAUAUUUCUUUUUCUAAGUAUCGGUCAACAUUAGUUAAAGGACUUAUUUUGUCAGUUUUGUUAGUUUAAGGGCUCAGUUGGGUGCAAAAAGUUUGCAGGGGCUUAAUUAUUUUUUCGAAAAAGUUCGACAAUCAAAAAUACCUUUAAGCCCUAGUUUAACUAUUGAUAUGUCUUUUUUAAUUAAUUUUGCAUUCGUGCAUAGUAUAGGCACACGAUGUAUGGGGUAUUUCCACGUAUACAUGUAAAGUGUAUUUUGAUGCCACGGCGAAAUUAGAUGAAAAUGUGAUUAUUAAGGUAGUAAUGUAACCUUCUAGUGUCACGGGCCUCAGUGCAAAGCCCGUGACCAUGGCACAAGAUGCGCCCCAUGGAGGUCUAUCAAUAAGAUGAGGAACAUUUAGCCCACAAGAGCUGGCCCGAUUCAGAUAACUAUUGGAGAAGCCUAUCAGAUUGAAGCCUGGUUGGCCCAAUGAUGAAAACAUGGCAACUUAGGCUAAUAUGGUAACUAAUCUUAGAAGAUAGAGAUAAUCAUAUCUUGUAAAGAUUAGAUUUGAUUUGAUAUAGCAUAUCUUGUAAAAUCCCUAAAAUUAAGGGAUAUGGUUAAUCUUGUCCGUCGAUGUAAAUGUAUCUUGACAGUCGAUUUUGGGGGAGCUCAACUAUAAAUAGAGAGCCUCCCCCUCAUUUGUACUCAUUCCAUUGUAUUCUGAAUUCUUAAGAGUAAUAGAGUUCUGAGAGCAUUUACUCAAACACCUUGUGUGCAUUCUUUUUUUUGGCUUUCUAUUGUUCUUUGACUUAGCUUCUUUUGGCCUAAAUCGUUUCCGCUCUUCAAUUGGUGCCUUGGAGGAGUUCUUAAGGAAUCCUCAUUUGAGUUAAGGCUGACUUAGGCGAGUUUGGACGAACGGAUCACCUAAGGCCACACGGGUUGCGAGACGAAAACUCUAGCCCCGUGACAAGUGGUAUUAGAGCAAGGUUUGAACCAAGUAAUAUCUGAGUUGUUGGUUCAAAGGCACUGUUGGGAUGUCGAAAGAAGUUGUUGGUCAGAAUGAGCCAAUGGAGACCCGAGGAAGGGCCAGAAAUGUGAGUCGAUCAAGGGACUUAUUGUCAGCUUUAGAGGAUCGAGUUGUCACUCUCGAAGAGUCCAUGGGGGACGUCAAGGAAAGGAUCGACGAUGUCGAUGAUAGACACAAUGAUGGGUUACGAACAUUACAGGAACAACUCAGGGAAUUUGUGUGGGACACUAUCGGUUCCUCUGAGAAUAAGCUGGCUGAAAAGAACGAUGCUCUCGAGGCUAUGGUGACAGCCUUGAAGGAGGAGAUCAAUGAGCUUAAGAGGGAGCUCAAGAUUUUCAAGGCUGCCAUAGGGAAUGGAAUGUUGGUUUUAAAUCUGAAGCCACAAGCAAUGGAUAUGCCCAAGCCGAAGGCGUUUAAAGGGGCAAGGUCUGCAAGUGAAGUGGACAACUUUUGUUGGGCCAUGGAGCAAUACUUUUGUGCGAUGAACAUCGAAGAUGAUGUCACAAAGGUAAACACUGUUGCUAUGUAUUUCACUGAUGUUGCUUUGUUAUGGUGGCGACGUAGGUCCACUGAUGUGAGACGUAGUGGGACCGAGAUUGGGACUUGGAAGGAGUUCCAAAGUGAAUUUAAAGUACAGUUUUACCCCGAGUAUGCCGAGGACGAAGCUCGAGCAAAGUUGCGACGGCUAAUGCAACGAGGCACGGUUAAGGAGUAUGUACAGGAGUUCAGUAAACUCAUGCUCCAAAUCUCUGAUUUGAGCGAGAAGGAAGCAUUUUUCUCCUUUACAGAUGGGCUGAAACCAUGGGCGAAGCAAGAAUUGCACCGUCGAGGAAUUUAGGAACUUACCAAUGCCAUAAUGGUAGCGGAGUCCAUAGUGGAACUUGCUCCGAGAAGGGACAGGUUUGAAUCUUCCAAGCCCAGCAGGAGGGGCAAUGGUGGGUAUCAUGAGGAGGAUGAAGAGGGACAAAGCUAUGAUGGCAACGCAAGUAGUAGCGAUGGUGAUGAUAGGAAACCACAAGUUGGGAAGAAGAAACCCAAGAGGAAAAGAGACAAGCUGAAAUGCUUUCUCUGCGACGGUCCACACAUGUUGAAGAAUGUCCAAAAAAAUCCGCGCUUAAGGAGAAGCCGGUGGGAAAGGCCUUGGUACUUGGUUCAAGUGCAAGGGGUGUCGAAGCCAAGGAGGCCGAAAGCGAGAAAAAGCCAGUGGAGUUCUUCUUGCGUCAUGGUCUGUAUAGGUUGCGGAAGUGUCCAAGGAAGUCUAUCAUCGAUGGGAAUGAUGGAGUAGACAAAGAGCCCAAGAAGCUUGGUUCGAGCAAGGGAAAAGCCGAAGCCAAGAGGGCAAAGAGGAGCAAAAAGAAGCGAGUAAAGUGCUUCUUGUGCCGUGGUUCGCAUGAGAUACAGAACUAUCCAAAGCAAGCCAGAGUAAAAAGAAAGGCAACGUCUGAACUUGGUGAGUCAUCAGAGGGACUUCCACUUAAGGAAGAGGUGAGUUUGUCAUCGGACUUAGAGGAAAGAGUUACGAUGAAAACAGUGAAGUUGGGACCAAUGAGGCUCAAGUUGAGUAAAGCGUCGGAGUUGGCCGAGUCAUCGACUAGGCUUCCACCUAUGGGAGAGGUGGGUGGUGCAUCAGACUUCAAGGGAAAAGAAGUGAUGCAUGUGGGACAGUUGACCAGAGUAAAUACGAAGGUACAUUUCGAACACUGUGAUAGUGUUUUGCAUUCUAACUUGUUGACUUGGCAAGAACGUAGGGGCCCUUUCGAAGUUCUUGAGCAGAGAGGCCGAGAGACUGUGGGUAAAGCGAAGCCAAGUGUGGUGAAUCAAGAGGAUUCUGUUCGAGCAAAGUUAGAAUGUGGACAAGAGAGUGACAUAACUUCUUGUCAUCGAGAUGCACAAACGAGUAGGACGGUUCGAGUGAAGAAGUGACGUAAGCCGAAGCAAAAGUCCCGAAAGAAGGAAAAGGCUAAGGCGUUGAGACGAGAUCGAGGCGAAUCAAGCCAGUGCCAUUCGGAAGUCGCAACAAGGACGUUGCGAGAAUGGGUGGGGGAGAAUGUCACGGGCCGCAGUGCAAAGCCCGUGACCAUGGCACAAGAUGCACCCUAUGGAGGUCUAUCGAUAAGAUGAGGAACAUUUAGCCCACGAGAGCUGGCCCGAUUCAGAGAACUAUUGGAGAAGCCUAUCAGAUUGAAGCCUGGUUGGCCCAAUGAUGAAAACAUGGCAACUUAGGCUAAUAUGGUAACUAAUCUUAGAAGAUAGAGAGAAUCAUAUCUUGUAAAGAUUAGAUUAGAUUUGAUAUAGCAUAUCUUGUAAAAUCCCUAAAAUUAAGGGAUAUGGUUAAUCUCGUCCGUCGAUGUAAAUGAAUCUUGACCGUCGGUUUUGGGGGAGCUCAACUAUAAAUAGAGAGCCUCCCCCUCAUUUGUACUCAUUCCAUUGUAUUCUGAAUUCUUAAGAGUAAUAGAGUUCUGAGAGCAUUUACUCAAACACCUUGUGUGCAUUCUUUUCUGUGGCUUUCUGUUGUUCUUUGGCGUAGCUUCUUUUGGCCUAAAUCGUUUCUGCUCUUCAAUUGGUGCCUUGGAGGAGUUCUUAAGGAAUCCUCAUUUGAGUUAAGGCUGACUUAGGCGAGUUUGGACGAACGGAUCACCUAAGGCCGCACGGGUUGCGAAACAAAAACUCUAGCCCCGUAACACUAGUAAACGUAAAGAAUUAUAAUUUUUCUAGAUGCAUUUGGCUAGUAGAGUAUAAUUAUAUUGUAAUUCUUUGUGCCUUGUUUAGUAAUAUAAAUUGUAAUUGCACAUUUACAAAUUUUAAAUUGUUUAAAAAGUAUUAAUUACUAUAAAUAGUUAUCAGUAAUACCUGAGAAAAAAUUUUAAACAAGUGACAUAAAUUAAAAUCAAAUCAUGUUCUGUUAGUCCAAGAAAGUAACCGACAACACGAUUGCCGAUAAAAAAGAACAAGAAAACUAAACAUCAUAUGCAACUUUAUUAUUGCUCUAGCAUUCCAUGUUUGUUGGGUUAUUCCUUUUCUAACAUUUAACAUAUACUUCUUAUCAUCAUCUAUUAGUUCUUGACCAAUUUCUUCAUUGUUGAUACAAGGUACAACAAUGGAGGGGAGUAAGGAGGAUGUAAGGUGGAGUGAGUGGUGGAAAAGUAUUAAUAAGAGAGGUUCUCUUGUCCAUUAGCAUGACAUGGCAGGAUAAAUGUUCAGUCCCACCAAAUGUGUAAAGGAUAUUCAUGAACAUAAAGGAUAUUCAUGAUGGGGGCACGUUAUGUUACUCAUUCGAUCAGUACAAGGUUAAUACGCCCAUGCAAGUCCUAAUGGCCUCAAGGAUUUGUUCACACCAAAAAAAAAAGGGUGCUAGCCUUUCUAAAGGGUUGGUGCUCCUUUGAUCUUAGUGGAUGGUUCAGCGAGACAUCUUCUUAGGCAGACUCAAUGAGAGGGUUAAUGUUGUCUAUACAGUUGACACGUGUCCAUGUGGCGGGGGUAUAAAAUUCAUCAUCUAAAUCAAAUUUUGAAUAUGCAUAAUUAAGAUUAUCCAGAUCAUUUUUUUUAUCUGUAUCAUUAAGACUAUCAAGAUCUAUUUUUUUUCCAUGUAUUGAUUGAAAGCAUUGAUAAUUCCAAUUCCACCUAUAAAUGGAAUUGUGAAGUAUACAACAAGUUCGAACGAUUGAACAUUGUUUUUUAGACUAUAUUGAUGUGGUUUGUUAAUAUGGGAAAUAUUUUUUUAGAACAAGAAAUAUCCUCUCAACCACAUUUCAAAGCUUUGAAUAAAGAGUUUGCGAGCCUUGUUUGGUACUUGUGUCUAGCUGUGUUCGUUCAAAUGAUAUCGUACCCCAUAAUAUACUGCAAGAAAACCUUUUGCAAUUGCAUAAUCAACAUCUACCACAUAAUAUUUCCUAAAAACAUGUAACAAUUUAAAUAAUUUGUGAGACAAAUAAAAUAACAGCAAGGUGAUGAUAAUAUUAAUGUAUUUAUGAAAUACAAUUUUGAUCUAUUUUCUCUCCCAAACAUCAUUCUUAGCAUUCUAGUAUUUGAGGCACAAAUCAACUUUAAAAUCCUUCAAUUAUAAUAGUUUUUAUAAAUCCAAUUUGCGGUUUACUAUGUGUUCAAAUAAUAAACCAAAUUAGAUAAAAUAAAUAAUAUAAAUUUUCUAAUAUAACAUUUAUAAACAAUGUUUUCUAUAAAGUGUUGAAUAGCUUUUAUGGUGCUUAUGUUAAAGUGCUCAAAUAUGUGGCCAUACAAGAAUAGUAUAAAAAUUAUAAUACAUGCUUUAUAAGCACAAUUUGUUAGGUUAAAAUUUGUUUUAUAAAACAUAGGAGUUAAGUGAGAUGAAAAGGGUUUCUCCUACCUCAAUCAGUAAUUGAGGGUUUGAUACUGUAUUGGAGUUGGUGGUUAUGGUAGUGUUUACAAAGCAAAACUCCCUUGUGGUAAAGUAGUUGCUUUGAAGAAACUUCAUCAUUUAGAAGCCGAAAAUCCAACUUUUGACAAGAGUUUCAGGAACGAGAUCAAGUUUCUAUCAGAAAUACGACAUCGAAACAUAGUGAAGCUUCACGGGUUUUGUCUACACCGACGAUCCAUGUUUUUGAUCUAUGAAUACAUGGAAAAAGGGAGUUUGUUCUGCAACCUAAGGGAUGAAGUGAACGCUGUGGACAUGGAUUGGACGAAAAGAGUAGAGAUCAUCAAAGGCAUAGCACAUGCUUUGUCUUACUUGCACCAUGAUUGCUGCCCUCCGAUAGUUCAUCGAGACAUAUCAAGUAACAAUGUUCUUUUAAACUCAAGUUUUGAGGCCUUUGUGGCCGACUUUGGAACAGCUAGAAUGUUGGAUCUUGAUUCAUCCAAUAAGACCAUUAUUGUCGGAACUUAUGGCUACGUAGCUCCAGGUGGCGUUUUCUUUUUUACUUGAUUUACUGACCUUUUCUCUGAACAUAUAGUUGAAUUUCUUCUUACUAAUUUGUGUAUGUAGAACUUGCUUAUACAAUGAUUGUCACCGAAAAAUGCGAUGUUUAUAGUUUUGGAGUGGUAGCACUGGAAACGUUAAUGGGAAAGCAUCCUGAAGAAGUGUUAUCAUGGUUGUCAUCACCAAGUUCCUUGGUAAACAUGAAGCUGGUUGAUGUGUUAGACAACCGUUUACCACUUCCAACAAGCCAACUAGUUACACAAAAUCUUGUUUAUGUUGCUACACUGGCAUUCGCUUGCUUAAAUCCACAACCGAAGCCCCGACCAACAAUGAAAGAAGUGUGUGAAGAGUUCCUUUCUCGCCAUACAUCCUUGGGAAUUCCUCUUCGGAUGAUCUCUUUGUUACAACUCAUGAACCGUGAAAUGCAUAUUGGAGGCAAAACUAAAACUUGUGAUGUUUAAAGUCCAUGAGCUUGUUGAUUAGAUAUUGUUUAUCAUGCUCUGAUAAUUUGUUUGUAAACCAUCUCUGGUUUUAUAUAUGAUGGAAUGAAUUGCAAUGUUUAAUAAACCUGUUUAUUCGGUUGCUUUAGAAGACAUAAAUUCUGCAAUUUGAUCCAAAUAUUAAGACAUCAUCGCUGGCUGCUUCCUUGAAUUUUGUGCUUCUUUCAAACCAACUCAAAGAUAAAUAACAUAAAAGUAAAUUAAGGGUGAAUCAAAGCAACAAAAUGCAAUCAAUACAUACAUCAAGAAUUCACCUCAACUAUCUAUAAUUCAUGAAACAAUCUCUCAACUUAUAAAAUGUAAGUGAGAUUCCACAGACCUGAUAUCCAAACUCAAAAGCAAUAAAAGGCGUCAUCAGAACCCUGGCAAGUGAAGACGACAUUCUUUUCAAGCAAGGUAGCGAUACAACUUCCUGUCACCUUUAUCCCUCUACAGGAACUCACAUUAGUAUACAUUUUUAUUUAACAUAUUAUAUAAAUUACACUUUAUAAAUCAAAAAAACAAAUGAAACUCUGAGUAUUACAUAUAUAAUAAUAUACUGCAUAUUUCCUAAAAAAUGAUAAUAUACCGCACAUGUUACAAUGCAUUUUCAAAAAAAAGAAAAAGAAAUGUGACCAUAAUAUAUAAUUUAUAUUACAAACAAAGGUACUCAUAUUUUAUAGUUCAUCAUUUUUAAUGUUUGGGACUGUAGUCGGCCAUCACGAUUUGGUUGGUAACAAAUGAAUAUAUUAUGGAUAAACUAUUAUAGAGUUUACAAAAUUACUGCUUUUUAGUCACUCGAUUAUAAAAAGUUAUAAAAUAGCCAUUUAAUUAUUAUUAAAUUACAUUUUUGAUUAAAUGCAAAAAGUACAUAUCUUAUGUAAUUUAAUUGGUCAAAUUAUGAGAAUGAACCAUUGAUUUUCUCCAUGUUUAUAUUAAAUUUUAUACAGGGGUGCAAUUUGGGGUCAAAAGAGAAAAAGGAGAAGCAAUUGGGCUAGAUUGAAGAAAGGAGCAAAGAAGGCGAGCCAAAACAGAAUUUUUCCAAGUUGUAAUUAGCUGAAAUUUUAUUUUGACUUAGUGGGGGAUUAUGUAGAGAUUUUGAUAUCGUAGGAAUAUGUUUUUUUCCUUGAUUUUCUAUGGCUAGUGGCCUUUAAUUUGGCAAAUUUGUUCAAAGCCACUAGUAUAAAUAGAGGGCUACUAUGUUCAUUUAAUCAUCAAGUUUUUCAAUCAAGUUUUUAAUCAAGCUUUUAUCUUUUGAAUUCAAUCUUCUUUCCUUUUUGCAAAUUUAUUUGCUGACAUUAAUUCCUUAUAUUUUUCCAUUUAUUAGUUUCCAGCUUUGGAACUACUGCACCCAAACCUUGCCUCACCCACAUACAUCCACUUACAUUUCUUUUUCAUUUAUCCAACCCUCUCCAAAUAUGCCCAACUCCAACAUGCCCCAAACCUAGUCAACUAAACCCAUUUCAGCUUUAGGUCGGUGUUAACUUCGUCUAGACCGGUGAGUUAUGAACCCGAGCAAUUUAAAUCCUGAAUUCUAGUAUUUAUUAUUUCUCUGGAUUAAGAGUAUGAUUUCAUCAACUCACAAAGUCAAAUCAACACUAAGUCAAAAAAGACGUCGUUUGAGUUAGUGUGGUUAGACGUACAAUUGGGAUUCCGAAAGGAUCGAUUGUCUAAUCAGUUUUCCGUGAACACAUUGGCGUGCCAAGUGGGGAUUCUUGUUUGGUUCCGUCAAGGGAAGUAGUAAUCGGAUUUAAAUGUCCCACGCGAUUGAGGGCAUUGGUUCGUGCUAAGCUCUUCUAGAACGCAAAGAUGUAGGAGUUCUAAAUCACGAACGUUUUGUAGGUUGUUUGAUCGGCAAUGGUUAGUUAUAGGACAUUUCAUAACUAAUUUACACAAGGAAGAGUUGGUGUCCGAGGUGUCUUUGGUAGCUAUAACUAGCUUAUUGGAAAAGAGAAGUUCAUCUAAUUUCGAGGAUCGGUUCAAAGACGGAAAAACUCAUGCCUGAAGCUGAGCUAAAUUUAAUUGAUUUUUCUUCAAAUUUACUUAACUGUUUUUAUUAUUUAAUUGUUUCCAGCUUUUACUUUUUACGCAUUUUUUCCCCUGUUUAUUUCAGGUUUCAAAUUUUAUCCCCCCAAAUUUCUUGGGCAUGACAACUUCCCAAACAUAAAUAUGGUCGAGAGAGAGAAACAAUUUUCAGUAAUCUAGUCUCUAAGGGAUUGAUCCUACUCCCUAUAUUGCUCAAAUUUGCAAAUUAGGUGUAGGAUUUUAUUGGUGGAAUCAACAACCAUCAGUUUUGGCGCCGUUCCCGGGGACUGGCAACACUCACAAUUGUUUAAAUCGUCUUCAUGACUAAAUCUUCAUCCAGAGAUCUCGAAUACGACCCAGAGAUUUGAGAAAUCAAAAUGAGCACGACGAAAAAAGACAGAAGCUCUUAAACAUGCAAGUAAAGAAAAAGUUGAGCUAGGACAAGGGAUCUUAGAAUCCGACGUCGAAAAGUUGAGCUAAGAAAUUCGGGCAGAGGCAAUUCAACGUGGGAAACAAGUCAAAGUGGUUGAACCUGAGACCGAACCACUUUUUGAAAAAAAGAAGCAGAAGACAACCUCGGUGAACCAGAAAGGAUGGAAAACCGAACCAUUCGUCAACUAGCCACAUAAGCAACUAUUCCUUUUAAAAAAUUUAAAUAUUCCUUUUAACUUUUUAUUUUUGUUGACAUGGCAGCUGACAUGGUAUUUCCACAUAAGCAACUAUCGCUAACAUGAAGCACCACGUUAGCGCCGUUAAUGGCCACGUCAAUGUUGUAACGGUCAAUAUUAGUCAAAGGGCCUAUUUGGCCAAUUUUGUUAGUUCAGGGGCUCAAUUGGGUGCAAAAAGUUCGUAGGGGCUUAAUUGAUUUUUUUUGAAAAAGUUCGAGGACCAAAAAUACCAUUAAACCCUUCUUUAACUAUUGAUAUUUCUUUUUCUAAGAAUCAGUCAACAUUAGUUAAAAGGCCUAUUUUGUCAGUUUUGUUAGAUUAAGGGCUCAGUUGGGUGCAAAAAGUCUGCAAGGGCUUAAUUGAUUUUUUUGAAAAAGUUCAACGAUCAAAAAUACCUUUAAGCCCUACUUUAACUAUUGAUAUGUCUUUUUUAAUUAAUUUUACAUUAGUGCAUAGUACAGGCACACUAUGUACGAGGUGUUUCCACAUAUACAUGUGAAGUGUAUUUUGAUACCACGGAGGAAUUAGAUGAAAAUGUGACUAUUAAGGUAGUAGUGUCACCUUCUAGUAAUUGCAAAGAAUUAUAAUUUUUUAGAUGCAUUUGGCUAGUAGAGUGUAAUUAUAUUGUAAUUCUUUGUGCCUUGUUUAGUAAUAUAAAUUGUAAUUACACAUUUACAAAUUUUAAAUUUUUUAAAAAGUAUUAAUUACUAUAAAUAGUUAUCAAUAAUACUUGAGAAAAAAUUUUAAAUAGGUGACAUAAAUUAAAAUCAAAUCAUGUUAUGUUAGUCCAAAAAAGUAACCGACAACACGAUUAUAUGCAACUUUAUUAUUGCUCUAGCAUUCCAUGUUUGUUGGGUUAUUCUUUUUCUAACAUUUAACAUAUACUUCUUAUCAUCAUCUAUUUGUUCUUGACCAAUUUCUUCAUUGUUGAUACAAGGUACAACAAUGGAGGGGAGUAAGGAGGAGAUAAGGUGGAGUGAGUGGUGGUUUUGUGGAGGCCAGUUCACUUAAAGAGGCAGAGAGCUAGAAAGGAAUAAGAGGACAAGCUGAUUGCUGAAAGAAAAGAUGGUUGUUCAGAGUAACUUUAAGGGUUGGAAAAUCGAUCCAUUCUUCAUCGUUGGAAAGGUAUUUAUAAAAGAGGCCCUCUUGUCCAUUAGCAUGAUGUGGCAAGAUAAAUGCUCAGCCCCACCAAAUGUGUAUAUUCACGAACAUGAAGGAUAUUCAUGAUGGGCCCUAUUCUAUUAUCCAUUCGAUCAGUACAAUGUUGUUACGCUCAUGCAAGUCCUAAUGGCCUCAAGGAUGUGUUCACACCAAAAAAAGGGGUGCCUAACCUUUCUAAAGGGUUGGUGCUCCUUUGAUCUUAGUGGAUGGUCCGGCGAGACAUCUUCUCAGGCAGACUCAAUGAGUGGGUUAAUGUUGUCUAUACUGUUGACACGUGUCCAUGUGGCGGGGGUAUAACAUUCAUCAUCUAAAUCAAAAUCUGAAUAUGCAUCAUUAAGAUUAUCUAGAUCAUUUUUUUAUCUGUAUCAUUAAGAUUAUCAAUAUCUGCUUUUUUUUUCAUGUACUGUUUAAAAGUAUUGAUAAUUCCAAUUCCACCUAUAAAUGGAAUUGUGAAAUAUACAACAAGUUAGAACGAUUGAACAUUGUUUUUCAGACUAUAUUGAUGUGGUUUGUUAAUAUGGGAAAUAUUUUUUUAGAACAACAAAUAUCCUCUCAACCACAUUUCAAAACUUUGAAUAAAGAGUUUACGAGCCGUGUUUGGUACUUGUGUCUAGCUCUGUUCUUUCAAAUGAUAUUGUACCCCGUGAUAUACUGUAAAAAAACCUUUUGCAUUUGCAUAAUCAACAUCUACCGCAUAAUAUUUCCUAAAAAACAUGUAACAAUUUAAAUAAUUUGUGAGAAAAAUAAAAUAACAGCAAGGUGAUGAUAAUAUUAAUGUAUUUAUGAAAUACAAUUUUGAUCUAUUUUCUCUCCCAAACAUCAUUCUUAGCAUUCUAGUAUUUGAGGCACAAAUCAACUUUAUAAUCCUUCAAUUAUAAUAGUUUUUAUAAAUCCAAUUUGCAGUUUACUAUGUGUUCAAAUAAUAAACCAAAUUAGAUAAAAGAAAUAAUAUAAAUUUUAUAAUAUAAUUGUUAUACCUAAUUUUAGCUCGGGCUCACAUAUGGAAACAUAUUUUUUGAGGAUAUGCAAUCUUAUAUAUGAUAUGCAAUCCUAGAUAUGAUAUAUGCAAUCUUAGAUAUGAUAUGCAAUCUUAGAUAUGAUGUAUAAUCUUAGAUAUGAUAUGCAAUCUUAGAAGAUAUGAUUUUGAAAUCUUAGAGAUACCCUUUAAUCUCAGCCGUUGAUGUAAUUGAUCUGUACCGUUGGAUUUGGGGAGGCUCAACUAUAAAUAGAGGCCUCUCCCUUCAUUGCAUGAGGAGAAAAAAAGAGGAAAGGGAGGAAUAAAAAAAGAGAACGAUUGACAGUUUUUUAAAGGUGGCUUACUAUUUUUUUCGUUUGAUUAUUUUGUACUUAUUUACAAUUUUAAAAAAGGAGAAGGUGAUACCACUACGAAUUUUAUUUAUUUAUUUUUUAUUUAGCCCCUCCGCCUUUUAAUGUCUUUAUAAUUAGGUUUUUUUUAUUUUUUUAAAAAUUUUGCCCUUUAAUUUAUUUUAAUUUCAAUUUAACCCUUCUUGAACGACACCGUUUUAGAGGAGAAGGGAAAAUUUCCCUUCCAGCCCCUUUAUGUAAUUCGCGUAUUCAAUUUAGUCCUCCAGACUUUAUUUAUUUGCGAAAUUACCCCAUAUUUUUUAUUUGUAAUCCAAUUUAGCCUUUUUUUCAUAUUUUCUUCAAAAAUCAAUAUUUUUUUGAUGAUGCAAUUGUUCUUAUCUUAUAAUUCUUAUCUGUAAUUAUUAUUAUAUUGUAUAUAUGUUUUUUAAAAAAACAUGUAGUUAUGCCUUUUUUUAAUUAGUAUUUUUUUCGCGUACUUAUAUAUAUAUAUAUACUUGUUUUAUUUAUUUAAUUAUCUUUGAUAUUAUUUAUUUCAAACCUAUGUAUUUUUAUGUGCACUUGUAUGUAUUUUUUGUUAUUUAUUUUAAUUAUUCGCUUAUUAAUUUAUGUUUGCAUAUUUUCUGCUCAUUUAUUUAAUAUCUUUUGCAUGUCAUUAUUUAUAUUCAAUUGUUUGUAUUAUUUCCAUGCUAUUAUUGUACUUGUUAUCAUUGUUAUUAUGACAUUUGCGCAUAUAAAAUAAUGUUACAUUAUUUUUUAGAAAAAACUCAAAUUUAAAAAUAUAAUUUUCAAAAUUGAGAUAAUACUCGUAUUUAGGAUUGCUCAAGGAAAUUGAGCCCUAACGUAUUGGGUUCCGAUUUUUUUGAAAAUCUAACAAUCGAGGAUUGCUCUUUAAACCAACUAAAAACUCAUUAUUGGGAAUUCAACACGUUGUGUCCUAACGUAUUGGAUGUGACGCAUUGAUUUCUCGAUGUAGAUUUUUUAAAAAUCAUAAAGGAAAUAUUCCGAGUUUGGGAUUUUUAAAGGAAUCGUGCCCUAACAUAUUGGGUGUGAUUUCUUAAAUCUUGGAUAAGUGGAUGUUCUUUUAAAGUAAAGGAAAUAUUCCGAGUUUGGGAUUCUAAAGGGAUCGUACCCUAACGUAUUGGGUGUGAUUUCUUAAAUCUUGGAUAAGUGGAUGUUCUUUUCAAGUUUUAUUGUACAAGUAUUUUGGCCCAAUUCAUUUUUGGGGGAAAAUUAGAAUGCUGUGCCCUAACGCAUUAGGUGUGGUAUCUUCUUUCUCUGAAAUAAAAAGGGUCUUAAUACGUAGCCUUUUAAGUUUUGCUAAGGAUUACGUUUUUCCAAAUUCUCGACCUUAAGAUACUAAUUAAUUAACCAGGUACAAAUUUUGGGCGUUACGAGGGUGUUAAUCCUUCCUCGAACGUAACUGACACCCGGAUCCGUUUUUCUAAAACUUGUAGACCAAAGCCGUUUUUUAGGUGAUCCAAUCACACCUCAAUAAAAGAUUGGUGGCGACUCCCAAAUUUUCAUUUUUUUUAAAGUCGACAACCUAAAAUUUUUGUUUUUCAAAAAAAUAGUUUCGACAAUAACAUUUAUAAACAAUGUUUUCUAUAAAGUGUUGAAUAGCUUUUACGGUGCUUAUGUUAAAGUGCUCAAAUAUGUGGCCAUACAAGAAUAGUAUAAAAAUUAUAAUACAUGCUUUAUAAGCGCAAUUGGUUAGGUUAAAAUUUGCUUUAUAAAACACAGGAGUUGAGUGAGAUGAAAAGGGUUUCCUACCUUAAUCAGUAAUCGAGGGUUUAAUCCUCGCCUAAGUAUGGAGUAGCUUUAAAACUUGUGGCCAGCAUCUACCCCCUUAAUGGGCCUACAAAAUGCGAAGGAUUAGUUACCGGGCGCGCUUCGGUAGAUACAUUGAGGAAUCAAAAAAAAAAAUUACACCAAAUAUUUUGACUUAUGUGUCUAAUAACAAAGCAGUUUUGACCCGAUAAGAAAUAUAUAAUUUUAUUUUAAAAAAUAUAUAAAAUAUAUGUCAUAAAAUUAAAAUUUUUUAUUAUUAUUGUAUUAAAAUAAAUUUUAUAAACUUCUAUAAAAAAUAAUUUCUUAAAUCAUGUACGUGUGUUUGAAAGACUAUAAGAUAAUUAGUAAUUGAUUGUAAUUACUCACGUAAUUACCUCAACUCUCAACUCCCUAAGAAUUGAAUAGUAUAAUUGAGGUGCUAUUAUAUUCAAUUUAGUGGACCCAACAAUUACAAUAGUUAGCCAAACAUACUAUUCCUUUGUACUUGCAAGUAAUUACACUUAAAUCUAAUAAUUAAUUCACAUUAAAUUUUUCAAAAUCAUACACUUUGGGGUCGAAAUUAAACUGAUUUUUUUUUAGUUUCCAAACAAUUGCAAAGAAAAUUCAUGAAAUUAAGUUGUUUUCAAAUAAUUAAUUCACAUUGGAAUUUUCAAAUAAGAUAUCACAUUACUAAUACUUCAAUCAUUAAAAUAUUAUAUAAGACAUUUUGCCUUAUACAGCAAAAUAUGAAAAUACUAAAACUUAAUCCAGUUUAAUCAUUCUAAAGUUUCUAAUUUUGUUUAAAAGUAUUUUCAAAUAUAUAUGAUUUUAAAUUUGUAUAUUUUAACAUGAAAUUCAUUAUAUUGUAGUAAGAUUUUAAUGUAAUAUGUUUAAUUUUUUUAAUUUAAUUCAAACAAUUUCACUCGAUUCAGCUCGACUCGAAUUUUAUUUCACUCAACUCAAUUUGAAAAAAAAAUUCUAAAUUGAAUUAAGAUGAUAAAAUAAGACUUGUCAACUCGAUUAACUCAAAAUUAUUUUACUCAAUCACCGCUAGCAAUUGCAUCCUUGAUACUAAUAACAACAUAAAAAUGUAUACUCAUCUUUUCAAAUUAAUAUGCAGCCACGAAAUGGAAAUUUCCAUGAAAAAAAAACUAUUGCAUAUGAAAAAGUAAGUUCCAUGACAUCGACUGAAGCAAUAACAACAAUUGCAAAAAGACAUUGACUCCUAUAGAAAUCCAUCAGUUUGGAAACUAUAACGUAUAUGCUACAACUGGGUUUUUUUCGUGUGUCACCCGUUAGGAUUUGAAUUAUGUUGGUAAUAAAUAUAAUCUAUUUUAAUUAAAAAAUGAGUAGAAUUUAGUAAUUUAUUAUGACCCAAAUUAUUGGUAAAGUUAAAAUUAAUUUUUUUUCGAACAAAAACUUUCGGUGCUCAGUACUUAUGUGUAAUUCAAUCUUCUCAUCAUAUAUUCCGAAUAAGCUAAAAGGUAUGGCAUGGUGUCUACCUUUGCUCAUCCAUGUCAGACUUGCAACUCCUUGUAUUCACCUUGAUUGUCGGCCUUCACUAAGGACUUAUAGUUAUACAAGUCAAGAGCAAAAAGAUAUGUCCCCUAAUAUCACUUUGGGUGAUGAGUCCUUUCUGAACCAUUCCAUCACCUUCAUAUGUCAUACCAUACCUAAAACAUUCUACUUUCAACAUCUAUCAAUGCGAAUCCAUUUGGUGAUGAAUCAAAGUAUGACGGUCAACAUACAAGUUUGUGUCUUAAGUCUAAGGAUCAUUUACACUACCAAUACAUGGGAGUAUUUCUAUAAACAUUUGAGUGAAAUACCAAAUGGAACUCUCAUAAUAGGCCAAGUUAUAUUUUAUAAUUUUUUCGAACUUUUUAAAAUCAUUAAUAUUUUAUUUUUUAUAUUUGUAAUACAAUAAUUUUAUAAUUUUUUUAUAACUUUUACAUUUUAAAAAUAUUUUAAUAACUUGAACAUCAAUAUAUACUUCCACACGGCAUGUCACAUGUCAACUUGCCAUAGCUUCCGUCAACUAAUCAACAACCAAUAUUGAUAAAAUCAGUCAACAACAAUUUUCGUUAUUGAAAAGAGCCAAUUGAUUUUUUUCCAUUGAAUCCUCAAUUGGGUCUGUUUUUCUAUUAUGAGCUUAAUUAAUUUUUAACUUUUUAUUAAGUUGUUUUUCCUUUAACCUUAUAUUAAUAUUCAUUACUUUAUUAAAAAAAACUUACUUUUAGGUAAUUUUUCCAACCAAAAUGAUAUCAAAUUAACUCGUAACAUAAAUUCAAUAAAAUAUAUUAUAUAAACAUAUACAUAAAUUCAUUAAAACCUGUCAAUAGUGAAAACACCAUUAAUUUGUCUGAAGUCUCUACUUUUGGGAUCUUAAUGGGGGAGAAAAUUUUUAGAUAGAAACUGAAUACGAUAUAUAAAGUAAAUGCCACGUUAAAAGCUCAGUUCUUUGGAAAAUAAAUUCCAUCACGACUGAACCAAAAAUUCCCUUGUGUCAUAAUCUUUUGUGGAAAAUUAGGCACAUAAUGGAAAAGUAUAUCCACAAAAUGAUAGAAAAAGGCUUUGGGCCACAAUUAAAUCAACAUCUUUAAAUUGUUAAAUCAAAUUAAAGAUGGAAUCGUCGUUGUCAUGGGAUCCACACGGGGUGUACGUAUAAUGAAUUUCCCAUGUUUUUUGCAUGAAACUUUUGAUUCAAUGAGAAAGGAAAUAUUUUCAAAAUCAUGCAGCUUCGGAUUCUAAUUAAGCUUAUUUUUUUCCAAGCAAUUGCAAAGAUUUGUUUCGACAACAAAUAAUAAUCGGAUAAAAGUGUAAUUAUUAAAUAGUAAUUACAAAAGAUUUAUAAUUACAAAAUUAGAUCGUAAUUUUCUAUAUCAUAUUUCGUAGUACAAAUUGUAAAUUAUAAUUAUAAUUACAUAGUUACUUAAUAUAUUUUUUUAAAAUAUUAAUUACUAUAAUAAAUUAUCAGUAAAAUUAAAAAAUUUCUAAACAAGUAACAAAAAUUAAAAUAAAAUCAUCAUAUUUAAUAUGUUAGCCCAAGAAACUAAUCGAUAAUGAUUACUAAUAAAAUUAUAAGAAAAAUGAUUUAUUUUAGGUUAUAACAAAUAUAUAUUUUUUUUUUGAACAAUGAGAUUUGAACCUAAGCAAUUCCUUGGAAAGAUGAAUACUCGACCAAUAGACUACAACUUAAAGUUUUUUAGAAUAUUAUAACCAUUUUUAUAAUUCAUGAAUUAGGUUAAAAUAGUAUAAAAUUUUAAUAUAUAACAAUUAUAAAAAAAUUAUAAAGUGUCCAAUAACUUCCAAAACACUUCUUAUAAAUAAUAUUUUUUUAUCUUUUUUUUUUUAAAUAAGUCAUGGCAAAAAAUUAUAAUUGUUUAUAAAUAAAUAUUAUUUUCUAUAACAUAUAGUAUAGACACAUAAGUAAGUUAUAUUUAAAUUUUUUGACCAUAACUUUUUUAUAAGUAAGUAUGUAGUACACUUUUUAUAAAACAUAAAUUAUUUUUAUAAUAUACUUUUGGCCUAUAACUUUAGAAACUUUUUAGGAUUUAAAUAAUAUAAUUCUUGUCAUAACUUUAUAAAAUAUUAAAAAUAUAUAAUAGUAAUUUUUAGAACUUAUAAUAUGAUUUUAGAAAUUUUUAUUCAUAAUCAUCCUAAACACGUAUGCGUAUUUAUGUUUAUAAAAUAAUUUUUUAACUUAAAUUUGUAUAAAAAAUAUUUUUUAAAGUUAAAUUAUGUAUGAAUUUUCCGUGAGAAAUUAAUAUAUCGGGAAACAUGCGUUGACAUAUACUUUUGAUAAAUUCAAAUCAGGAGGUAUCAUAAUUAUCAAGAAAUAUGGACCAUAGGAACAGCAAAGAUUCAAUCCUAUAAUAUAGUAUUUGCAUUAUUGAUACUAAACAUAGAAAUUCCAUGAAGAAGAAAGCAUUGCGCAUGAUGAAUUAAGUUCCAUGACAAGGACUAAAACAAUGACGAUAACUUGCCCCUACAACUAUUGCAACAAGAGCUUGAAUCCUUUGAUGAGUUCCUUUAAAUUCAUCGUUUGGAAACCAUAACAUAUAUGCUACCACUAAAUACUUACCAGAUUAAACAAUGGCCUCAUCCCUAACCAUUUCUGUUAUUCUAGGGGUACUGUGGGCUGCCAUCCUUCUUUCCUUUGCUACAACUGUAACAGCAGCAUAUCCAUCGCCAUUGGAGUCCGAAGCCAUAGCUCUGCUAGAAAGCAGGUGGUGGAGUAACCAUAGCAGCAAUACUUCACAACGUUGCCAGUGGCCUGGUAUAACCUGCAACACUGCUGAAAGCAUCACCAAAAUUAACUUAUCUGAUGCGCCCAACAUUGAGGUUGGAGAUAGAUUUGGGAAACUGAAUUUCUCUUCAUUUCCAAAUCUUGUCCUUCUUGAUCUUAGUGACCAUCAACUUAGAGGAAAAAUCCCGCAUCAGAUAGGUGAUCUAUCAGCAUUGAAGUACCUUGACUUGUCUUAUUGUGGUUUAUCUGGUGAGUUACCUCCUUCUCUAGGGAAGCUGACCCAAUUAGAAUUCCUCGACAUUUCCUAUAAUGAUAAUAUUAAUGGUUCCAUCCCUCCACAAUUGGGGAAUCUAGAGAACCUUGUGACUUUAAACUUAAGUCAAUGUGGAAUUGUUGGUCCAAUCCCUUCUGCUUUGGGUCAAUUAACCAGUCUCCAAUCUCUGAUCCUUUGGGGGAACCAAAUCAAUGGAUCUAUCCCAUUAGAAAUUGGAUAUUUGAGAAAUUUGACUUAUUUGAGUCUCUCCAACAAUAGAAUUGUUGGUCCAAUCCCUUCUGCUUUGGGUCAAUUAACCAGUCUCCAAUCUCUGAUCCUUUGGGGGAACCAAAUCAAUGGAUCUAUCCCAUUCGAAAUUGGAUAUUUGAGAAAUUUGACUUAUUUGAGUCUCUCCAAGAAUAGAAUUGUUGGUCGAAUCCCUUCUGCUUUGGGUCAAUUAACCAGUCUCCAAUCUCUGAUCCUUUCGGGGAACCAAAUCAAUGGAUCUAUCCCAUUAGAAAUUGGAUAUUUGAGAAAUUUGACUGAUUUGAGUCUCUCCAGCAAUGGAAUUGUUGGUCCAAUCCCUUCUGCUUUGGGUCAAUUAACCAGUCUCCAAUCUCUGAGCCUUUCGGGGAACCAAAUCAAUGGAUCUAUCCCAUUAGAAAUUGGAUAUUUAAGAAAUCUGACUUUUUUGGGUCUCUACAACAAUAGACUUGUCGAUUCAAUACCCAUUACUCUGUACCAAUUAACCAAUUUGGAAAUUUUGUACCUUGAUAAUAACCAACUUCAAGGUUCUAUUCCCCAAGAAAUUUGUAAUCUAGCAAAUUUAACUUCAUUGUACCUCUCCCAAAACAAAUUGACUGGUUCAAUCCCUUCUUGUGUUGGUAGUUUAUCAAAGAUGCAGGACUUAGCCCUUGGUUCUAAUCUAUUAAAAGGUCCUAUUCCCCAAGAAAUUUGUAAUCUAGCAAAUUUAACUUCAUUGGCCCUCUCCCAAAACAAAUUGAGUGGUUCCAUCCCUUCUUGUGUUGGUAGUUUAUCAAAGAUGUGGUACUUAAGCCUUGAUUCUAAUCUAUUAAAAGGUUCUAUCCCAAAAGAUAUUGGCAAGCUUUUUGAUCUAUCAUAUCUAAACCUUAGCUUCAACCAACUCUCAGGUCCUAUCCCUAUCUUGUAUGCUACUGAUCUCUACAUUGUCGACGCUGGAAAUGGUUGUAACAAGAUUUCUCCCGAUCCAUUUGAAGGCAAUAGUGAUUUAUCACCCUAUAUGUGUCCUACUCCAGUAACCAAAAAAGCCAACAGCAGCAGAAUUCCUUACUAUAUCAAAAUAUUCCUCCCUAUUGCGAUCUUAUUCACAUUCUCCAUUUUAGGAUGUUUGCUAUUUUCACGGUUUAAGCUCAAGAAUAACCAUGUCAGCGUACAACCAACCAAGAAUGGGGAUUUGUGUUCCAUAUGGAACUAUGAUGGAAAGAUAGCAUACGAGGAUAUCGUUGCAGCAACAGAGGAUUUCGACUUCCGAUACUGUAUUGGAGUUGGUGGUUAUGGUAGUGUUUACAAAGCAAAACUCCCUUGUGGUAAAGUAGUUGCUUUGAAGAAACUUCAUCAUUUAGAAGCCGAAAAUCCAACUUUUGACAAGAGUUUCAGGAACGAGAUCAAGUUUCUAUCAGAAAUACGACAUCGAAACAUAGUGAAGCUUCAUGGGUUUUGUCUACACCGACGAUCCAUGUUUUUGAUCUAUGAAUACAUGGAAAAAGGGAGUUUGUUCUGCAACCUAAGGGAUGAAGUGAAUGCUGUGGAAAUGGAUUGGACGAGAAGAGUAGAGAUCAUCAAAGGCAUAGCACAUGCUUUGUCUUACUUGCACCAUGAUUGCUGCCCUCCGAUAGUUCAUCGAGACAUAUCAAGUAACAAUGUUCUUUUAAACUCAAGUUUUGAGGCAUUUGUGGCCGACUUUGGAACAGCUAGAAUGUUGGAUCUUGAUUCAUCCAAUCAGACCAUUAUUGUCGGAACUUGUGGCUACGUAGCUCCAGGUGGCGUUUUCUUUUUUACUUGAUUUACUGAACUUUUCUCUGAACAUAUAAUUGAAUUUCUUCUUACUAAUUUGUGUAUGUAGAACUUGCUUAUACAAUGAUUGUCACCGAAAAAUGCGAUGUUUAUAGUUUUGGAGUGGUAGCACUGGAAACAUUAAUGGGAAAGCAUCCUGAAGAAGUGUUAUCAUGGUUGUCAUCACCAACUUCUUUGGUGAACAUGAAGCUGGUUGAUGUGUUAGACAACCGUUUACCACUUCCAACAAGCCAACUAGUUACACAAAAUCUUGUUCAUGUUGCUACACUGGCAUUCGCUUGCUUAAAUCCACAAACGAAGUCCCGACCAACAAUGAAGGAAGUGUGUGAAGAGUUCCUUUCUCGCCAUACAUCCUUGGGAAUUCCUCUUCGGAUGAUCUCUUUGUUACAACUCAUGAACCGUGAAAUGCAUAUUGGAGGCAAAACUAAAACUUGUGAUGUUUAAAGUCCAUGCGCUUGUUGAUUAGAUAUUGUUUAUCAUGCUCUGAUAAUUUGUUUGUGAACCAUCUCUGGUUUUAUAUAUAUGAUGGAAUGAAUUGCAAUGUUUAAUAAAACUGUUUAUCCAGUUGCUUUAGAAGACAUAAAUUCUGGAAUUUGAUCAAAAUAUUAAGACAUCAUCGCUGGCUGCUUCCUUGAAUUUUGUGCUUCUUUCAAACCAACUCAGAUAAAUAACAUAUAAGUAAAUUAAGGGUGAAUCAAAGCAACAAAAUGCAAUCAAUACAUACAUCAAGAAUUCACCUCAACUAUCUAUAAUUCAUGAAACAAUCUCUCAACUUAUAAAAUGUAAGUGAGAUUCCACAGACCUGAUAUCCAAACUCAAAAGCAAUAAAAGGCGUCAUCAAAACCCUGGCAAGUGAAGACGACAUUCUUUUCAAGCAAGGUAGCGAUACAACUUCCUGUCACCUUUAUCCCUCUACAGGAACUCACAUUAGUAUACAUUUUUAUUUAACAUAUUAUAUAAAUUACACCUUAUAAAUAGAAAAAACAAAUGAAACUCUGACUAUUACAUAUAUAUAAUAAUAUACUGCAUAUUUCCUAAAAAAGGAUAAUAUACCGCACAUGUUACAACGCAUUUUCAAAAAAAGAAAAAGAAAUGUGACCAUGAUAUAUAAUUUAUAGGACAAACAAAGGUACUCAUAUUUUAUAGUUCAUCAUUUUUAAUGUUUGGGACUAUAGUCGGCCAUCACGAUUUGGUCGGCAACAAGUGAAUAUAUUAUGGAUAAACUAUUAUAGAGUUUACAAAAUUACAACUUUUUAGUCUGUAAAUUAUAAAAAGUUAUAAAAUAGCCAUUUAAUUAUUAUUAAAUUACACUUUAUAAAUGAUAAACAAAUAAAACUCCAAAUAUUACAUAUUUAAUAAUGUAAGCACAUUGUAAUAGGCCAAUUUUGGCCUGGCCCAAUAUUAACUAAAUUAAAAAAGAAACCAAAUAUAAAAAUUAAUAAUUGUCCAAUAACAGUCCAGAGUUACAAUGGCCCAAUUAACCCAAGAUCAAACAGCAGCCCAAAACCCCUAGCCCAAUUACAACUAGCCCAAAACCAAUAGCAAAAGAAAGACCAGAAAACCCUAGCAGAGACCAACAGCCGUCGUCGUUCCCCAUGCGCGCAACGCCUCCACGCUCCUCUAGCUGGCUGUACCUGCAAAACAAACGAAACCAACAAGGACAGCAAGGAAAGGCAAUAACAAAAAAAGAUCUAGCAAAUGAAAAAGAAGAAUAACAGAAAAUGAGAUUUUUCUUUCUUGUAAUUUUAUUUUUUGUUUUUAUCAGCUAUAUAAGGCCGAAUAAUCUGUAAAAAAGGGGGAGGAAAUUAAAAAAAGCAGUAAAAAAUCAAUCACAAUUUUUGAAAGUGAUCUAAAUUUCUUUUUUUCAUUUAAUUUCUUUGCUAUUUUCCUUAGUUUUUUUUCGUUGAUGGUUGCUUACUGUUUCAGAAAAGAAACACAAAAAAGGGAGAGGGUUUACCUUAGUGUCGGCGCCGAUUGGAUCUUUAUUUACUUCGUCGCAAUCGAAGCUCAAGCGAGGGUUGUAAAGCUAAAGGUAGCAAAUUUUAUUCCCCUGGCAUCGCAGUAGAUUAAAGCUGAAGGUAGCAAAUCUUAUUUCCCUAGAGUCGCAGUAGAUUAAAGCUGAAGGCAGCGAAUCUCAUUUCCUUGGCGUUGCAGUGGAACAGAUUAAAGCUGAAGGCAGCAAAUCUUAUUUCCCUGGCGUCGCAGUAGAUUAAAGCUGAAGGCAGCGAAUCUCAUUUCCUUGGCAUUGCGGUGGAACAGAUUAAAGCUGAAGGCAGCAAAUCUUAUUUCCCUAGCGUCGCAGUAGAUUAAAGCUGAAGGCAGCGAAUCUCAUUUCCUUAGUGUUGCAGUGGAACAGAUUAAAGCCGAAGGCAGCAAAUCUUAUUUCUCUAGCGUCACAGUAGAUUAAAGCUGAAGGCAACGAAUCUCAUUUCCUUAGUGUUGCAGUGGAACAGAUUAAAGCUGAAGGCAGCGAAUCUUAUUUCCCUCGCGUCGCAGUAGAUUAAAGCUAAAGGCAGCGAAUCUCAUUUCCUUGGCGUUGCAGUGGAACAGAUUAAAGCUGAAGGCAGUGAAUCUCAAUUCCUUGGCGUUGCAGUGGAACAGAUUAAAGCUGAAGACAGCGAAUCUUAUUUCCUUGGCAUUGCAGUGGAACAUAUUAAAGUUGAAGGCAGCUAAUCUUAUUUCCUUGGUGUUGCAGUAGAUUAAAGUUAAAGGUAGAGAAUCUUAUUUCCUUGGCGUUGCAGUGGAACAGAUUAAAGCUGAAGGCAGCGAAUCUUAUUUCCCUGGUGUCACAGUAGAUUAAAGCUGAAGGCAGCGAAUCUUAUUUCCCUAGCAUCACAGUGAGAUGGUUUGAAGUUAUCAUGGCAGAUCUUAUCUCCCUGAAGUUGCAAUGGAGCAGAUUAAAGCCACAAAACUUAUCCCCCCGACGUUGCAGUGAGGCAGGUUGAAGAGACAAAUCUUAUCUUCCUGAAGUUACAGUGAAGCAGAUUGAAGCCACCAGUCUUGUUUCCUUGAAGUUGCAGUGGAGCAGACUAAAACCACAAAUCUCGUCCCCUUUGAAAUCGCAACAGGGUAGAUUGAAGCUAUGAGCCGUAUAUAAAGUUACAGUAGAGUGGAUCGAAGCAACAAGAUGCAGUGGGCUGGAAUUAGGCUACUUGAAGAAGAGAAGCACUAAGAGAGGUGAAGACUCGGCAAGACUAGGCAAAAUUGUCCCUUUUUAAGUCUUUGCUCCUAUUUUUGUUACACGACAACGAACAAAGAGGCGCAACUGUAAUAGGCCAAUUUUGGCCUUGCCCAAUAUUAACCAAAUUAAAAAAGAAACCAAAUAUAAAAAUUAAUAAUUGUCCAAUAGCAGCCCAAAACCCCUAGCCCAAAACCAAUAGCAAAAGAAAGACCAGAAAACCCUAGCAGUAGACCAGCAGCCGCCGUCGUUCCCUACGCGCGCAACGCCUCCACGCGCCUCCAGCUGGCUGUACCUGCAAAACAAACGAAACCAACAAGGAUAGCAAGGAAAGGCAAUAACAAAAAAAGAGCUAGCAAAUGAAAAAUGAGAAUAACAGAAAAUGAGAUUUUUCUUUCUUGUAAUUUUAUUUUUUGUUUUUAUCGGGUAUAUAAGGCUGAAUAAUCUGUAAAAAAAAAGGAUAGGAAAUUUAAAAAGCAGUAAAAAAUCAAUCACAAUUUUUGAAAGUGAUCUAUAUUUCCUUUUUUUUCAUUUAAUUUCUUUGCUAUUCUCCUUAGUUUUUUUUUUCGUUGAUGCUUGCUUACUGUUUAAGAAAAGAAACACAAAAAAGGGCGAGGGUUUACCUUAGUGUCGGCGUCGAUUGGAUCCUUGUUCGCUUCGUCGUAAUUGAAGCUCAAGCGAGGGUUGUAAGGUCGAAGAUCGGCGGAGCUUUCAGCGGCGUGGGAAUGGGUUCAAAAACCCUAGUAGAGGAAAAAGGGGAUAAUAGUUUUUUUUAAAGAAUGACAGAAAGUAGUUUUUUUAAAAAAAAAUUGUUGAUUUUAUAUUAGGUAUGAAAUGUCGUCAUUUAAGGCCUGUUUCAGUGGCCUCAAAACGGUGCCGUAUAAGGCCAUGACCCGCGCGGUAACCCGACCUGAAGGAAGGAUCCACGUGUUUUUUAUUUAUGGGUAAUUUGCACCUCUGGUCCCGUUGCAUUUUUAUUUAUUUUAAUUCAGUUGUUUUCAUUUUUUCAAUUGAUACUGUAAAUUUUAUUCGGUUUCUGAUUCGGUCCUGAUGAAAUGGCGCGUUUCAGAGGGCGAGAAUAUUUCCCCAUCCAGUCCCUCUGAGUUAUUCGUGCCUUUCAAUUGGGCCCUUCAUUUUGUUUUAUUUUCGUUUUUUCCUUUUAAUUCAGUUUUGAGUUUAAUUUAAUCCAUACUUAUUUAAUUUAAUGUACUUGAUUUUUAUUCUGUUUAAAAUCUAUUUUUCUAUUAUUUUUAGAUAUAUUUAUUUUUAAAUCUAACUUUCUUUUUAUGUUUAAGUUUAAUAUAUUUUUAAGUUUAUUAUCAAUAUUAUAAUAUAUUAUUAUUCUAAAUUUAUCAUUAACAUUAUUUUAGGUGUAUCAUGUAUUUUUUAUUUAAAUUUAUCAUGUAUUAUCUUAUGCAUUCUUGUUGCAAUUUCAAUAUAAUUUAUACAUUUUUUUACGGUUUUAUUUUAUAAUACAUUUUUAAUUUCACUUAUAUAUUUCUUUGCUUUAAAGAUUAAUACAAUAAUACUCUUACAUAAUAUUUUUUAUUCAUAUAUAUAAUUUGUAUUAAACUAUUUUUAUUAUACAUAUAUAUAUACACAAAAUAUAUCAUCGAUUUCAUAUUAUUAUAUAUCUUAUCUAUUUCAUAUAUUUUAUUUCUUUCAAAACCCUACUCUAUUAUAUACUUGGUUUAUAUCAACUUUUUAUACAUACUAUUAUACAUAUAUUAUUAUAUGAAAUUUUUCAAUCCAUAUGUAAUAUUUAUUUAAAUUAAUAUAUAUAUUUUAUGCGUUUUGGAUUUCUUCUUAUACAAUAUUCACUUUAAAAUUCAUUUAGAUAUUAUUAUUCCAUAUAGUAUUCAUAUUUAAUUCUAUUUUUAAACUAUUUCAAGUCUUCACAUUAAUUACUUCUUUUUAAAUUUUUAUAUAUGUAAUUUUGUGUAUAUACAUUGAAAAUUUCAAAUUUCUUUUCUCUUUUUUUUUAGCUAUUUUAAAAUAGUUACAUUUUAUUUGUGAUAGGCUUUUAGGUCAUUAACUUUUAAAUAUUGGUGUUAAUAUUUACAUGUGAUGUGAGAUUAUUGUUAUUAUGUACAUUGUAUUGCUUGUUUAUAUUGAUAGAUUAUUCGUGUUCAUUUGUACGUAUUUUGGCUUACUAAUUAUUCUUUCGAGUUAUACAUUGUCAUCCCAUUGUGUUUUAUUUGUCAAAAAUUUCAUUUCAUUUAAACAUUGAAAUCAUUUUAUUCAAAAGUUUCCAAAAUAAUGCAAUACUCGAUCUUUGGAACUUCGAGAAAUCGUACCCUAACUUACGGGGUUUUGAUUUCCUCGUCGAACUAAAACGACCAAACAUUUUAGUUUUCAAAUACACAAAGUUUCAAUAAAAAUUUUUAAAGGUUAUCUUAUACUCGGGAAAUCCAACAUUGCUUCCUAACUUACGGGAUACGAUAUUUGGUUGCCCCGGGGUGAGAAGGCCUUUUAUACAUUCGUUCAAAUCUAUCCAAGAAUUAUUUUAAAAUAUGGCAUUAAUAAAAAGGGGAAAUCGUUUUUAAUCUCUUCGAAUUUUCAACAUUCGACUUUAAGACAUUAAAUAAUCAAUUUGGUACCAAUUUUGGGCGUUACGAGGGUGCUGAUCCUUCUUUGUAAGUAACUAACUCCCGAACCCAUUUUUACUGAAACUCUUAAACCAAAAUCAUUUUUAAGGUGAUCCGAUCACACCUCAAUAAAAGAUCGGUGGCGACUCCAAUUUUCAUUUUUUUUAAGUCGACACUAUUUUUAUUUUCAAAAAGUGGUUUCGACAGCUUGGCGACUCCGCUGGGGACUGGUUUUGAGAGUCAAGCCACAAAUUGAUUAAUUUUUGUCUUUUUGUCGAAAAAUCAAAUUUUGUUCUCAAUUCACAAUUUCCCUUUUUGCAUUUCAUCCAUUAUUUUCAUGGUUAAUCAUAGUGCGUUUGCUUGGUUGAUCCAAUUUUGUUAAUGUAUAUCUGCAUUUUGCAUUACAUAAGUUGGUCAAUUUUACCCUUCUUAAGUGGGAGUGAGAAGCUAUUCCUUCGUGAGGUCUUCACCUUCGUGCAGGAUAGUGGAUCACUUUCGAGAUACAUCCGUACCUAUGUCUUCGUGAGAUUUUCAUCUCCGUGCAGCCAUAGGGAAAUGAAUUCCCCUGAACUGAACUCAGCCCAUAUGAGGCUAUAAUGGGUGAGGAUCAAGGAAUCUGCUGGUUCAGGUACCUUUACUUUAGAACCAAACCACAUAUAGUGAACCAUAAGAGCCUACCCUAGGUAAGACCACGCCAAACCGCUAGUGGUCACUCGAAUAGGUGCUCUAUUUAUUUCUUGCUUGCUUUUUCUUGGCACUAACUUGUUUCGUUUUGUUCUGGUUAUGAUUGCAUUGCAUUUUCAUCAUAGAAAAGAGGUGUUGAUUCACCUUCAAUUGCUAAAUAGAGAGCUUGUCAUGGAAAAUGAAUUUUUUGAUAAAGUGGAAAAUAAUACGACUGGCCGAAUAUGUUCUGAGAAAACACAACAAGAGAAGGAUGAUAGCCUAACGGAGGAGUACACGACUUUUUUUCGUUUCCCGAGGAUUCAAGUUGACAAAGAUUAUUCGAGAGUCGUCAGCAUCCCAACAUUUUUUAAAUAAGCUAACAAGCAUCACGAGGACGAGUGAGUGAUGAGUCGCGGCCCAAAUCAAGCAAAAAAGAGCUAGUAUAGACAAUCAUUGGAAAAUUCACGAGAUUUAUCUUAACAUCCGGAUGAAGAAAAGGAUCAAUGUCUUCACCUGGAGUGUGAGGGAAAAGCCGUAUAUAUAUCCGCUUUAUGUAAAGAGAUUUGUUUUCUAGUAAAGUUAUUCUAAUAGAAUUGAAUCAGAAUCAACGUCUCUUUUUUGCAUUCAUUGCAUGCAUUUGCAUUACAUUACAUCAUAUACAUUAAAGUACACCAAAAGAUCCUAAUUGAUUAAAAUUAUUUCAGUUGAUCUGGAAAUCAACAAAAACCUACCAACCAAACAUCAUUACUGUACCUGAGUAAAAGGAAUGGACCAAAUGUUGGAGAGAUUAGAGCAAAGGCAAAUACAGAUGCAAGAACAAUUAACCAAAUUUUAACAAGAUAUGAAGGAUCAGAUGUUAGAGUUCCAAAGAAGUAUGAUAAGCCUGUUAACCCAGUUAUUGGAUAAAGGGUUAGAAAAAGGAAAAAAUCAGGUGGUCCACUUUAGGGAUGAUUGUGAAGACCCUGUUUCUUCUCCAGGCUUUACACCAACAAGCAUCCAGACACAACCAAAUGGGUAUCCAUAAAAGGUGUCUGUUAACAUUAGACCCCAAUACUAGACCGGUACCUCGACACUAAUGAAUUACCCGACAGGCUCAAAUUCCAAUAUGAGAGACAAUCUAACCAAUCCUGUGGUCCAUGAUGAUCUAGCUAAAACAAAACAGGUGAGAGUGGAGUUCCCAAAGCAAUUUGAAGAUCGUUACAAACAGAAAAGGCAAGAGUGGAGUUUCCAACUCAAUACUUUAAAGGCUCCGGGGAAUAGGAAGAAUGAAGUGAAUAACGCAAGCAUGUAUAACAGGGGAUACACAAAACCAAUUACUGUAGGCCAGCCAAAAAUAGUAACCGCUAGCCAUCAGGGCCUUUCAAGGCAAGAAUCUUACACGAGGACAAAUACAGAAAACGCCUAUACUAAUGACGUAUAGAGAGCUAUAUCAAAACAUGUUUGAAGCACAUAUAGUAUCGCCUUUCUACUUGAAACCAAUGCAGCCCCCAUUUCCUACAGGGUACGACACAAAUGCCCAGUGCAAAUACCAUGUAGGAAUCAUGGGGCAUUCGAUAGAAAACUGCACCGCUUUCAAAAAGCUAGUUGAAAGGCUCAUCAAUAUGGGUAUUGUCAAGUUCAAUGACUCAUCUAUUCCGCUACCCAAUCAUAUUGAUAAUAGGGUAAACACGAUGAGUUAAGAUAUUGGGAGAAGAAUCAAGAUAGACAUUGUAGAAGUAAAAACUCUAUUGAGUUGGGUCUAGAAGGAGAUGGCAAGAAGGGGAUUAGUCAUUUCGGAUUUAGGAGGAGGCCACGGAAAGACAAUGAACUAUUGUGAGUUCUAUCAUGAGAAGGGGCAUGAGAUCCAAGAGUGCGUGGAAUUCAGGGCUUUGGUUCAAGGCAUGAUGGACAAUAAAGAGAUGGAGUUCUGUGAGAAAAUUAUAGAAGAGAGAAGCCUAUGCAUAAUGUUGGGAAGUGUUCACAUCAAUGUCGUAUAUGAGGACACAACUGAAAAGGGGACCUUGUUAGAUAUCCGUCCUUAUAAACCUGGGAGUGUUUUAAAUAAUUGGACUGCGAAAGAAAUUCCUGUAGUUUUAGAGCUUACUCAGAGUAAUGUUCAGAACACACUUGUUACUUUUAGCCUAGAAGUGAUAAGAAUCCCUUUGUGAAAUAGGCUCAUGUCUGAACGUCAUUAUUUUAAUAAAAUACAUUUUUGCAUUUUGAGAAAAUAUUCUUUUACUCUUUUCAUAUGAAUAAUUAUUCUUUCAUUCUUUUAGAGAUUUUCUUCCAAUUCAUUCUUUCAUUUCAUUCAUAAUCGUAUUGUACAAAUAAUAAUUCUUAAAUUCACACAUUCUUUGAAUAUUUUUUGUACCUACAAUAGGUCCUUGGAUAUCAACGAAUGAGUGACACUGCUAUAGGCUCAGAAUUUCCUUUUAAACAAGACAUGUGUUUAGAGGGAUCUCAUAACUUUGAAAAUGACGUAGAUUGUAGCCUAUCUCCGAACUUGUUGAGGAUGGUAGAGCAGGAAGAGAAACAAAUUUUACCCUAUGAGGAGACAAUGGAGAUUGUGACCUUGGUGGAGGGAAAAGUAGUAAAAAUUAGAACAUGCAUAACCGAAGAAACGAAGCAAGACCUUGCUGAGUUACUUCAAGAGUUCAAAGAUGUCUUCGCAUGGUCAUACCAGGAUAUGCUCGGGUUAAGCACUGACAUUGUAAUCUGAACAACAGCACGAUGUCAGAAAUUUGCAAUAUGUUCAAGACUAACAUCAUAAACGAUGCAGUGGAGAAAACCUCUACCGGAGCAACGCCUUUCUCUUUGGCUUCUCACCAUUUUGCCCAUUGAAAUCGAGUUUUCAUCUCUUCAAGUUUUUGUUAGAUUUUAUCCCUAUUGAAGAGGAAGAUCCAAAGUUUUUCGUCAUAGUCAGAUGUACCAAAAAAAAUUUCGCCCCAGAAAGCUCUAUGAGAGAAACCUGAUAUCAAAGAAGAUCCUUUGCAUACAAAAGGAUUUCAUAAGAAAGUGAAUGUUAAGAUGGGAAGGAUCUUGUGUAGAAGAUUUUAUCUAGAAAAACAUUGAUUCUGAUCGAAAAGGAUAACAAGGACUUGCCUAAUCCUAUGAGUUCAGAUCCAAUCAAAAAAUAUUUUAAAAAACUUAAAAAAAUAAAAAAUAUUUCAAGAAUAAAAUGAAAAUAAAAAUGAUAAAAAAAGAAAAAAGGAAAAAGGAAAAGGAAAAGGAAAGGCCAAAGUGAAAACCCGCAAAGGGCGCUUUGAUAUCAAAGGGGAUUUGAGUUGAAAACCCGAAAAGGGUGGCUCAAAUUUUAAGAUAAGUGAGGCAUGGAUGUCACCGGGCUAAUAUCCCCGAAGGCUUCUGUACAGCCCAAAUUUUGCCCGGGCCCAACAAGUAGAGACCAAAAUACCAUCAGACCCAAUUAAAUUAAACCACCCCAAACUAAACCUAGCCCAAACCAACCCAAAAAUAAACUCAAUAAGAAUAGUCCAUUUUACAAAAAUAAAAACCAAUACAAACCCUAAGCCCAAAUUAAAAUACCAUCCCACUACCAAACUAAAACCCUAGCAGCCCUUACUGCCCAUGUGCGCUGUUCAGCCACCUCGCACGCCCCUUGCCUACUGCCGCUACUUGCCUAUCGCCUUAUCCGCAUGCUCUAACAUCUCUGCCAUCUACAAUACACAAGAAGAAGAAAACAAAAAGGACAAAACAACAGACAAACAAAUCGAAAGAAAACAAAGAAAAUGGAAAAAUAGUUUUGUAUUUUGGUUAUAAAGCCAAAAUGAGAGGCUUGUUAAGAUUCUUCUUCCUUUUACGAACACAAGAGAAAUAAAAAAAGUAAUAUUUCAAUGUGAUAUAUAUUUUUUUUGUUGUUUUAGAUCUAGUGCUUUAUUUUUAUUUCUUUUUAUCUACGAAAAUAAAAAAAGAAAAAUGAAGAAAAAAUGCACCUGGAUUCACACCCGAGCCCCAUCACCGGAAACCUUUUCCCUUGGCGCUGAAAUCGGGCCGAGAGGGGUGUAAGGGGUCUCUAUUUUUGGUUUCUUUCUUAAAAAAGGGCCCUGGCCUUCGAAUGGGAUUCAAAUUCGGGGUUAAAACUCCCUUUUACGCCACGUCGGCCACCGACCAUGGUGGCGCUAUGGCGGAGGCGCGCCAGAACCCUAGGCCAGAUCAUGGCCGGAGAAGGCAAUGGAGGCACAGAGGGAGAGAGUUUUCUAAUUUUUUUGUAAAAAUGGGAGAGAGGAAGUGAUUUUUUUUUAGGUAUUUUGGUUUAUAUAAGGUACCAAAAUGGUACCGUUUUGGGAAGGGCCAUUAAUGACCAAAAUGGCGCCGUUUUGGGCUAACCGACCCGAUCUGACUCGCUCCGGAAGGAGGAUCCGCGCGUUUUAGCCUUAAGGGGUUAUUUGCACGAGAAGUCCCUCCGCUUUUGCAGCAAAGUGUAAUCCGAUCCUUUUUUAUUAUUUUCUGAUUUGGGCCGCAAACUUUGCUUCUGCUUCAAUUUGGUCCAUAGACCAUGCGCAGAUGUUGUCCCCUGCAACGGCGUCGUUCAAAUAGCAUGGGAAUAUUUCCCUUUCGACCCUGUAUCUCUGGGUGCGUUUAGUUCAGGCCCCAAUUGUCUUUUUAUUUAAAUUCUGUCAUUUAAUUUUGUUUUAAUUUCAAUCUGGUCCUGGGUCCAUUUAAUUUAUUUGUUUAUUAUUAUUAGUAUUUUUUUAAACAAAAACUCUUUUAUUAUUAUCUGUUUUAAGUUUUUAUUUAUUUAUUAUUUAUUGUAAACUAUUAUAUAUAUACAUAUAUAUAUCUUUUAAAUUUUCGUAUGUAUGUAUAUAUUAUUUGAAACUAUUUGUACUUAUUUUUUUAUAUAUAAUAUUAUUUAUUUUAAAAUGUUCUAUAUUUAUUUAUUUUAAGUUUUCUGGUAUAUUUUUUAUUCGAAACUUUUAUUAUUUAUUGUUCUUAUAAAUCAUUCAUGUUAAAUUAUUAUUUACUUUAGAUUGUUAUAUAUAUUGUCUUGUUUUAUAUUCCUUUGGUUAUUAAUGUUGGUAUUAAAAUUAGAUAUAUUGUGUGCUCAUUUCCAUUGUGUGCACUAUAAUUUGCUUAUUCGUAUCCUCAUAUAUUUGUCAUGCAUUAAUGUAUCAUUUUAUUCAUAAAUUGUUAUGCCAUGUUCCAUUAUCGCUCAAUUUCAUUUCAUCACUUCAAAAGUUGCGCUCAAUUUGUAUACCUCAAUAAUAAACCGAUCUAUUUUAUCACGAACAAAACAAAUACACCUCGUUCAAGUGUUGCACUCGUCAUCAUUCAAAUCCAAGAAGAGUUUUAAAAUAAGGCAAUAUUUUGUGUUUGGAAAUUCGAGAAAACGUGCCCUAACGUGUUGGGUUUCGAUUCCUCGCUCUACCAAAUAGCCAAAUAUCCUUUUAAAAUUUCAAAGUAAGGCAAUAUUUUGCAUUUGGGAAAUUUGAGAAGACGUGCCCUAACGUGCUGGGUUUCGAUUUCUCGUUUAACCUAAAUAGCAAAAUAUCCUUUUAAACCAUGGCUCUUGAAUAAGCAAGAUUUCAUGUUCAGAUUCGAGAGAAAUCGUACCCUAACUUACGGGGUUUCGAUUUUCCUCGACGAGUCUAAAUUACCAAUAAUUUUAAAUCAAAGCACAAGUUAAAUAAAAACUUAUCCUCGGGAGUUCAAAAAUGUCGUGUCCUAACUCAUUGGAUGUAACAUUUUGUUAUAUCAAGGUAAGGAUUUCUAAAAAUGCAAAGGUAAUAUUCUGCAUGUGGAAUUUUGAGAAAUCAAGCCCUAACUUACUGGGUUCCGAUUUUUUUGACCCAAGUGACCUGAAUAUCCUUUUAAAAUUGAAAUAAAUGAGGUUUUAAUAAAAAAAUAAAAGGAAGCUUACUCUCAAAAAUACGAGGUGUUGUGUCCUAACUAACUGGAUGUGACAUCUUGUUAUUUUGAGAUAAGGAGGCAUUUUCUAUUUUGAUUUAUUCGAGUAAUUUUAAAAUAACACAAUAAAAAGGGAUAGUAUUUUUAAAUUCUUUUCGAGUUUUUAAUUUUCGACACCAAGACAUUAAGUAAUCAACUAGGUACCAAUUUUAGGGCAUUACGAGUGUGCUAAUCCUUCCUCGUACGUAACUGACUCCCGAAUCCGUUUUCUAAAUUUCAUAGACUAAAAUUGUUGUUUUAAUAAACUCAAAUUAUUUACUAAAGACAACCACAUUUUGAGGUGGUCCGAUCACACCUCAUCAAAAAAAGAUUGGUGGCGACUCCCACUUUCGUUUUAUUUUCAAAAUCCAAGUUGACCCCCUGUUUAUCAAAAAAAUGGUGUCAACAGCUUCUAUUGGGUAUCACUUCAUUUGUGAGGUUAUUAAUUACUUCACCAAAUGGGUAGAGACUGCUUCAUGCGCUAAUGUCACCAGGUCAGCAGUUAGCAAGUUUUUGAAAAAGGAGAUUAUAUGUCGAUAUGGAAUGUUUGAAAGAAUCAUAUCUGACAAUGCGCUGAAUUUGAACAACAGCACCAUAAUGGAAGUUUGCAGUCAAUUUAAGAUCAGACACAAUAAUUCGUCACCAUAUCGCCCAAAAAUGAAUGGUGUAGUGGAGGCGACCAAUAAAAAAUAUCAAGAAAGUUGUGAGGAAAAUGUCUGAGACUUACAAAGAUUGGCAUUACCAUUCACCCUUUUGGCUUAUCGAACGUCUAUCAGAACUUCCACCAGGGCAACGCCUUUCUCUCUGGUUUAUCGGAUGGAGGCAGUUUUACCCAUUAAAGUUGAAAUUCCUUCUCUCCGGGUAUUGGUUGAGCUAAGGUUGGAUGAAGCAAAAUGGAUCCAAUCUCGAUAUGAUAAAUUGAACCUAAUUGGAGAAAAAAGGCUAAAAGUUAUUCACCACGGUCAGAUGUAGUAGAAACGAAUGAUGCGAGCCUAUAACAAAAAGGUUCGUCCUAGAGAAUUCCAUGAAGGGGACCUGGUGUUGGAAAAUAUUUUUUUCUCUACAAAAGAUUUUAGAGGGAAAUGGAUGCCAAAUUGGGAAGGACCUUAUGUUAUAAAGAAGGCCUUUUCUGGAGGAGCAUUAAUUUUGAGUGAGAUGGAUGGUAAAAACCUGCCUAAUCCUGUAAACUCAGAUUCAGUCAAGAAAUACUUCACCUCUAAUUAGAAAACCCUAGCAGUAGACCAGCAACCAUCGCUAUUCUCUACGCGCCUCCAGCUGGGUGUACCUGCAAAACAAACGAAACCAACAAGGACAACAAGGAAAGGCAAUAACAAAAAAGGAGCAAGCAAAUGAAAAAAGAGAAUAAAAGAAAAUGAGAUUUUUCUUUCUUAUAAUUUUAUUUUUUGUUUUUCUCGGCUAUAUAAGGCCAAAUAAUCUGUAAAAAAGAGGGGAGAAAUUAAAAAAAAAGCAGUAAACAAAAUCAAUCACAGUUUUCGAAGGUGAUCUGAAUUUUUUAUUUAAUUUCUUUGUUGUUUUCCUUAGUUUUUUCGUUGAUGCUUGCUUAUUGUUUAAGAAAAGAAACACAAAAAAGGCGAGGGUUUACCUUAUUGUCGGUGCCGAUUGGAUCUUUGUUCACUUCGUCGAAAUAGACUCUCAAGCGAAGGUUGUAAGGCCGAAGAUCGAAGGAGCUGUCGGUGGCAUGGGAAUAGGUUCAAAAACCCUAGCAGAGGAAAAAUGGGAUAAUAAUUUUUUUAAAGAAUGAUAGAAAGUAGUUUUUUUUAAAUUGUUGAUUUUAUAUUAGGUAUGAAACGACGUCAUUUAAAGCAUGUUUCAGUGGCCUCAAAAUGGUGUCGUAUAAGGCCAUGACCCGCAGCGGUGACCCGACCUAAGGGAAGGUUCCGCGUGUUUUUUAUUGAUGGGUAAUUUGCAUCUCUGGUCUCGCCGCAUUUUUAUUUAUUUUAAUUCAGUUUUUUUCAUUUUUUCAAUUGAUACUGUAAAUUUUAUUCGGUUUCUGAUUCGGUCUUGAUGAAACGACGCAUUUCAGAGGGCGAGAAUAUUUCUCCAUUCAAUCCCUUUGAGUUAUUCGCGCCUUUCAAUUGGACCUUUCAUUUUGUUCUAUUUUCAUUUUUUCCCUUUAAUUUUGUUUUGAGUUUAAUUUAAUCCAUACUUAUUUCAUUUAAUGUACUUGAUUUUUAUUCUGUUUAAAAUCCAUUUUUCUAUUAUUUUUAGAUAUAUUUAUUUUUAAAUGUAACUUUCUUUUUAGGACAUUCUACAUUCAUUCAUACACCUCUAAUUAGGAUAUUUUGAUUUAUUCAGAUCAUAACAUCCUACUCAUUAGGCAUAAAUAGGCCUAUGCAAUGAUUAUACAAGUCAUGUUCCCUAGAGAACAGAUUAGUGAAACCACAAAUCCCAUACCACUGAAGUCGCAGUGGAAUGGUUUGAAGAAGAUGGCGAAUCUAAUAUCCCUGAAGUUACGGUGGAGUAAAUUAAAGCCCAUAAUCUCAUUUCGUUGGCGUUUCAGUGGAAUAGAUUAAAGCUAAAGGCAACGAAUCUUAUUUCCCUGACGUCGCAGUAGAUUAAAGCUGAAGGCACCAAAUCUCAUUUCCAUGAUGUUGCAGUGGAACAGGUUAAAGCUAAAGCCAACGAAUCUUAUUUCCUUGGGAUCGCAGUAGAUUAAACCUGAAGGUAGUGAAUCUCAUUUCCUUGGCUUGUAGUGGAAUAAAUUAAAGCUGAAUGCAGCAAAUCUUAUUUCCCUAGCGUCGUAGUAGAUUAAAGCUGAAGGCAGCGAAUCUCAUUUUCUUGGCAUUGUAGUGGAACAGAUUAAAGUUGAAGGCAGCGAAUCUUAUUUCCCUAGUGUCGCAAUAGAUUAAAGCUGAAUGCAGCGAAUCUUAUUUCCUUGGCGUUGUAGUGGAACAAAUUAAAGCUGAAGGCAGUGAAUCUUAUUUUCCUGGCGUCGCAGUAGAUUAAAGCUAAAGGCAGCGAAUCUCAUUUCCUUGGCGUUACAGUGGAACAGAUUAAAGCUGGAGCCAAUGAAUCUUAUUUCUCUAGCGUCACAGUAGAUUAAAGCUGAAGGCAGCGAAUCUUAUUUCCCUAGCGUCGCAGUGGGAUGGUUUGAGGUUAUCAUGGCAGAUCUUAUCUCUAUUAAGUUUCAGUGGAGUAGAUUAAAGCCACAAACCUUAUCCCUCUGAAGUUGCAGUGGGGCAGGUUGAAGAGACAAAUCUUAUUUUCCUAGCAUCGCAGUGGAAUGGUUUGAAGAAGAUGACGAAUCUUAUAACCCUGAAGUUACAGUGGAGUAGAUUAAAGCCGAUAAUUUAUUUCUUUUGCGUUGUAGUGGAACAGAUUAAAGCUAAAGGCAGCAAAUCUUAUUUCCCUUGCGUCGCAGUAGAUUAAAGCUAAAGGCAGCGAAUCUUAUUCCCUUGGUGUUGUAGUGGAAUAGAUUAAAGCUGAAGGCAGUAAAUCUUAUUUUCCUAGCGACGCAGUAGAUUAAAGCUGAAGGCAACGAAUCUCCUUUUCUUGGUGUUGUAGUGAAACAGAUUAAUGUUGACGGCAGCAAAUCUUAUUUACUUGGCGUCGCAGUAGAUUAAAGUUGAAGGCAGCGAAUCUCAUUUCCUUGGCGUUGUAGUGGAAUAGAUUAAAGCUAAAGGCAGCGAAUCUGAUUUCUCUGGCGUCGCAGUAGAUUAAAGCUGAAGGCAGCGAAUCUUAUUUCCCUAGCGUCACAGUAGAUUAAAUCAGAAGGAAACGAGUAGGAUGGUUUGAAGUUAUCAUGGCAUAUUUUAUCUCCUUGAAGUCGUAGUAGAACAGAUUAAAGCCACAAACCUUAUCCCUCUGAAGUUGCAGUGGGGCAGGUUGAAGAGACAAAUAUUAUUUUCCUGAAGUUACAGUGGAAUGGUUUGAAGAAGCUGAAGGUAGCGAAUCUUAUUUCCCUGGGGUCACAGUAGAUUAAAGCUGAAUGAAUCUCAUUUCCUUGGCGUUGCAGUGGAACAGAUUAAAGUUGAAGGUAACGAAUCUUAUUUCCUGGGGUCGAAGUAGAUUAAAGCUGAAGGCAAAGAAUCUUAUUUCCCUGGCACCGCAAUAGACUAAAGCUAAAGGCGGUGAAUCUUAUUUCCUUGGCGUUUGAGUAGAACAGAUUAAAGCUGAAGGCAGCGAAUCUUAUUUCCCUGCCGUUGCAGUAGAACAGAGUAAAGCAGAAGGCAACAAAUCUUAUUUCCCUGACGUCGCAGUAGACUAAAGCUAAAACCUACGACUCUUAUUUCCCCAGCGUUGCAGUGGAACAGAUUAAAGCUGAAAGCAGUGAAUUCCAUUUCCUUGGCAUUGCAGUGGAACAAAUUAAAGCUGAAGGCAGCAAAUCUUAUUUUCUUGGCAUCGCAUUAGGUGAAAGCUGAAGGCAGCAAAUCUCAUUUCCUUGGCGUUGCAGUUGAACUGAUUAAAGUUGAAGGCAGCAAAUCUUAUUUCACUGGCGUCAGAGUAGAUUAAACCUUAAGGCAGUGAAUCUUAUUUCCUUAGCGUUGCAGUGGAACAUAUUAAAGCUGAAGGCAAUAAAUAUUAUUUCCUUGGCAUUGUAGUAGAACAGAUUAAAGCUGAAGGCAGCGAAUCUUAUUUCCCUGUCAUCGCAGUAGAUUCAAGCUGAAGGUAGCGAAUCUUAUUUCGUUGGCAUUGUAGUGGAACAGAUUAUAGCUGACGGCAGCGAAUCUCAUUUUCUUGGCAUUGUAGUGGAUCAAAUUAAAAUUGAAGGUAGCAAAUCUUAUUUCCUUGGCGUCGCAUUAGAUUAAAGCUGAAGGUAGCAAAUCUCAUUUCUUUGGUGUUGCCGUGGAACAGAUUAAAGCUGAAGGCAGCGAAUCUUAUUUCCCUAGUGUCGCAAUAGAUUAAAGCUGAAGGCAGCGAAUCUUAUUUCCUUGGCGUUGUAGUGGAAUAAAUUAAAGCUGAAGGCAGUGAAUCUUAUUUUCUUGGUGUCGCAGUAGAUUAAAGCUAAAGGCAGCGAAUCUCAUUUCCUUGGCGUUACAGUGGAACAGAUUAAAGCUGGAGCCAACAAAUCUUAUUUCUCUAGCGUCACAGUAGAUUAAAGCUGAAGGCAGCGAAUCUUAUUUCCCUAGCAUCGCAGUGGGAUGGUUUGAGGUUAUCAUGGCAGAUCUUAUCUCUAUUAAGUUUCAGUGGAGCAGAUUAAAGCCACAAACAUUAUCCCUCUGAAGUUGCAGUAGGGCAGGUUGAAGAGACAAAUCUUAUUUUCCUAACAUCGCAGUGGAAUGGUUUGAAGAAGAUGACGAAUCUUAUAACCCUGAAGUUGCAGUGGAGUAGAUUAAUGGCAAUAAUCUUAUUUCUUUUGCGUUGUAGUGGAACAGAUUAAAGCUAAAGGCAGCAAAUCUUAUUUCCCUGGCGUCGCAGUAGAUAAAAGCUAAAGGCAGCGAAUCUUGUUCCCUUGGUGUUGUAGUGGAAUAGAUUAAAGCUGAAGGCAGCAAAUCUUAUUUUCCUGGCGACGCAGUAGAUUAAAGCUGAAGGCAACGAAUCUCCUUUUCUUGGUGUUGUAGUGAAACAGAUUAAUGUUGAGUGCAGCAAAUCUUAUUUACUUGGCGUCGCAGUAGAUUAAAGUUGAAGGCAGCGAAUCUCAUUUCCUUGGCGUUGUAGUGGAAUGGAUUAAAGCUGAAGGCAGCAAAUCUUAUUUCCCUAGCGUCACAGUAGAUUAAAUCAGAAGGAAACGAGUAGGAUGGUUUGAAGUUAUCAUGGCAGAUUUUAUCUCCUUGAAGUCAUAGUAGAACAGAUUAAAGCCACAAACCUUAUCCCUCUGAAGUUGCAGUGGGGCAGGUUGAAGAGACAAAUAUUAUUUUCCUGAAGUUACAGUGGAAUGAUUUGAAGAAGAUGAUGAAUCUUAUAUCCCUAAAGUUACAGUGGAGUAGAUUAAAGCCAAUAAUCUCAUUUCUUUAGCGUUGUAGUGGAAUAGAUUAAAGCUGAAGGCAACAAAUCUUAUUUCCUUGGCAUCGGAGUAGAUGAAAACUGAAGGCAUCAAAUCUUAUUUUCCUAGCGUCACAGUAGAUUAAAGCUAAAGGUAGCGAAUCUCAUUUCCCUCGCGUUGCAGUGGAACAGAUUCAAGUUGAAGGUAGUAAAUCUUAUUUCCCUAGCCUCGCAGUAGAUUAAAGCUGAAGGCAGUGAAUCUCAUUUCCUUGGCGUUGCAGUGCAACAGAUUAAAGCUGAAGGUAGCGAAUCUUAUUUCGCUGGGGUCACAGUAGAUUAAAGCUGAAUGAAUCUCAUUUCCUUGGCGUUGCAGUGGAACAGAUUAAAGUUGAAGGUAACGAAUCUUAUUUCCUGGGGUCGAAGUAGAUUAAAGCAGAAGGAAGCGAAUCUUAUUUCUUUGGCGUUGCAGUGGAACAGAUUAAAUCUGAAGGCAGCGAAUCUUAUUUCCCUGGAGUCGCAGUAGAUUAAAGCUAAAGGUAGCAAAUCUUAUUUCCCUGCCGUUGUAGUAAAUUAAAGUUGAAGGCAGCGAAUCACAUAUCUUUGGCAUUGGCGUCGCAGUAGAUUAAAGCUGAAGGCAGCGAAUCUUAUUUCCCUGGCGUGGCAGUAGAUUAAAUCAGAAGGACACGAGUCUUAUUCCCUCAGCGUUGCAGUGGAACAGAUUAAAGUUGAAGUCAGUGAAUUUUAUUUCCUUUUCGUUGCAGUGGAACAGAUUAAAGCUGAAGCAGUGAAUCUUAUUUCCCCGGCGUCGUAGUAGAUUAAAACUGAAGGCAGUGAAUCUUAUUUCGAUUGCAUUGUAGUGGAACAGAUUAAAGUUGAAGGUAGUAAAUCUUAUUUCCCUAGCGUCACAGCAGAUUAAAGCUGAAGGCAGCAAAUCUCUUUUCCCUGGCAUUGCAGUGGAACAGAUUAAAGCUGAAUGUAGUAAAUCUUAUUUCCCUGGCAUCGUAGUAUAUUAAAGCUGAAGGCGGUGAAUCUUAUUUCCUCAGCGUUGUAGUGGAACAGAUUAAAGCUAAAGGCAGCGAAUCUUAUUUACCUGGAGUCGUAGUAGAUUAAACUUGAAGGCAGCGAAUCUCAUUUCCCUGGUGUUGCAGUAGAUUAAAGCUGAAGGAAGCAAAUCUUAUUCCUUUGGCAUCACAGUGGAACAAAUUAAAGCUGAAGGCAGCGAAUCUCAUUUCCCUAACAUCGUAAUAGAUUAAAGCUGAAGGCAUCGAAUCUUAUUUCCUAAGCGUUGCAGUGGAACAGAUUAAACCUGAAGCCAGUGAAUCUUAUUUCCUUGGCGUCACAGUAGGUUAAAGCUGAAUGCAGCGAAUCUCAUUUUCUUGGCAUUGCAGUGGAACAGAUUAACGCUAAAGGCAGUGAAUCUUAUAUCCCUAGCGUCGCAGUAAGCUAAAGUUGAAGGCAAAGAAUCUUAUUUCCUUGGCGUUGCAGUGGAACAUAUUAAAGUUGAAGGGAGUAAAUCUUAUUUCCUUGGCGUUGCAGUGGAACAGAUUAAAACUGAAGGUACCGAACUUUAUUUCCAUGUCGUCGCAGUAAAUUAAAGCUGAAGGUAGCAAAUCUUAUUUCCUUAGCAUUGCAAUGGAACAGGUUAAAGCUGAAGGCGGCGAAUCUCAUCUCCUUGCCGUUGUAGUGGAACAGAUUAAAGCUGAAGGAAAGGAAUCUUAUUUCCCUGGCACCGCAAUAGACUAAAGGUAAAGGCGGUGAAUCUUACUUCCUUGGCAUUUCAGUAGAACAGAUUAAAGCUGAAGGCAGCGAAUCUUAUUUCCCUGCCGUUGCAGUAGAACAGAGUAAAGCAGAAGGCAACAAAUCUUAUUUCCCUGACGUCGCAGUAGACUAAAGCUAAAGCCAACGACUCUUAUUUCCCCGGCGUUGCAGUGGAACAGAUUAAAGCUGAAAGCAUCGAAUUCUAUUUCCUUGGCAUUGCAGUGGAACAAAUUAAAGCUGAAGGCAGCAAAUCUUAUUUCCUUGGCAUCGCAUUAGGUGAAAGCUGAAGGCAGCAAAUCUCAUUUCCUUGGCGUUGCAGUUGAACUGAUUAAAGUUGAAGGCAGCAAAUCUUAUUUCGCUGGCGUCAGAGUAGAUUAAACCUUAAGGCAGUGAAUCUUAUUUCCUUAGCGUUGCAGUGGAACAUAUUAAAGCUGAAGGCAAUAAAUAUUAUUUCCUUGGCAUUGUAGUAGAACAGAUUAAAGCUGAAGGCAGCGAAUCUUAUUUCCGUGUCAUCGCAGUAGAGUCAAGCUGAAGGUAGCGAAUCUUAUUUCGUUGGCGUUGCAGUGGAACAGAUUAUAGUUGACGGCAGCGAAUCCCAUUUUUUUGGCAUUGCAGUGGAUCAAAUUAAAAUUGAAGGUAGCAAAUCUUAUUUCCUUGGCGUCGCAUUAGAUUAAAGCUGAAGGUAGCAAAUCUCAUUUCUUUGGUGUUGCAGUGGAACAGAUUAAAGCUGAAGGCAGUGAAUCUUAUUUCCCUGUCGUCGCAGUUGAUUAAAGUUGAAGGCAGCAAAUUUUAUUUCCUUGGAGUUGUAGUAGAACAGAUUCAAGCAGAAGGCACCAAAUCUUAUUUCCCUGACGUCGCAAUAGACUAAAGCUAAAGCCAGCGAAUCUUAUUUCCUUAGCAUUGCAGUAGAACAGAUUAAAGCUGACGACAGCGAAUUACAUUUCCUUGGCAUUACAGUGGAACAAAUUAAAGCUGAAAGAAGCAAAUCUUAUUUCCUUGGCGUCGUAUUAGAUUAAAACUGAAGGCAGCGAAUCUCAUUUCCUUGGCGUAGUAGUGGAAAAGCAGAAGGCAGCAAAUCUUAUUUCUCUAGCGUCGUAGUAGAUUAAAGCUGAAGGCAACAAAUCUCAUUUCCCUGGCGUUGCAGUGGAACAGAUUAAAGCUGAAGUAGUGAAUCUUAUUUCCCUGGCGUCAUAGUAGAUUAAAACUGAAGGCAGUGAAUCUUAUUUCGAUUGCGUUGUAGUGGAACAAAUUAAAGCUGAAGGUAGUAAAUCUUAUUUCCCUAGCGUCACAGCAGAUUAAAGCUGAAGGCAGCAAAUCUCUUUUCCCUGGCAUUGCAGUGGAACAGAUUAAAGCUGAAUGUAGUAAAUCUUAUUUCCCUGGCAUCGUAGUAGAUUAAAGCUAAAGGCGGUGAAUCUUAUUUCCUUAGCGUUGCAGUGGAACAGAUUAAAGCUAAAGGCAGCGAAUCUUAUUUACCUGGAGUCGUAGUAGAUUAAACUUGAAGGCAGCGAAUCUCAUUUUCCGGGUGUUGCAGUAGAUUAAAGUUGAAGGAAGUGAAUCUUAUUCCUUUGGCAUCACAGUGGAACAAAUUAAAGCUGAAGGCAGCGAAUCUCAUUUCCCUAACGUCGUAAUAGAUUAAAGCUGAAGGCAUCGAAUCUUAUUUCCUAAGCGUUGCAGUGGAACAGGUUAAACCUGAAGCUAGUGAAUCUUAUUUCCCUGGCGUCACAGUAGGUUAAAGCUGAAUGCAGCGAAUCUCAUUUUCUUGGCAUUACAGUGGAACAGAUUAACGCUAAAUGCAGUGUAUCUUAUAUCCCUGGCGUCGCAGUAAGCUAAAGUUGAAGGCAGAGAAUCUUAUUUCCUUGGCGUUGCAGUGGAACAUAUUAAAGUUGAAGGCAGUAAAUCUUAUUUCCUUGGCGUUGCAGUGGAACAGAAUAAAACUGAAGGUAGCAAACUUUAUUUCCAUGUCGUCACAGUAAAUUAAAGCUGAAGGUAGCAAAUCUUAUUUCCUUAGCAUUGCAGUGGAACAGGUUAAAGCUGAAGGCAGCGAAUCUCAUCUCCUUGCUAUUGUAGUGGAACAGAUUAAAGCUGAAGGCAAGGAAUCUUAUUUCCCUGGCACCGCAAUAGACUAAAGGUAAAGGCGGUGAAUCUUAUUUCCUUGGCGUUUCAGUAGAACAGAUUAAAGCUGAAGGCAGCGAAUCUUAUUUCCCUGCCGUUGCAGUAGAACAGAGUAAAGCAGAAGGCAACAAAUCUUAUUUCCCUGACGUCGCAGUAGACUAAAGCUAAAGCCAACGACUCUUAUUUCCCCGGCGUUGCAGUGGAAUAGAUUAAAGCUGAAAGCAGCGAAUUCCAUUUCCUUGGCAUUGCAGAGGAACAAAUUAAAGCUGAAGGGAGCAAAUCUUAUUUCCUUGGCAUCGCAUUAGAUGAAAGCUGAAGGCAGCAAAUCUCCUUUCCUUGGCGUUGUAGUUGAACUGAUUAAAGUUGAAGACAGCAAAUCUUAUUUCGUUGCCGUCAGAGUAGAUUAAACCUUAAGGCAGUGAAUCUUAUUUCCUUAGCGUUGCAGUGGAACAUAUUAAAGCUGAAGGCAAUAAAUCUUAUUUCCUUGACAUUGUAGUAGAACAGAUUAAAGCUAAAGGCAACGAAUCUUAUUUCCCUGUCAUCGCAGUAUAUUCAAGCUGAAGGUAGCGGAUCUUUUUUCGUUGGCGUUGCAAUGGAACAGAUUAUAGCUGACGGCAGCGAAUCCCAUUUUCUUGGCAUUGCAGUGGAUCAAAUUAAAAUUGAAGGCAGCAAAUCUUAUUUCCUUGGCAUUGCAUUAGAUUAAAGCUGAAGGUAGCAAAUCUCAUUUCUUUGGUGUUGCAGUGGAACAGAUUAAAGCUAAAGGCAGCGAAUCUUAUUUCCCUGUCGUCGCAGUUGAUUAAAGUUGAAGGCAACAAAUUUUAUUUCCUUGGAGUUGUAGUAGAACAGAUUUAAGCAGAAGGCACCAAAUCUUAUUUCCCUGACGUUGCAAUAGACUAAAGCUAAAGCCAGUGAAUCUUAUUUCCUUAGCAUUGCAGUAGAACAGAUUAAAGCUGACGACAGCGAAUUACAUUUCCUUGGCAUUACAGUGGAACAAAUUAAAGCUGAAAGAAGCAAAUCUUAUUUUCUUGGCGUCGUAUUAGAUUAAAGCUGAAGGCAGCGAAUCUCAUUUCCUUGGCGUAGUAGUGGAAAAGUAGAAGGCAGCAAAUCUUAUUUCUCUAGCGUCGUAGUAGAUUAAAGCUGAAGGCAACAAACCUCAUUUCCCAGGCAUUGCAGUGGAACAGAUUAAAGCUGAAGCAGUGAAUCUUAUUUCCCCGGUGUCGUAGUAGAUUAAAAUUGAAGGCAGUGAAUCUUAUUUCGAUUGCGUUGUAGUGGAACAAAUUAAAGCUGAAGGUAGUAAAUCUUAUUUCCCUAGCGUCACAGCAGAUUAAAGCUGAAGGCAGCAAAUCUCUUUUCCCUGGCAUUGCAGUGGAACAGAUUAAAGCUGAAUGGAGUAAAUCUUAUUUCUCUGGCAUCGUAGUAUAUUAAAGCUGAAGGCGGUGAAUCUUAUUUCCUUAGCGUUGCAGUGGAACAGAUUAAAGCUAAAGGCAGCGAAUCUUAUUUACCUGGAGUCGUAGUAGAUUAAACUUGAAGGCAGCGAAUCUCAUUUUCCGGGUGUUGCAGUAGAUUAAAGUUGAAGGAAGUGAAUCUUAUUCCUUUGGCAUCACAGUGGAACAAAUUAAAGCUGAAGGCAGCGAAUCUCAUUUCCCUAACGUCGUAAUAGAUUAAAGCUGAAGGCAUCGAAUCUUAUUUCCUAAGCGUUGCAGUGGAACAGGUUAAACCUGAAGCUAGUGAAUCUUAUUUCCCUGGCGUCACAGUAGGUUAAAGCUGAAUGCAGCGAAUCUCAUUUUCUUGGCAUUACAGUGGAACAGAUUAACGCUAAAUGCAGUGUAUCUUAUAUCCCUGGCGUCGCAGUAAGCUAAAGUUGAAGGCAGAGAAUCUUAUUUCCUUGGCGUUGCAGUGGAACAUAUUAAAGUUGAAGGCAGUAAAUCUUAUUUCCUUGGCGUUGCAGUGGAACAGAAUAAAACUGAAGGUAGCAAACUUUAUUUCCAUGUCGUCACAGUAAAUUAAAGCUGAAGGUAGCAAAUCUUAUUUCCUUAGCAUUGCAGUGGAACAGGUUAAAGCUGAAGGCAGCGAAUCUCAUCUCCUUGCUAUUGUAGUGGAACAGAUUAAAGCUGAAGGCAAGGAAUCUUAUUUCCCUGGCACCGCAAUAGACUAAAGGUAAAGGCGGUGAAUCUUAUUUCCUUGGCGUUUCAGUAGAACAGAUUAAAGCUGAAGGCAGCGAAUCUUAUUUCCCUGCCGUUGCAGUAGAACAGAGUAAAGCAGAAGGCAACAAAUCUUAUUUCCCUGACGUCGCAGUAGACUAAAGCUAAAGCCAACGACUCUUAUUUCCCCGGCGUUGCAGUGGAAUAGAUUAAAGCUGAAAGCAGCGAAUUCCAUUUCCUUGGCAUUGCAGAGGAACAAAUUAAAGCUGAAGGGAGCAAAUCUUAUUUCCUUGGCAUCGCAUUAGAUGAAAGCUGAAGGCAGCAAAUCUCCUUUCCUUGGCGUUGUAGUUGAACUGAUUAAAGUUGAAGACAGCAAAUCUUAUUUCGUUGCCGUCAGAGUAGAUUAAACCUUAAGGCAGUGAAUCUUAUUUCCUUAGCGUUGCAGUGGAACAUAUUAAAGCUGAAGGCAAUAAAUCUUAUUUCCUUGACAUUGUAGUAGAACAGAUUAAAGCUAAAGGCAACGAAUCUUAUUUCCCUGUCAUCGCAGUAUAUUCAAGCUGAAGGUAGCGAAUCUUUUUUCGUUGGCGUUGCAAUGGAACAGAUUAUAGCUGACGGCAGCGAAUCCCAUUUUCUUGGCAUUGCAGUGGAUCAAAUUAAAAUUGAAGGCAGCAAAUCUUAUUUCCUUGGCAUUGCAUUAGAUUAAAGCUGAAGGUAGCAAAUCUCAUUUCUUUGGUGUUGCAGUGGAACAGAUUAAAGCUAAAGGCAGCGAAUCUUAUUUCCCUGUCGUCGCAGUUGAUUAAAGUUGAAGGCAACAAAUUUUAUUUCCUUGGAGUUGUAGUAGAACAGAUUUAAGCAGAAGGCACCAAAUCUUAUUUCCCUGACGUUGCAAUAGACUAAAGCUAAAGCCAGUGAAUCUUAUUUCCUUAGCAUUGCAGUAGAACAGAUUAAAGCUGACGACAGCGAAUUACAUUUCCUUGGCAUUACAGUGGAACAAAUUAAAGCUGAAAGAAGCAAAUCUUAUUUUCUUGGCGUCGUAUUAGAUUAAAGCUGAAGGCAGCGAAUCUCAUUUCCUUGGCGUAGUAGUGGAAAAGUAGAAGGCAACAAAUCUUAUUUCUCUAGCGUCGUAGUAGAUUAAAGCUGAAGGCAACAAACCUCAUUUCCCAGGCAUUGCAGUGGAAUAGAUUAAAGCUGAAGCAGUGAAUCUUAUUUCCCCGGUGUCGUAGUAGAUUAAAAUUGAAGGCAAUGAAUCUUAUUUCGAUUGCGUUGUAGUGGAACAAAUUAAAGCUGAAGGUAGUAAAUCUUAUUUCCCUAGCGUCACAGCAGAUUAAAGCUGAAGGCAGCAAAUCUCUUUUCCCUGGCAUUGCAGUGGAACAGAUUAAAGCUGAAUGGAGUAAAUCUUAUUUCUCUGGCAUCGUAGUAUAUUAAAGCUGAAGGCGGUGAAUCUUAUUUCCUUAGCGUUGCAGUGGAACAGAUUAAAGCUAAAGGCAACGAAUCUUAUUUACCUGGAGUCGUAGUAGAUUAAACUUGAAGGCAGCGAAUCUCAUUUCCCUGGUGUUGCAGUAGAUUAAAGCUGAAGGAAGCGAAUCUUAUUCCUUUGGCAUCACAGUGGAACAAAUUAAAGUUGAAGGCAGCGAAUCUCAUUUCCCUAAUGUCGUAAUAGAUUAAAGCUGAAGGCAUCGAAUCUUAUUUCCUAAGCGUUGCAGUGGAACAGAUUAAACCUGAAGCCAGUGAAUCUUAUUUCCCUGGCGUCGCAGUAGGUUAAAGCUGAAUGCAGCGAAUCUCAUUUUCUUGGCAUUGCAGUGGAACAGAUUAACGCUAAAGGCAGUGAAUCUUAUAUCCCUAGCUUCGCAGUAAGCUAAAGUUGAAGGCAGAGAAUCUUAUUUCCUUGGCGUUGCAGUGGAACAUAUUAAAGUUGAAGGCAGUAAAUCUUAUUUCCUUGGCGUUGCAGUGGAACAGAUUAAAACUGAAGGUAGCGAACUUUAUUUCCAUGUCGUCGCAGUAAAUUAAAGCUGAAGGUAGCAAAUCUUAUUUCCUUAGCAUUGCAAUGGAACAGGUUAAAGCUGAAGGCGGCGAAUUUCAUCUCCUUGCCGUUGUAGUGGAACAGAUUAAAGCUGAAGGCAAUGAAUCUUAUUUCCCUGGCACAGCAAUAGACUAAAGGUAAAGGCGGUGAAUCUUAUUUCCUUGGCAUUUCAGUAGAACAGAUUAAAGCUGAAGGCAGCGAAUCUUAUUUUUUCUGUCGUUGCAGUAGAACAGAGUAAAAGUAGAAGGCAACAAAUCUUAUUUCCCUGACGUCGCAGUAGACUAAAGCUAAAGCCAACGACUCUUAUUUCCCCGGCGUUGCAGUGGAACAGAUUAAAGCUGAAAGCAGCGAAUUCCAUUUCCUUGGCAUUGCAGUGGAACAAAUUAAAGCUGAAGGCAGCAAAUCUUAUUUCCUUGGCAUCGCAUUAGGUGAAAGCUAAAGGCAGGAAAUCUCAUUUCCUUGGCGUUGCAGUUGAACUGAUUAAAGUUGAAGGCAGCAAAUCUUAUUUUGCUGGCGUCAGAGUAGAUUAAACCUUAAGGCAGUGAAUCUUAUUUCCUUAGCGUUGCAGUGGAACAUAUUAAAGCUGAAGGCAAUAAAUCUUAUUUCCUUGGCAUUGUAGUAGAACAGAUUAAAGCUGAAGGCAGCGAAUCUUAUUUCCCUGUCAUCGCAGUAGAUUCAAGCUGAAGGUAGCGAAUCUUAUUUCGUUGGCGUUGCAGUGGAACAGAUUAUAGCUGACGGCAGCGAAUCCCAUUUUCUUGGCAUUGCAGUGGAUCAAAUUAAAAUUGAAGGUAGCAAAUCUUAUUUCCUUUGCGUCGCAUUAGAUUAAAGCUGAAGGUAGCAAAUCUCAUUUCUUUGGUGUUGCAGUGGAACAGAUUAAAGCUGAAGGCAGCGAAUCUUAUUUCCCUGUCGUCGCAGUUGAUUAAAGUUGAAGGCAGCAAAUUUUAUUUCCUUGGAGUUGUAGUAGAACAGAUUAAAGCAGAAGGCACCAAAUCUUAUUUCCCUGACGUCGCAAUAGACUAAAGCUAAAGCCAGCGAAUCUUAUUUCCUUAGCAUUGCAGUAGAACAGGGUAAAGCUAACGACAGCGAAUUACAUUUCCUUGGCAUUACAGUGGAACAAAUUAAAGCUGAAAGAAGCAAAUCUUAUUUCCUUGGCGUCGUAUUAGAUUAAAGCUGAAGGCAGCAAAUCUCAUUUCCUUAGCGUAGUAAUGGAAAAGCAGAAGGCAGCAAAUCUUAUUUCUCUAGCGUCGUAGUAGAUUAAAGCUGAAGGCAACAAAUCUCAUUUCCCUGGCGUUGCAGUAGAACAGAUUAAAGUUUAAGCCAAUAAAUCUUAUUUCCCUGGCAUCGCAGCAGAUUAAAGCUGAAGGCAGCGAAUCUCAUUUCCUUAGUGUUGCAGUGGAACAGAUUAAAGCUAAAGGUAGCGAAUCUUAUUUCUCUGCUGGCGCAGUAAAUUAAAGCUGAAGGAAGUGAAUCUUAUUUGCUUGGCGUUAUAGUGGAACAGAUUAAAGUUAAAGGCAACAAAUCUUAUUUCCCUGGCGUCGCAGUAGAUUCAAGUUGAAGGCAGUGAAUCUCAUUUCAUUUGCAAUGCAGUAGAAUAGAUUAAAGCUGAAUGCAGCAAAUCUUAUUUCCCUGGCAUCGCAGUAGAUUAAAGAUGAAGGCAGCGAGUCUUAUUUCCUUAGCGUUGUAGUGGAAUAGAUUAAAGCAGAAGGCAGUGAAUCUUAUUUCCCUGGCGUCGCAGUAGGUUAAAGCUGAAGCCAGAGAAUCUCAUUUUUUUGUAGUCGCAGUGGAACAGAUUAAAGCUGACGGUAACAAAUCUUAUUUCCCUAGCGUCGCAGUAGAUUAAAGCAGGAGGCAACAAAUUUCAUUUCCCUAGCAUUGUAGUGGAACAGAAUAAAGCUGAAGGCAGUAAAUAUUAUUUCCCUAGCGUCGCAGUAGAUUAAAGCUGAAGGCAACGAAUCUCAUCUCCUUGGUAUUGCAGCGGAACAGAUUAAAACUGAAGGCAGCAAACCUUAUUUCCCUGGCGUCACAGUAGAAUAAAGAUAAUGCCAGUGAAUCUUAUUUCCCUGGCGUUGCAGUGGAACAGAUUAAAGCUGAUGACAGCGAAUCUCCUUUCCUUGGCGUUGUAGUGGAACAAAUUAAAGCUGAAGGCAACAAAUCUUAUUUCCUUAACGUCACAUUAGAUUAAAGCUAAAGGUAGCAAAUCUCAUUUCCUUAGUGUUGCAGUGGAACAGAUUAAAGUAGGAGGCAACAAAUCUUAUUUCUCUAGCGUCGCAGUAGAUUAAAGUUAAAGGCAGCAAAUAUCAUUUCCCUGGCAUUGCAGUGGAACAAAUUAAAGUUAAAGGCAGUAAAUUUUAUUUCCCUGGCAUCGCAGUAGAUUAAAGCUGCACGUAGCAAAUCUCAUUUCCUUGGUGUUGCAGUGGAAUAGAUUAAAGUUGAAGGCAGCGAAUCUUAUUUCCCUGGCAUCGCAGUAGAUUAAAGCUGAAGGCAGUGAAUCUUAUUUCAUUUUCGUUGCAGUGGAACAGAUUAAAGUUGAAGGUAACGAAUUUUAUUUCCCUAGCGUUGCAGUAGAUUAAAGCUAAAGGCAGCGAAUCUCAUUUCCAUUGCAUUGCAGUGGAAGAAAUUAAAGCUGACGGCAUCAAAUCUUUUUUCCCUAGCGUCGCUCUAGAUUAAAUUUAAAGGCAUCGAAUCUCAUUUCCCUGGCGUUGCACUGGAACAUAUUAAAGCUGAAAGAAGUAAUCUUAUUUUCCUGACGUCACAGUAGAUUAAAGUUGAAGGCAGCGAAUCUCAUUUUCUUGGCAUUCGAGUGGAACAGAUUAAAGCUAAAGGAAGCGAAUCUUAUUUACCUGGCGUCGCAGUAGAUUAAAGUUGAAAGCGGUGAAUCUUAUUUCUCUGGCUUCACAGUAGAUUAAAGCUAAAGGAAAGGAAUCUUAUUUUCUUAAUUUUGCAGUAGAACAAAUUAAAGCUGAAGCCAACAAAUAUUAUUUCUCUGUCGUCUUAGUAGAUUAAAACUAAAGGCAGCGAAUCACAUUUCCUUGGCAUUGCAGUGGAACAGAUUAACACUGAAGGCAGCGAAUCUUAUUUCCCUAGCAUCGCAGUAGACUAAAGCUGAAGGCGGCGAAUGUUAUUUCCUUGGCGUUGCAGUGGAACAGAUUAAAGCUGAAGGCAGUGAAUCUUAUUUCCCUUGCAUCGUAGUAAAUUAAAGUUGAAGGCAGUGAAUCUUACUUUCUGGGCAAUACAGUGGAACAGUUUAAAGCUGAAGGCAGCAAAUCUUAUUUCCUUGGCGUCGCAGUAGAUUAAAGCUGAAGGCAGCAAACUUAUUUCCUUGGCGUUGCAGUGGGAUGGUUUGAAGUUAUCAUGGUAGAUCUUAUCUCCCUGAACUUGCAGUGGAACAGAUUAAAGCCACAAACCUUAUCCCCUUGAAGUUGCAGUAGAGCAGAUUAAAGCCACAACCCUUAUCCCCAUGAAGUUGCAGUGAGGCAGGUUGAAGUGACAAAUCUUAUCUUCCUGAAGUUGCAGUGGAGCAGAUUGAAACCACCAGUCUUAUUUCCCUGAAGUUGCAGUGGAGCAGACUAAAACCACAAAUCUCUUCCCCUUUGAAAUCGCGACAGAGUAUAUUGAAGUUACGAUUCGUAUCUGAAGUUGCAGUAGAGUGGAUCAAAGCAACAAGAUGCAGUGGGCUAGAAUUAGGCUACUUGAUGAAGAGAAGCACCAAGUAAGGUGAAGACUCGGCAAGACUAGGAAAAAUUAGCCCUUUUUGAGUCGUUGCUCCAUUUUCGUUACACGACAAUGAGCAAAGAGGAGCAACUGUAAUAGGCCAAUUUUGGCCUGGCCCAAAAUUAACCAAAUUAAAAAAGAAACCAAAUAUAAAAAUUAAUAAUUGACCAAUAACAGUCCAGAGUUACAGUGGUCCAAUUAACCCAAGAUUAAAUAGCAGUCCAAAACCUCUAGCUCAAUUACAACUAGCCCAAAACCAAUAGCCAAAGAAAUACAAGAAAACCCUACCAGUAGACCAACAGCUGCCGCCAUUCCUCACGCGCACAACGCCCCCACGUGCCUCCAGCUGGCUGUACCUGCAAAACAAAUGAAACCAACAAGGGCAACAAGGAAAGGCAAUAACAAAAAAAGAGCUAGCAAAUGAAAAAGGAGAAUAAUAGAAAAUAAGAUAUUUCUUUCUUGUAAUUUUAUUAUUUUAUUUUUAUCGGCUAUAUAAGGCCGAAUAAUCUGUAAAAAAAGGGGGAGAAAAUUAAAAAAAGCAAUAAAAAAUCGAUCACAGUUUUUAAAAGUGAUCUAAAUUUCUUUUUUUCCAUUUAACUUCUUUGCUAUUUUCCUUAGUUUUUUUCGUUGAUGCUUGUUUACUGUUUAAGAAAAAAUACACAAAAAAGGGGUGAGGGUUUACCUUAGUGUUGGUGCCGAUUGGAUCCUUGUUCAUUUCGUUGCAAUCAAAGCUCAAGCGAGGGUUGUAAAGCUGAAGUCAGCAAAUCUUAUUUCCCUGGCGUCGCAGUAGAUUAAAGCUGAAGGCAGCGAAUCUGAUUUCCUUUGCGUUGCAGAGGAACAGAUUAAAGCUGAAGGCAGCAAAUCCUAUUUCCCUGGUGUCACAGUAGAUUAAACCUGAAGGUAGCGAAUUAUAUUGCCUUGGCGUUGCAGUGGAACAGAUUAAAGUUGAAGGCAGUAAAUCUUAUUUCCCUGGCGUCGCAGUAGAUUAAAGCUGAAGACAACGAAUCUCAUUUCCUUGGCGUUACGGUGGAAUAGAUUAUAGCUGAAGGUACCAAAUCUUAUUUCCCUGGCGUCAUAGUAGAUUAAAGCUAAAGGCAGCGAAUCUCAUUUCCUUGGCGUUAUAGUGGAACAGAUUAAAGCUGAAGGUAGUAAAUCUUAUUUCCUUGGCGUCGCAGUAGAUUAAAGCUGAAGGUAGUGAAUCUUAUUUCCUUGGCGGUGUAGUGGAAUAGAUUGAAGCUGAAGGUAACAAAUCUUAUUUCCUUGGCCUCGUAGUAGAUUAAAGCUAAAGGUAGCGAAUCACAUUUCUUUGGUAUUGCAGUGGAACAGAGUAAACCUUAAGGCAGCGAAUCUUAUUUCCCUGGCGUUGCAGUAGAUUAAAGCUGAAGGCAGCGAAUCUCAUUUCUUUGGCAUUGUAGUGGGAUAGAUUAAAGUUGAAGGCAGCGAAUCUUAUUUCCCCGACGUCGUAGUAGAUUAAAACUGAAUGCAGCAAAUCUCAUUUCAUUGGCGUUGCAGUGGAACAGUUUAAAGCUAAAGGCAGCGAAUCUUAUUUCCCUAGUGUCGAAAUAGAUUAAAGCUGAAGGCAGCAAAUCUCAUUUCCUUGGCGUUGCAAUGAAAUAGAUUAAAAUUGAAGGUAACGAAUCUUAUUUCCUUGGCAUCGCAGUAGAUUAAAGCUCAAGGCAGAGAAUCUUAUUUCCUUGGCGUUGCAAUGGAACAGAUUAAAGCUGAAGGCAGCGAAUCUUAUUUCCCUGGCAUCAUAGUGGGAUGGUUUGAGGUUAUCAUGGUAGAUCUUAUCUCCCUGAAGUUGCAGUGGAGCAGAUUAAAGCCACAAACCUUAUCCCCUUGAAGUUGCAGUGAGGCAGGUUGAAGUGACAAAUCUUAUCUUCCUGAAGUUGCAAUGGAGUAGAUUGAAGCCACCAGUCUUAUUUCCCUAAAGUUGCAGUGGAGCAGACUAAAACCAUAAAUCUCGUCCCCUUUAAAAUCGCGACAGAGUAGAUUGAAGCUACGAGUUGUAUCUGAAGUUGCAGUAAAGUGGAUCGAAGUAACAAGAUGCAGUGGGUUGGAAUUAGGCUACUUGAAGAAGAGAAGCACCAAAAUAGGUGAAGAAUCGGUAAGACUAGGAAAAAUUGUCCCUUUUCUAGUCUUUGCUCCAUUUUCGUUACACGACAACGAGCAAAAAAAGGCAGCUGUAAUAGGCCAAUUUUGGCCUGGCCCAAUAUUAACCAAAUUAAAAAAGAAACCAAAUAUAAAAAUUAAUAAUUUUCCAAUAACAGUCUAGAGUUACAGUGGCCCAAUUAACCCAAGAUCAAACAGUAGCCCAAAACCCCUAGCCCAAUUACAACAAGCCCAAAACCAAUAGCAAAAGAAAGACCAGAAAACCCUAGCAACAGACCAGCAGCCAUCGCCGCUCUCCACGCGCGUCCAGCUGGCUGUACCCGCAAAACAAACAAAAUCAACAAGGAUAGAAAGGAAAGGCAAUAACAAAAAAAGAGCUAGAAAAUGAAAAAGGAGAAUAACAGAAAAUGAGAUUUUUCUUUCUUGUAAUUUUAUUUUUUGUUUUUCUCGGCUAUAUAAGGACGAAUAAUCUGUAAAAAAAGGGGGGAGAAAUUAAAAAAAGCAGUAAACAAAAUCAAUCACAGUUUUCGAAGGUGAUCUAAAUUUUCUUUUUCAUUUAAUUUCUUUGUUGUUUUCCUUAGUUUUUUUUCGUUGAUGCUUGCUUACUGUUUAAGAAAAGAAACACAAAAAAGGGCGAGGGUUUACCUUAAUGUCGGCGCCUAUUGGAUCCUUGUUCGCUUCGUCGCAAUCGAAGCUCAAGCGAGGGUUGUAAGGCCGAAGAUUGGCAGAGCUUUCGGCGGCAUGGGAAUGGGUUCAAAAACCCUAGCAGAGGAAAAAGGGGAUAAUAGUUUUUUUUAAAUAAUGAUAGAAAGUAGUUUUUAAAAAAAAUUGUUGAUUUUUUAUUAGGUAUGAAACGGCAUCGUUUAAGGCCUAUUUUAGUGGCCUCAGAACUGUGUCGUAUAAAGCCAUGACCCACGUGGUGACCCGACCUAAGGGAAGGAUCCACGUGUUUUUUAUUGAUGGGUAAUUUGCAUCUCUGGUCCCGCCGCAUUUUUAUUUAUUUUAUUCAGUUGUUUUCAUUUUUUUCAAUUGAUACUGUAAAUUUUAUUCGGUUUCUGAUUCGGUCCUGAUGAAACGACGCGUUUUAGAAGGCGAUAAUAUUUCUCCAUUCAGUCCCUCUGAGUUAUUCGCAUCUUUCAAUUGGCCCCUUCAUUUUGUUUUAUUUUCUUUUUUUUUCCAUUUAAUUUUGUUUUGAGUUUAAUUUAAUCCAUGCUUAUUUAAUUUAAUGUACUUGAUUUUUAUUCUGUUUAAAAUCCAUUUUUUUGUUAUUUUUAAAUAUAUUUAUUUUUAAAUCUAACUUUCUUUUUAUGUUUAAGUUUAAUAUAUUUUUAAGUUUAUUAUCAAUAUUAGUUCAAUAUUAUAAUAUAUUAUUAUUCUAAAUUUAUCAUUAACAUUAUUUUAGGUGUAUCAUGUAUUUUUUAUUUAAAUUUAUCAUGUAUUAUCUUAUGCAUUCUUGUUGUAAUUUCAAUAUAAUUUAUACAUUUUUUUACGGUUUUAUUUUGUAAUACAUUUUUAGGUCAUUUUAUUUGUGAUAGGCUUUUAGGUCAUUAACUUUUAAAUAUUGGUGUUAAUAUUUACAUAUGAUGUGAGAUUAUUGUUAUUACGUACAUUGUAUUGCUUGUUUAUAUUGAUAGACUAUUCGCGUUCAUUUGUCCGUAUUUUGGCUUACAAAUUAUUCUUUCGAGUUAUACAUUGUCAUCUCAUUGUGUUUUAUUUGUCAAAAAUUUCAUUUUAUUUAAACAUUGAAAUCAUUUUAUUCAAAAGUUUCCAAAAUAAUGCAAUAAUUGGUAUUUGGAACUUCGAGAAAUCGUGCCCUAACUUACGGGGUUUCGAUUUCCUCGUCGAACUAAAACGGCCAAACAUUUUAGUUUUCAAAUACACAAAGUUUCAAUAAAAAUUUUUAAAGGUUAUCUUAUACUCGGGAAAUCCAACGUUGCAUCCUAACUUACAGGAUACGAUAUUUGGUUGCUCCGAGAUGAGAAGGCCUUUUUUACAUUCGUUCAAAUCUAUCCAAGAAUUAUUUUAAAAUAUGGCAUUAAUAAAAAGGGGAAAUCAUUUUUAAUCUCUUCGAAUUUUCAACAUUCGACUUUAAGACAUUAAAUAAUCAAUUCGGUACCAAUUUUGGGCGUUAUGAGGGUGCUAAUCCUUCCUCGUACGUAACUAACUCCCGAACCCGUUUUUACUAAAACUAGUAGACCAAAAUCAUUUUUAAGGUGAUCCGAUCACACCUCAAUAAAAGAUCGGUGGCGACUCCAAUUUUCAUUUUUUUUUAAGUUGACAUUAUUUUUUAUUUUCAAAAAGUGGUUUCGACAGUCAACAUACAAGGAGAGUCUGUGUGUCAAGUCUAAGGAUUAUUUAUACUACCAAUACAAGGAGUAUUUCUAUAAACACUUAGGGGAUGUUUGGUUGAAGGUAAUGGUUAUGCCAUUACCAGUCUAUUACAAGCCUAUUCUACAGGCCCACUUAAGAUGUUUGGUUCAAGGGAAUACCCUAUUACACAUGUAUUCUGUUCCAGGCUUAAGUAGAGAUAAUUAGGGAUCUUUAUUCCCUUCCCUCUUCACCGUUUACCCAUUCGUUGCCAUAUGAACCCUAUUUUACCCUCACAAAUUCUUACCUCAAAAUCACUCGAACGACAACCAUUUCUUGCUUCCUUCGACUCCGACAUUCCUCCCCUUCAUCCAAGGUCAAGUAAACGUUUUUCCUUCUACUGUUACUUUCAUUUUCCUACCUGUCUAUUUUUUUCUUACCCAAGUUGCGUGCCAAGUGGGGGCAUUAAGGUGGCCUGGGACGAGAGAGAAUUGAACAACCAGUCGGCUUGGGAAGGGGUUGAGUAGGCCUUUGCUGGCUCAGCGUGUGAGAGGGAGGUAUGCCGAAACAGUGCAGUACAAUAACAUCAAAUUUCAAGUGUGGGGUUUAGGUAUGCCGAUCACUACUUCUUAAUCUGGAUCUUUAACAUGUAUAGUAUAUUUUUUAUAGUACUGUCCUGAAAGUUUGAUAAUAUUUUCUUAUCUAUUUGAUUAUUUGAAGGUAAAGAGAUGGCGAAGUUCAUAAUUUCUUAUAUCAAAGGCUUGAGAUAAUGCUUGUUGUUAUAAAUCUCAACUGUAUAAAGUAGCUUUAAUCCGCAACUUACAUGAUUCUUUUGCCUCUUGCCGAUAUCUUUAUAUGUCUGUUCUUGGUAUUUCUUCCGUAAAACCAUCAUAGUAGCAGCUUUAAGCAAAUUUACAACACUGAUCACUCUUUAUCAUCAAAGCUUUACUUUUCCGAUACUGGAUGAAAUAUGAUAUAGUGUGGGAUAUUCUGUCUCUAGCUGCCAAUCCAAAAGCUAUUUCUGCAAACUUAAGGUUCUCCUUUUCUGAUUCCAAGUUUGUUGUUAUUCAAAGCCACUGAACUUCGUCAAAACUAAUAGUACUAAGUUGUGGAAUUUUAAUGCUUUAUUAUUAGACUAAAAUGUAUUCAUUUAAUACCUUGUUCUGCAAUUUUUUCUUUCUUUUAUCUUUUGGAGCUUUAAUAUUUUAACACAAGUGAUGUCAAUUUUUUGUCUUGAUAAUAUCUUUAUUAUUUACUGAUGCAAGUGGACAGACAUAUAUCAAGUAACUUUCACAAACAUGCAUUGCUUUUAUAUUCCUUCAUUAUUUACUAAUAUUCUACUGGCCAAUGGCAACUUUGAAAUAAGAUGUUUGGUUUCUGGAAGCUCUCUGUAAAGUUUGUCUUUAUGAGUCUACAUCUGGCCGCUUAGAAAUUUAAUUAAGCUAAUAGUUUUUGCUCUUAAACUUAUAUGACAUUCUGUAAGUUCUUUUAAAUUGUAAAAGAGGUGUAUGCCUAGAUUUUAUAACUAUUGUUAUUAACAAUCCCAUGGCUAAUAAGUGAAUUUCCAUUUUCUUUUUACCUUUAGAACAAACUAACUUUGAGUCUGUCAUAGUAUCUCAAUAUUUUAUACAUGGGAUGCCACUAUUUGUACUACUUUUAUAAUUAGGACUUGGGAUUUAAUUUAUUAGCGUUAUUCCAGGUUAUCUCAAUGUCUAAAAGUGUUGAAAUGAAAUAAAAGUUUACAUCUAUGCUUUCCUGUGGUUCAUGACAGACGAAAAGGUUAAUCAUCCUAUUCAAUUUUAGUAUAUGGUUCAUAUUUUGUUCCCAUAUUCAAUAAAACGGUGCUUCUAGUAUAGGCCAGCCUCUGUAGUAACAUUUCAUGCAUUGUAAAUGAAAUAUAGAUUAUUUUGCUAUGGUAUAUCUUAUAAAUAUUAAUCAUCCUCUUUCUUAAAAACUUCCUAAAACCUUGCUAUGGUAUAUCUUAUAAAUAUUUCAUGCAUUGAAGAUAAUAUAUAGAUUACUUUGCAGGCGGCAACAUUGAUCUCAUGGUCUACUGUAGUAACAUUUGUGUUUUAGAAGUUUGACAAAAAGAAAGAAUGCUACAUGAAAACCUUCUUUCUGCUUCCUAGAAUGUGAUUCUGACUUGUUUAUAUGUCUGUAACCAACAACACUUACUUGGUGUUUACAAUAUCUUACUUCAUUUUUCAAUGCUUGUUUUAUGUAUUUCAUUAAUGCUUCUUCUGGACAAGUUUCAAGUGUAAAUCUUUUACAGGAAGAGGAGCUGAGCGAAGCAGCAGUUCUUAUUUUUCUUAAUUUUGCAGAUAAGCAGAUUGGUAAGUUUCAUGUCUCACAUGUAAUUCAUGUUAUCAUUGAAUAUACUUGGCAAAAUUGCCUUGCAGCCUAUGCUAUGAUGAGAUUCAUUGUAUGUAUUUAUAAGUAAGAACUUCAAAAUGAUUUAUGCCCGUGUUCUAUGCAUCUUUCAACAAUAGAAACUAGUUUUAAAUUAUAUUUAUCCACUCCUUGAACAAAUCAUCUUUUAAGUGGUAGAAUGCUGAGUCAUUUGUUCAUGCACAUUGAGUUGUUCAUCAUCAAAGUAAGGGAUCUGUGAACCUAUUUGAUCAUCCUCAGUAACUCCUAAAGGAAAUUAAUUUAUUGGUCAUCAUUGUAGGUUGAAGGUAGCAACAAGAAGGGGGAAAAAUAUCACUCAAGGGUGUGAUAAGAUAACAAUACCCUCCCAAUGUCUUUGUUGUAAGUUGGUUAUGUGUUCAACUUUGGAAAGAUGAAAUUUGUUAAUGGAAAAGGAAGCUGCCAAGUUAAAGAGCAGCACACCCUCGUAGGCUACCAAAUGUCAAGAGUCAAGAACAACAAAAAAAAUCAACAAAGAAAAGGGACAUAAACAAAUAUCUCCACUGGAAUGAUGAUACCAUUACUCUUUUCUAGUAAUACGGGAAAUACAAUAUAUCCAUGUUAAACUACAUUUACAAUUCAAAUUUGAUCUUUUUACUUUAAACAAGAAAGUUUUGGUUAUAUUUAAUUUUCGAUAUGUUUUUAUUUUUGAUAUGUUUCAUUUAAAACUAUUUUAAUCUUUUAAUAUAUUAUUAAACUAUUUUUAUUUUCGAUAUAUUUAAUUUAUGUUAUAUUUAAUUUUGGUCUUCAAAAAUGUUUUAUAGUACUUAUAUUGUUUGAUUAAAAACUAUAAUUAACACUACAAAAAUUAUCUCAACAAACGAAACAAUAAAAAAAAAAAGUAAAAUGCUACAAACAAAUCAUGUUAUGGUAAGAAUGUAAUGUAUAUGGAGUUUUAGAUUUUAUUUAAAUAAAAUAAUAAUUGAAUAUUUUAAAAUACAUAAUUUUUAAGAUAUUUAACGCACUAUAUACCAAUAAUCAAAUUGAGUUAAUACAAAAUAAAAGAAAUUAAGACCUAUUUUCUUUCUCAUAAAAAUAUUAAAUUCAUAUUAAUCAAAUGGGUUUUUUUAAAUAAUUAUUAAACAUCAGCCAUCAAUUAAUCAAAUCUUCAAAAACACAUUCUUUUCUUUUCUUUCUUUUUUUUCUUUUUUGGAUGAUUGAUAAAGAAAUGAAUGUCAAGUUUUUUACUCGCAAAGAUAGUUGUAAUUUCUAUUUUGUGCUUUGUAAAUAUUCUUAAUAUAUAUUGUUUAUUUUUCUUUGAUAGUGUGUUAUAGCUUCCUCUUCUUCUUUGGCUUGUUUGAUUGCUUCCUUCACUCAUAGUUGAGCGUCUUGUAUCCUGUGAGGGUGCACAAUAAAAUCAUUAUUGCAUGUUGUUUGCUCCAUAAGUUUAUUCGAACCUAUAUGAGUCUUGAUCCUAUUGAAGCGGAGUUGGGAGAAAGAUUACCUAGUAAUGUGAUAGAUGACGACAAACCGAAUAUCGUAAAUAUUCAUCCAUCGGAUGCAUGGGCUACUUGGAGGAUAGAACUAGCCAACCAAAUGUUUAUUCUACCAAUACAGGAAGUAUUUCUGUAAACACUAAGGUGUUUUUCACCCUAUAACCUUAUAUUAAUAUUUGUUACUUUUAUGAAAAUUUAAGUUUUAAAUAAUUUUUCGACUAAAUUAAUAUUAAAUUAGCUUGUAACACCAAUUUAAUAAAAUAUAUAAAACAAGCAUAAAUAUAAUUUCAUUAAAACCUGUCAAUAAAAAAAGUACCAUUAAUUCCUUUGAAGUCCUCACUUUUUGGGUCUUAAUGGGUGAGAAAUUUCUUAAAUAGAAACUGAAGACGAUAUUUUAAGUAAAGGGGACGUUAAAACCCAAGUCUUUGGAAAAUAAAUUGCAUCACGACUGAACCAAAAAUUCCCUUAAGUUAUAAUUAGGCACUUAAUGGAAAAGUAAGUCAACAAAAUAAUAGAAAAGGACUUGGGCACAAUUAAUUUAUACUCUAAUGUCUCGUGUAUAAUGCUAUAAGGAUAAUGCUUAUUUAUUAUUAUCUAUUAUAUAGAAAUAUGGACCAUCAGAAACAAAAAAAGCAAAGAUUCUAUCCUUUUAUUAUAUAUUAUUGAUACUAACAACAUAGAAAUUUCCAGGAAAAAGAAAGCACAACACAUGAAGUAAAUUACAUGACAUCGACUGAAGCAAUGAUAACAACUGGCCCCUACAACAAUUGCAACAAGACCUUGACUCCUAUAAUCACUUUCCUUAAAUUCUUCUCUUUGGAAACUAUAACAUAUAUGCUACUACUGAACCUUUAGCAAACAAUUAAGUUUACGUAAUUCAACAUGGCCUCAUCCUCAACCUUUUCCGUUAUUUUAGGUGUUGACACCAAUUUUUUUGUGAAAAUGGGGUCGACUUGAAUUUUGAAAACGAAAAUUAAAAUGGGAGUCGUCACCAAUCCUUUUUGAUAAGGUGUGAUCGGACCACAUUGAAAAGUGGUUGUUUUUAAUAAACAAUUUAAUUUUAUUAAAACAACGAUUUUGGUCCAUGAAAUUCAGAAAAAUAGGUUCGGAAGUCGGUUACGUACGGGGAAGGAUUAGCACCCUCGUAACGCCCAAAAUUGGUACCUAGUUGAUUAUUUAGUGUUUUUAGUGUCGAUGAUUGAAAACUUUAAAGAAUUUUAAAAAUACGAUCCUAAAAAUUUUCGAACAAUAUGGGUUGAAAUUUAGGAUUCUCUUGUUCCGAAAGAAUAUCACAUCCAGCACAUUAGGAUACGAUACUUUAAACUCUCGAAACCAAGAUCACCUUAUGGUUUCCAAAACCCAUACUUUGAAACUUUAAGAGGGUAUUUGGCUAUUUGGCUAAACGAGAAAUCGAAACCCAGCACAUUAGGCCACGUUUUCUCGAAUUUCCAAACACAAAAUAUUGCCUUAAUUUAAAAUUUUCUUUUUGUAUUUGGAUAAAAAUUAUAUCUGACGGAACAAUAAUUAUGAUAAUGUAAGUAAAAAUAAUACGAGCAAAACAAAAAUAAUAAAAGAUAAAUAAAAAAACAAAUCAAUCACGUACACAACAACAAGCAAAUAAACAAGUAAAAAAAACUAAAGCAUUUAAAGUAAUAAUAAUGGAUAUGUAGAUGAGCGAGUAAAUGAACAUCAAGUGAAGCCAUAAUAACAACAAAGAAAAUAGAUAAAAAUUAUAAAAUAUAAAAGUAUAUAUGUACAUAUAAGAGAAAUAUAUAUGUAUAUAUAUACAUAAAAUUAUGAAAAUAUGAAAAAUAUAUGUAUAUAUAUAUAUUUUAAAGAUGUAAAACAUAAAAAGAUAAACAUGUGUGUAUGUACAUACAUAUAUACGUAUAUAACAAUCAUGGAAUAUAAAAAGUAUAUAUGUAGGUAUAUAUAUGAAUCAUAAAAUAUAAAGAAUAUAUAUAAAAUACAUGUUUUAAAAGUAUAAAGAAUAUGUAAGUAUAUAUAUAUUUAUGAAAAUAAAAUACAUAUAUAGACAUGUAUAUAGAUAUGUAUAAAAAUUAUGAAAUAUAAAUAUAUAUAGGUACAUAUAUGUAUAUAUAGAUAAAUUAAAAAAUAUGCAUAUGUAUAUAUAUAUUAUAAAAACACAUGUAUGUGUAGAUAUAUAACGAAGAUUUUAAAUUUAAAAAAUAUAAAUGAGCAAAUAAUUACAAUAAUAAUUAAUAAUAAUAGUAAUAAUAUUAAAUUUAUUAAGAAAAUAAACAAAAUAACAAAAUGACUAAAUUAAACUUUAAAAUGAAAUUCGGGGUUUAAAUCAACAAAUAAAUAAAAAGGGGGAUCUUUCUGAACGCGCGCAUAACAUGGAAGGAUUAAAAGGGAAAUUUUCCCUUCCCCACUAAAACGGCGCCGUUCAAAUAGGGACUAAACUAUAAACUGCGAAGAAUUAUGGGGUAAGAUUGAAAAAUCCUAAAAUACUUGAUUGAAAAACCAUUUAAAAGUGGAGGGACUAAAAGGGUAAAUAACUCAAAGCUUAAAAACACGCAGAUCCCUUAGAGGGGGUCGGGUCGGCCAGCGGGUCAGGUUAAAAUGACAUCGUUUUGGUGCCUGAGAAGGCUGCCCAAAACGGCGUCGUUUUGGAGUUUUAUAAAUAUAAAAAAUAAUUCGAAAAAACAUUUGAAACCCUAUUUUUUAAAAAAGGAAGCCCCCGUCUCUUUCUCUGUUUUCUCUCUGGGCUUUUCCCAGAAUCCGACGAUGGGACCGCCGUAUAUGCAUAUAUAUAUAUUAGAACAAAAAAAGUAAAAAUAAAAAAUAAAAAAAUAAAUGAAUGAAAAAGGUUUCGAAAACUAAAACCUUUAUCUCUGUUUUUAUUUCAUUCUCUCUUUUUUGUUUUUUUUGUCACCCCCCUUACAGAUUUUUCAAUCGGCCUUAUAUAGCCGAAAUAAUAAUACAAAAAAUCUCUUUCUGGUAUCCCUAUUUGCUGUUUCUUGUUGGUGUCUGUUGCAGGUAUUUGACGUUUGAUGGAGUAGGUGGCAGAGUUGGUGGCCCCAGCGUUAGAGGCAGCGGUGGCAGGGCAAGUGGGCGAGGGGUCAGAAGGGGUGGCUAUGGUUAGGCAGUAGGCUAGGGUUUCAGUUUUUUCUGAAAAGUUUUAAACAUUUUGGGUCACUGGGCCUUCAUUUUUUUAGGGGUUGUAAUUUUUAAUUAUUUUUGGGCUUGCUGUAUUUGUUUUGCUGGUAUGGGCCCGGGAAAAAUUGGGCUUGUACAACUUCCCCUCUUUGCUCAUUGUCGUGUAACGGGAAUGGAGCAAAGACUAAGAAAGACCAAUUUUGUCCGGUCUUGUCGAGUCUUGCUUCUUGGUGCCUUUCUUCUUCAGGUAGACCAAUUUUGCCCGGUCUUGCCGGUCUUGUUGCUUUGAUCCACUCUACUGCACUUCAGAGAGAUAUGACUUGUAGCUUCAAUGUUCUUCGCAGCAACUUCAAAGGGACGAGAUUCGUGGCUUUAGUCUGCUCCACUGUAACGUCAGGGAGAUAAGACUUGUCAUGGUAAAUUUAAUCCGACCUACUUCAACUUCAGAGGUAUAGGAUUAGUAGCUUCAGUAUACUCUACUGCAACUUUUGGGAGAUAAGACUUGUCAUGGUAAAUUUAAUCCAACCUACUGUAACUUCAGAGGUAUAGGAUUUAUAGUUUUAAUCUGCUCUACUGUAACUUCAGGGAGAUAGGAUUUGUAUUUUCAACUUGCCCCACUGCAACUUCAUGAGGAUAAGGUUUGCUAGUUCAGCCUGCUCUACUGCAACUUCAAAGAGAUAAAGUUUGAUAUGAUCUGAUUUACUGCAACUUCAGAGAGAUGAGAUCUGUUAUUUAUAGCUUGAAUCUGUUUCACUGCAACUUUAGGGAAAUAAGAUUUGCUAUCUUUAAUCUGCUUUGCUGCAAACUAUGGUGUCUUUGAUCUGCUUCGCUGUCAGUACAAGAAGGCAAGAUCUGCUAUCUUCAGUCUGCUUCACUACAAACCUAGGGAGGCAAGACUAGUGUCUUCGAUCUUCUUCGUUGUUAGUACAGGAAGGCGAGAUCUAUUAUCUUUAGUCUGCUCCGCUGUCAGUACAGAAAGGCAAAACUGGUGUCUUUGAUCUGCUUCGCUGUCAGUACAGGAAGGCAAGAUCUGCUACCUUCAGUCUGCUCCGCUGUCAGUACAAGAAAGCAAGGCUAGUGUCUUCGAUCUGCUUCACUGUCAGUACAGGAAGGCAAGAUCUGCUAUCUUCAGUCUGCUCUGCUGUCAGUACAGGAAGGCAAGGCUGGUGUCUUUGAUAUGCUUCGCUGUCAGUACAAGAAGGUAAGAUCUACUAUCUUCAGUCUGCUCCGCUAUCAGUACAGGAAGGCAAGGCUGGUGCAUUCGAUCUGCUUCACUAUCAGUACAGGAAGGCAAGAUCUGCUAUCUUCAGUCUGCUCCGUUGUCAGUACAGGAAGGUAAGGCUGGUGUCUUUGAUCUACUUCGCUGUCAGUACAGGAAGGCAAGAUCUGCUAUCUUCAGUUUGCUCUGCUGUCAGUACAUAAAGGCAAGGUUGGUGUCUUCGAUCUACUUCACUGUCAGUACAGGAAGGCAAGAUUUGCUAUCUUCAGUAUGCUCCGCUGUCAGUACACGAAGGCAAUGCUAGUGUCUUCGAUCUGCUUCGCUGUCAGGACAGGAAGGCAAGAUCUGCUAUCUUCAUUGAUCUAUUCUUUGGGGAACAUGACCUGUAUAAUCUAUUUUAUGAACCUAAUUAUGCCUAGUGAUUAGGAUGACAUGAUCAGAAUGAAUCAAAUGCUCCUAACUAGACAUGUAUGAAUGACAUUUGAAUGAAUGCAGAAUGUCAUUUUUUCGAGAAUUAUCCUUCUUUGUCACUUAGGUUAUCAUUACUCAAAGUUUAUUAGGGUUUUGUCACUGACGCGCUACAACUCCUUCUUGCUCGGCUGGCAUAUCCAAAGAAACACUUAAUUAGAUUGCCCCUCCACUGUGAACGUCAAAGUUCAAUCCACUGGGACGCAAAAUUUGUACCAUCAUUCUCCCACUAUAACCCAAGGGUAGAAAAAUAUAGCUUUUUCUCAAUCCUCUCCUAUCGCAAUUCAAGGACACGGAAUGUGAAGCUCUUUGGUCUUUUACCCCAUUCCAAGGGUGUCAUACCAAAUGCUCAUGCACCAAUGAAGAAUUUUCUUCUCCCAGGAAACCAGUUUUUAUUACUUGGUGAACAUCGCUUGUUUGCUCAUUAAAGUUUUAUCACCGAGACAACAUCUUGUUAUUUUGUUCAAUCAAUGUUUUGACGACAAAGUCCAAAAAGAUGGUCUUAAUUUAGACUUUUCCUUCUUAGAUAUUUCAACCUUUAAACUUGGUGUUUUCUAAACAAUAGUCUUGUUUCAGGUUCCUAUAUUAUUUAGAAACUUCUAGAGUAAUAUGUAAAAUUUCUGUUGUGAAAGUAUUAUUAGUCCAUUAAUCAUUAUUCCAAUGCAACGCUUGCAAAAGGUCAUAACGACAUAUAAAAUAGGAUUAAUUUGAGAGCCUGACUCGAAAUGGAUAAAUCAUCAAAGAGAGUAAGAAUAACAAAGGAAUUGAUUGGGAACACAUAUCUUAAGAAAGAAUGAAGUAUUCUAAGAACAUCAAAUUCAAUAUAAAUAGUAUGAAGACUAGGUGCCACAGAUAUCGUAGCUUGAACUUCUCUAUAAAAACUUUCUGAAUACCAUUCUGAGUUUGACAUGUGUUUAGGAGAUCUGCAGUACUUUGUCGAUGCGCCAAGAUGUCACUUACCCUUUUCUGUUGAUUUAGAUAUAGCAAGAUCACCACAUGCCCCAAUCUGAUCAAAAUUUGAGCUGCUCUGAUCACCUCAUGUCCCAUUCUAAUCAAAAUUUGAGCCACCCUUUUCGGGUUUUCAACUCAAAUCCCCUUUGGUCUCAAGGCGCCCUUUGCGGGUUUUCGCCUUGGCCUCUCCUUUUUCUUUUCUUUCUCUUUUUCUUUUCUUUUCUUUUCUUCUUCUUUUUUUAUUUUCUUGAUAUAUUUUUUUAUUAAAUCUAAACUCAUAGGAUUACGCAUGUCCUUGUUAUCCCUUCCGAUUAAAAUCAACGUUUUUCCAAAUAAGGCCUUACACAUAAGGUCCAUCCUAGUUUGGCAUCCACUUUCUUAUAAAGUUCUUUUUUUGUAUGGGAAGGAUCUUCUUCAAUACUAGGUCCCUCUCAUGGAAUCCUCUAGAGCGAACUCUUCUAUUUUUUUUGAGCUCACAUCAUUUGCUUUUGGCACAUUUGACCAUGAUGGAUAACUUUGAACAAUCCUUUUCAAUCAGGAUUAGAUCCAAAAGACUCAGAGAGAAAAAAUCUCGACUUUAAUGGGCAAAAUCGUGAUAGGCCAAAGUGAAAGGCAUUACCCGAUAGAGUUUUUUUACCGCGCCGUUCAUUUUGGGGCGAUAUGGUGUUAAUCUUGAACAGACUACAAACUUCUGAUAUCGUGCUCUUGUUCAAAUUUAGUGCUUUGUCAGAUAUGAUCUUUUUUGGCUUUCUAUACUGACAUGUGAUUUUUUUCUAGAAUUUGCUGACUGUCGACUUUGUGAUAUUGGCAUAUGAAGUAGCUUCCACCCACUUAGUAAAGUAAUCGACGACCACAAAGAUGAAUCGAUGACUGUCAGAAGCUUUUGGCAAGAUCGACCCACUGACAUCUGUGCCCCACAUAGAGAAAGUCUAUCGAAAAGUCAUAACAUGAAGAGAUGAAGGAGGCACAUGAAUCUUGUCUCCAUCAAUUUGGCAAUUAUGACAUUUCUUGGUACAACUGAUGUAAUCCCCUUCCAUGGUGAACCAGCAAUGCUCGAAUCUCAUGAUUUGCUUGGCCAUUGUAAAACCAUUAGCAUGUAUUCCUCAGACACCCUUAUAGACCUCUUCCAAGAUUUUCUUAGCCUUAACAGUGUCCACAUGUCUUAGUAGCUCAAGCAUAUCUUGGUACGAUCAUGCAAAAACAUCUUUGAAUUCUUGGAGUAACUCAAUGACGUCUCGCUUUGUCUCUGCGGUGAUACAGGCUCCAAUCUUCACCUCUUUCUCUUCUCCUAAGCUCACAAUUUCCACUGAUUCCUUAUAAAGCAGGAUUUGUUUCUCGACUUUUUCUACCAUCCUCAAUAAGUCCGAAGAUAGGCUACAAUCUAUGUCAUCUUCAAAGUCAUGAGAUCCCUCUAAACACAUGUCUCGCUCAAAAGGAGAUUCUGAGUCUGUAGCAAUGUCACUCAUGUAAUUGAUAUCUAAAGACCUAUUGUGGGUACAAAAGAAUAUACAAAGAAUGUAUGAAUUUAUGAAUAAUUAUUUGUACAGUAUGGUUAUGAAUGAAAGAUUGAUUUGGAAGAAAAUCCAAAAGAAUGAAAGAAUCAAAAAUGAUUACUCGUAAAGAAUGAAAGAAGAUUGACUUAAAAAUGAUCACAAAGAUGUAUUAAAAUAAUGACGUUCAGACAUGAUCCUAUUUCACAAAGGAGUUCUUAUUGCCUCUAGGCUAAAAGCAACAAGUGUGUUCUGAACAUUACUCUAAGUAAGCUCUAAAUACUACAGAGAUUUCUUCUGCAGUCUAAUUAUUUAGAAUACUCCCAAGUUUAUAAGGGUGGAUAUCUAACAAGGUCUCUUUUCAGUUGUCUUCAUGUAUGGCAUUGAUGUGAACAUUUCCUUCUUCUUCCUCUUUUUUUUUCACACUUCUUCACAAAGAUCAAUCUCUUUAUUGUCCAUCAUAUUUAGUUGGAUCUUGGCUAAUCGCUCUUACAUUUGCAACUGUAGUUGGUAUUGCUCCCUCUUUGGAGUUGUUCAAGUUUUUCCAAUCUUGGUCCAUGUCUUUUUGCUUUGGUACCGUAACGAUGCUUAGUUAAUAGAUUUUUUUUCCCAGGUUAACUGAAAUAAUUUUACCUAAUUAAGGUCCUCUUGUGAAAAUCUAAUGCAUAUGAUGCAAUGUAAUGCAAAUGCAUAGAAUGAAUGCAAAAAAACGUUGACUCCGAUUCAAUUCCAUUUAGAAAACUUUACUAAAAAACAAAUUUCUUUACAUAAAAUGGAUGCAUGUAUGGCCUCGCCCUCAUAUCCAAGAAACAACAUCGAUAUUUCCCUUUGUUCGAAUGUUUAAGAUAAAUCUCGCAAGUUUCCAAUGGAUGCCACUACUAGCUCCUUCUUUCUUAAUCCUGGUUGCAAUCCAUUGUCUGCCCAUUCUCGUAAUGCUCAUCACCUUCUUUAAAGAAGUCAGAAUGUUAGCGACUCUCAAAUAAUUAGCUUGAAUCUUCGGGCCACGAAGUAAAGUCAUGUACUCUUCUGUCACCCUUCUUUUGUUGUGUUUCUUGGGAAAUAUUCGGGCAGCCAUAUUAUCUUUCACUUUAUCAAAAAAUUCAUUUUCCAUGACAAGCUUUCUAAUUUAGUAAUCAAACUUGAAUCAACACCUUUUUUCUAAGAUGAAAAUGCAAUGCAAUCAUAACCAAAACAAAACGGAACGGGUUAGUACAAAGCAAAAUCAAACAAGAAAAAUAGAGUACCUAUUCGGGUAACCACUAGAGGUUUGGAGUGGUUCUACCUAGGGUAGGCUCUUAAGGUCUUCUACAUGUGGUUUGGUUCUAAAGUAAAGGUACCUGAACCAGUAGAUUCCUCAAUCCUCACCCAUUAUAGGCUCAUAUGGAUAGAGUUCAGUUCAGGGGAAUACAUUUCCCUAUGGCUCCACGGAGAUGAAAAUCCCACGAAGACAUAGGCACGGAUGUAUCCCGAAAGUGAUCCACUAUCCUGCACGGAGGUGAAAACCUCACGAAGGAGUAGCUUCUCACUCUCACUUAAAAGGGUGUGACCAACGGUCAUGCAAUGCACUGUGUCGAGAUAUAAAAAUUUAAAAUACAAAACAUGAUGAAAACUAUAACUCAAAACAAAUGAAAUGCAAUGAGAGGAUCGUAAAUUUUAACCAUAUUAUCAACUUUCGACAAAAAGACAAGAAAUAAUCAACUCGUGGCUUGACUCUCUUAUUUUGGUCCCCAGUGGAGUCGCCAAGCUGUUGACACCAUUUUUUUCUGAAAACGGGGUCGGCUUGGAUUUUGAAAACGAAAAUUAAAAUGGGAGUCACCACCAAUCCUUUUUGAUAAGGUGUGAUCGGACCACCUUAAAAAGUGGUUGUUUUUAAUAAAAAAUUAAAUUUUAUUAAAAUAACGAUUUUGGUCCACGAAAUUCAAAAAAACAGGUUCGGGAGUCGAUUACGUACGAGGACGGAUUAUCACUCUCGUAACACCCAAAAUUGGUACCUAGUUGAUUAUUUAGUGUCUUUAGUGUCGAAGAUUGAAAAUUUUGAAGAAUUUUAAAAAUACGAUCCUAAAAAUUUUCGAACAAUAUAGGUUGAAAUUUAGGAUUCUCUUGUUCCGAAAGAAUAUCACAUCCAGCACAUUAGGAUACGAUACUUUAAACUCUCGAAACCAAGAUCACCUUAUGGUUUCCAAAACCCAUACUUUGAAACUUUAAGAGGGUAUUUGGCUAUUCGGCUAAACGAGAAAUCGAACCCCAGUACAUCAACGCACGUUUUCUUGAAUUUCCAAACACAAAAUAUUGCCUUAAUUUAAAAUUUUCUUUUUGUAUUUGGAUAAAAAUUAUUUCCGACGGAACAAUAAUUAUGAUAAUGUAAGUAAAAAUAAUACGAGCAAAACAAAAAUAAUAAAAGAUAAAUAAAAAAAACAAAUCAAUCACGUACACAAUAACAAGCAAAUAAACAAGUAAAAAAAACUAAAGCAUUUAAAGUAAUAAUAAUGGAUAUGUAGAUGAGUGAGUAAAUGAACAUCAAGUGAAGCCAUAAUAACAACAAGAAAAUAGAUAAAAAUUACAAAAUAUAAAAGUAUAUAUGUACAUAUAAGAGAAUAUAUAUGUAUGUAUAUACAUAAAAUUCUGAAAAUAUGAAAAAUAUAUGUAUAUAUAUAUUUUAAAGAUGUAAAACAUAAAAAGAUAAACAUGUGUGUAUGCACAUACAUAUAUAUGAAUAUAACAAUCAUGGAAUAUAAAAAGUAUAUAUGUAGGUAUAUAUAUGAAUCAUAAAAUAUAAAGAAUAUAUAUAAAAUACAUAUUUUAAAAGUAUAAAGAAUAUGUAAGUAUAUAUAUAUUUAUGAAAAUAAAAUACAUAUAUAGACAUGUAUAUAGAUAUGUAUAAAAAUUAUGAAAUAUAAAAAUAUAUAUAGGUACAUAUAUAGAUAAAUUAUAAAAAUAUGCAUAUGUAUAUAUAUAUAUAUUAUAAAACACAUGUAUGUGUAUAUAUAUAAAGAAGAUUUCAAAUUUAAAAAAUAUAAAUGAGCAAAUAAUUACAAUAAUAAUUAAUAAUAACAGUAAUAGUAUCAAAUUUAUUAAGAAAAUAAAAAAAAUAACAAAAGGACUAAAUUAAACUUUAAAAUGAAAUUCGGGGUUUAAAUCUGCAACUAAAUAAAAACGGGGAUCUUUCUGAAUGCAUGCAUAACAUGGAGGGAUUAAAAGGGAAAUUUUCCCUUCCCCUCCAAAACGGUGUCGUUCAAAUAGGGACUAAACUGUAAACGCGAAGAAUUGUGGGAUAAGAUUGAAAAAUCCUAAAAUACUUGGUUGAAAAACCAUUAAAAAGUGGAGGGACUAGAAGGGAAAAUAACACAAAACUUAAAAACACGCGGAUCCCCUGGAGGGGGUCGGGUCGGCCAGUGGGUUAGGUUAAAAUGGCGUCGUUUUGGUGCCUGAGAAGGCUGCCCAAAAUGGCGUCAUUUUGGAGUUUUAUAAAUAUAAAAAAAUAAUUCCAAAAAAUAUUUGAAACCUAUUUUUUUAAAUUAAAGGAAGCCCCUCGUCUCUUUCUCUGUUUUCUCUUUGGGCUUUGCCUAGAAAACUCAAAAAGGUAUUUUUUUUUUGCUUUUUUGCUGCAUAUGCGUAUAUACGUAUAUAUUUUAGAACAAACGGAAGUAAAAAUAAAAAAUGAAAAAUAAAUGAAUGAAUGAAAAAGGUUUCGGAAACUAAAACCUUUAUCUUUAUUUUUAUUUCAUUCUCUCUUUUUUGCUUAUUUUUGUCACCCACUACAGAUUUUUCAAUCGGCCUUAUAUAGCUGAAAUAAUAAUAUAAAAAAUCUCUUUCUGCUAUCGCUAUUUGCUGUUGCUUGUUGGUGUUUGUUGCAGGUUUUUGACGUGUGAUGGAGCAGGUGGCAGAGUUGGUGGCGCGGCGUAAGAGAUGACGAUGGCAGGGCAAGUAGGCGAGGGGUUAGAAAGGGCGGCUAGGGUUAGGCAGUAGGCUAGGGUUUUAGUUUUUUUCUGAAAAGUUUUAAACAUUUUGGACCAUUGGGCCUUCAUUUUUUUGUAAUUUUUAAUUGUUUUUGGGCUUGCUGUACUUGUGUUGCUGGUAUGGGCCCGGGCAAAAUUGGGCUUGUACAAUAGGGAUACUACAGGCUACCAUCUUUCUAAUUUCCAUUGCCAGAAUUGUGACAGUAGCAGAUCCAUCGCCUUUGGCGUCCGAAGCCAUAGCAAUGGUAGAAAGUGGGUGGUGGAGUAACUAUAGCAACAAUGCUUCAGAAUGUUGCCAGUGGCCAGGUAUAUCAUGCAACACUGCUGGAAGCAUCAUCCAAAUUGACAUUUCUGAUGCGCCCAAUAUUGAGGUUGGAGAUAGAUUUGGGAAAUUUAAUUUCUCUUCAUUUCCAAAUCUUGUCCUUCUUGAUCUUAGUGAUCGUCAACUUGGUGGAAAAAUCCCACAUCAGAUAGGUAAUCUAUCAGCAUUGAAGCACCUUGACUUGUCCAAUUGUGGUUUAUUCGGUGAGUUACCUCCUUCUCUAAGAAACCUAACCCAAUUAGAGUCCCUUGACAUUUCCUAUAAUUAUAAUAUUAAGGGUUCCAUCCCUCCACAACUAGGGAAUCUAGUGAACCUUGUUAGUUUAAAUUUGAGUUGGACCAGUCUUAGUGGAAACAUUCCAUUGUUUCUUGGGCUAUUGACCAACCUUAGGCAUCUACUUUUGGAUAGGUAUCAAUUUGAUGAUGGUAAUAAUACAAUCCCUCAAAAUUGUGGAAUUUAAGGGGUCUUGAGACUUUGACCCUAAGUGGUUGUGGAAUUGUUGGUCCAAUCCCUUCUACUUUGGGUUAGUUAUUAAAUCUCAAAUCUUUAAUUCUUUAGGGCAACAAAAUUAAUGGAUCUAUUCCAUCUGGAGUUGGAUUCUUAUCAAACUUAACUUAUUUUGAUGUCUACGACAACAGACUAGUUGGUUCAAUCCCUUCUGCUUCGAGUCAGUUAUUAAACCUCAAAUACUUAAUUCUUGUGGGAAACAAAAUCAAUGGAUCUAUUCCAUCUAAAGUUGGAUUCUUAUCAAACUUAACUUAUUUCGAUGUCUACGACAACAAACUGGUUGGUUCAAUACCUUUUUCCUUGUACCAAUUAACCAAUAUGGAAAUUUUGUCCCUUGGUAAUAACCAACUUGAAGGUUCCAUCCCUCGGAAUAUUGAAAAUUUGAAGAACAUCAAGAUUUUAAGCAUCAUUAAUAAUAGCUUUACUAGUCAUAUCCCCUUAGUUUUGUGUCGUUUGACAAAUUUGGAAUAUAUUGAACUUGGCAACAAUCAAAUCAGUGGUUCAAUCCCAUCGUGUAUUGGCAAUUUAUCCAAUUUGGAUACCUUAAAACUUGAUUCAAAUCUAUUAAAAGGUCUUAUCCCUAAAGAAAUUGGUAGGCUUUUUCACCUAUCAAAUUUAAACCUCAACUUCAACCAACUCUCAAGUAGUGUCUCUAUCUUGUCUGCCACUAAGCUUCACAUUAUCGAUGCUGGAAAUAAUUGUAACAAGAUUUCUCCCGAUCCAUUUGAAGGCAAUAGUCAUUUAUCACCUUAAAUGUGUCCUCCUCCAGUAACCAACAAAACCAACAGUAGUAGAACUCCUUACCAUAUCAAAAUAUUCCUCCCAAUUGCCAUCUUCUCCACAUUCUCCAUUUUGGGAUGCUUUCUAUUAUCACAGUUUAAACUCAAGAAUAACUGCGUCAAUCAAUACCUAAUUACAUCAAAAUGCAGUUACCAACUAAGUUCAAUUCUAACUUGAUUACAAAAUGAACAUUAGAGUAACAAAACAAAAGAAACUAAACAGUAGUAUCGUGCUUCAGCUCCUACAGGCUUGGCUCAAUUGCAUUUGCUGCUUCUUGCGUCAUGAGCUGCAUGGAGGCCAACUUCAAUACUCUUCCUUGGCUUCCAUGCUGCAAACUCCCAUUUGCUUUCUUAAUUUGCUGAGCCUUGACACACAAGAGGCUUUGUUAAAAUAUCUGACAGUUGUUUUUCAGAAUUGCAAUGAAUCAGCUCUACUUCUCGAGCUUGCUUCAUCUCUCUAUUAAAAUGGAUCUUAAUUUUGAAAUGUUUUGUCCUCCCAUGGAACACUAGAUUCUUUGCAAUUGCAACAGCAGAUUGGUUGUCACAAUAGAUCCUUGUUGCUUCUCUUUGGUGUAGAUUCAUAUCAGCUAAAAUCUUUCUUAGCCAUAUGGCUUGGUUCACAGCUCUUGCAGUUGCCACAUAUUCUGUUUCUGCUGUUGAUUGAGCAACAAUCGAUUGCUUCUUUGAACUCCAACAGAAGAUGGCUAAGCUAAAUGUAAAAGCAUAUCCUGAGGUACUCUUCAUAUCGUCCAUAGAACCAGCCCAAUCACUAUCGGUAUAGCCAAUUAGCCUAAAGUUUUCAACCUUCUUGUACAGCAUUCUAUGACUCAGGCUACCUUUGGUAUACCUGAGCACCCUUUUUGCUGUUUUGAACUAUUUUUCAUUGCAGUAAUGCAUAAAUCUUGAGAGUAAACUCACAGCAAACAUAAUAUCUGGUCUGGUGGCAGUUAAAUACAACAAGCAACCAACUAGACUUCUAUAAACUGAUUCAUUAACCUGUUCAAAACCAUCUUGUCUCGAUAACUUUUCUCUAAUGGCAAUUGGUGUGCUUGUCUCUUUGCAAUUCAACAUAGAAAACUUGGUCAGAAUCUUCAUUGCAAAUGCCCUCUAACAUAGAAAGAUUCCAUUUUCAGUUUGGGACACUUCUAUAACAAGGAAGUAGGACAUCUGCCCCAAAUCAGACAUUUCAAACAUAUUUGCAUUUUGACUUUGAAAUCAGCCAACGUUUCUUGCUCUCCUUCUGUCACUAGCAAGUCAUCAACAUAUAGAGACACUAUCAAUUGUGUUUCAGCACCUUUGUUCUUAACAUACAAGGUAGGUUUACUGCAGCUUCUUUCAAAUCCAAGGCUAGCAAGAUAAGCAUCGAUCCUGCUAUACCAAGCCCUUGGUACCUGUUUCAAGCCAUACAAGGCUUUCUUCAAUCUAUAAACCAUGCCUUCAUUACCAGGCACUUUAAAACCUUGUGGUUGUUCAAUAUAGGUAUCCUAUUCAAGAAAUCUGUUUAGGAAGGUUGAUUUUACAUCAAACUGGUGAAUCUUUCAUUGCAUUUGUGCUGCUAAGGCAACUAGCAGCCUGAUGGUGUCUAGCUUGGCCACUGGUGCAAAGGUUUCCAAGUAAUCCAGGCUAUACUUCUAGCUAAACCCCUUGACAACCAGCCUUGCUUUUAAUUUGUUCAAACUCCCAUCAUCAUUGUGCUUGGCUUGAUAGACCCAUUUCACCUUAAUAACCUUUCUGUUUGCUGGCCUUUCAACCAGUUCCCAAGUCUGAUUCUUCUCAAUCAUGCUGAUUUCAUCAGCCAUUGCUUGUUUCCAGUCCAUGUGUGUUUCAGCCUCUUCAAAAUAGCUUGGUUCUGCUAUAGCCACUUAAGCUCUUUCAUAAAUCUCAGCCAAUAGUCUAGUGCCCCUGACUGGUUCAUCAUCUAUGUCUAUUUCAAGACCAUUUUGAUCUGGCUCAGUCUGAUCUGCCAAUAGGUCUUCAGGAACUGUCUCUGGUUCAUUCUUCUCCCAAUUCCAACAUGAUUUUUCAUCGAACACCACAUCUCUACUCAUAGACACUUUGUUUGUUGAAGGAUCCAAUAUCCUAUAGCCCUUUUUGACUGUGUUGUAGCCCACUAGAAUCCCAGGUUGAGCUCUUUUAGCCAGCUUGUCCCUCUUAAUAGCAAGCACAUAUGUAUAGCAUAUGCAACCAAAGACCUUUAAGUGAGACAGUGAUGGCUUGAAUCCAAACCAGGCCUCAAAUAGAGUUUUCUGAGCCAAGGCCUUGGUUGGAAGCCUGUUUUGAAUGUAAACAGCAGUGUUGACUACCUCAACCCACUAGAUCUUGGGCAAAUUCUUCUCAAUCAUCAAGCAUCUGGCCAUAUCCAUCAAGCUCAUGUUCUUUCUCUCACUUACACCAUUCUGUUGAGGAGUAUAGGUGUUUGUGAGCUGAUGUUUAAUGCUUGUUUCAUCAAAAAAGGCUUAGAACUAAGCUAAGGUGUACUUAGUCCCAUUAUCAGACCUUAUGGUCUUCACCUUGCAACCUAUUUUAGUCUCAGCAGUAGCCUUGAACUUCCAAAACACAGAGGCAACCUCUGAUUUCUGCUUCAAGAAGUAAAUCCAGCAAAAUCUUGAGAAAUCAUCAAUAAAUAGAAUGAAAUACCUGCUUUUAUUUAGUGAUUCUAUCUUCAUAGGGCCACACACAUUAGUGUGCAUGAGCUGUAGCCUUUCUAAGGCUCUCCAGGCUUGAUUUGAAGGAAAUGGGAGCCUAGCUUACUUUCCUAGCUGGCAUACCUCACAAACCUCCUAUUUUUGAACUGAACCAAUAAAGUUUUCAGCCAAAUCAUCUCUGGAUAGUUGGUCCAUCGAUCUGUAGUUGGCAUGACCAAGCCUUUGAUGCCAAAGCUUGGGUUCAUCUGCUAUGGCUGUAUAGGAAGUGUCUGAGCCAUUUGUCCAGUCAACAACAAAGCUCUUGUCAGCCAUAGUGACUGCCAUGAGCUUGGAUCCACUUGGAUCACUAAUUUGACACUCCUUGCCUUUGAACACUAAGAAUACCCUUUCUCUAGUAACUGAGCUAUGCUGAGUAGGUUUCUAUCAAUUUCAGGCACCAACAACACAUUCGAGAUGAGCUUGUUACCUGUAGGAGUGCAUAUCAGCACAUCUCCUUUACCUUCUGCCUUUAUGAAGUGACCAUUACCAAUCUUUACCUUGGUCUUGCAGCUUCUGUCUAGGGACUUGAAGAUGGCAGCAUCUGGUGUCAUAUGGUUGGUGCAACCUCUGUCUAGGAGCUAGCCUUUUAUGAGCUUCUUCUGAGCAGUUGAGCAUGACAUAGGAAAGAGUUGCUCCUCAUGGUCACUAUCUUCUUUUGCUACUCGAGCCUCAACCAUUGGCUGCUGUGGUUAAUUUUUUCUCGGUUUACUCUUAUUUCUGCAAACCCUUUCAACAUGCCCCAUCUUUUUACAGUGUUGACACUGAACAUCUGGUCUAAACCAGCAGUUGGCUUAUGGAUGACCAGUUCUCUUGCAAUGCCUGCAGGGUUGGUCCCUUCCUUUUACAAAAUCAAACUUAGGCUUGUCUUUCCAAGCCUUCUUAACUUUGUAGGCAGUAAUGGUCAAGGUAAAAUUGGUCUUUGCUUGAAAGGCACCUUCUUAGUGCUCUUCCAAUCUGCUAGCUCUUCUUUGCUCCUGUGCAUAGAGAGCAUUAAUCAGCUCUGUCAAUGUGAUGCUGGUCAGGUCCCUUGAGUCUUCGAGAGAUGAAAUUUUUGCUUCAUACCUUUCAGGCAAGGUUGAAAUCACCUUCUCCACUAUCUUUGCUUCACUAAACUGCUCAUCAAGAAGCCUUAUACUGUUUACCACAGCCAUUCUAUCUGAGUACUGUUUGACAGUUUCUUCUUCCUUUAUUUUUAAAUUUUCAAAGUCCCUUUUUAGGUUCAACAAUUGUUGCUGCCUUAUCCUCUCUGUUCCUUGAAACUCCUCCUUCAGUCUAUCCUAGGCUAUUUUGGUGUCUCACAGGCCAUGAUUCUUGUAAAAAUUACAUCUAACACAAAGUUUUGGAUGUAAGACAUGGCCUUGUGCCUUUUGGUCCUUUCAUCAGCAUGCUACCUGAUCUGAGCCACUGUUGGAUUGGCUCUGAGUGGCUCUGGUUCAACAUCUGGGUUGACCACCUCCUACAGAUCAAAUGCCUACAGGUAGGUCUUCAUUUUGACCACCCAUAUGUGAUUGCUCUCUAUUGAAGACUGGUGGUGCAGCUGGUGAGAAGUCUGAUGAAGCUAUCGAUUUAAGUUGAUAGGUCCACUAAGACAACAGCUCUAGAUACCAAUUGUUGGUGUUAUGAACGAAGAACAAAGAUGAAGCAAAGUCAACUACUGACUUGAGCAACAAGACUCGUGACUUAGAGAAGAAAUUAAGUAGGAAUUUGCUUAAGAGCGGAACAAAAAUUAAAGGCAAAGAAAAAUAGAAAGUAUAUGGAUGAAAACAAGUUGAUUUUCAUUAUUAUAACAAAGUAAGGCAUUAAGCCAUUACAUAUAUCAGUCAAGCUGAUCAAAAACAAAUAAAUUUUCACCUAAACAAACCACCUAACACCACUAAGUUACAUUGAAACUCGCUAAAUUAACUUGUACAUGUUGUUUUGCUGAUCUUUUAAUCAAUCAACACCUAAUUAAAUCAAAAUGCAAUCACCAACUAAGUUCAAUUCUAACUUGAUUACAAAAUGAACAUUAGAGUAAUAAAAUAAAAUAAACUAAACAGCAGCAUCGUGCUUCAGCUCCUGCAGGCUGGACUGCAUGUGCUGCUUCUUGCUUCAUGAGCUACAUAAAGGCCAACUUCAACAGCAGCCCUUCAAUAGUUCAUCGAGACAUAUCAAGUAACAAUGUUCUUUUAAACUCGAGCUUUGAGGCCUUUGUAGCUAACUUUGGGACUGCUAAAAUGAUGGAUCUCGAAUCAUCCAAUCAGACCAUUAUUGUGGGCACAUCUGGUUAUGUAGCCCUAGGUGAUUUUCUUUGCUUCGUUUUGAUGACAUUUUCUUUAGAAUUUAUAAAAUUAAUUGAACAUAUAAAUGGUUUUUUUAUUUGGGUUUUCGUAUGCAGAACUUGCCUAUACGAUGGUUGUCACUGAAAAAUAUGAUGUCUAUAGUUUUGGAGUGGUGGCACUGGAAACAUUAAUGGGAAAGCAUCCUAAAAAAGUGUUAUCAUGGUUGCCAUCAUCAACUUCCUUGGUAAAUACGAGGCUGAUUGAUGUGCUAAACAACUAUUUAUCACUUCUGACAAGCCAAUUAGUUGUACAAAAUCUUGUUCACAUUGCUUGCCUAAAUCCACAACCCAAAUCUCGACCAACGAUGAAAAAAGUGUACGAAGAUUUUUUUGUGUCCAAACAUCCUUGGGAAUUCCCUUUCGAAUGAUCUCUUUGUUACAACUUGUGAACCGUGAAAUGCAUAUUGGAGAUAGAACUGAAACUUGUAUUGUUUAAACUCUAUGCACUUGUUCUUGAUUAGGUAUUGUUUAUCAAGCUUUGAUGAUUUGUUCGUAAACCAUAUCAUUUGUUAUAUAUGAUGGAAUGAAUUGCAAUGUUCGAUAAACUUGUUUAUUCGAUUUCUUUACAGAUCAUAAAUCCUACAAUUUGAUAUAACUAUUCAGACACCAUCCCAAUAGUUCCCUUCCAUUUCGUGCUUUUUUCAAGUAUGAUAGAACAAAUCAAAGUAUAAAUCAAAUAUAAGUAAAUUAAUUGUGAAUUAAAGCAAAAAAAUGAAAUUUAUACAUACAAUGUUCCUUUCAUCAAUUUGCAUAAAGGUUAAAUGGUUUAGAAGAAAGCUUUCUAAAAAAGACUACACUAAAAAUGACCAAACCAUUUUGGAAAGAGGGAAAGAUGCUUAGGGGUAAUUUUUGUUAAAGAAAAGGCCACUAAAGACUUCAUUAAUGCUUAGGGGUAAGAUACUUAGGGGCAAGGACUCUUAAUUUUUUUACAUUAUCUAUAAUAAUUCAAUUUGAUUUAGUUUUUUAUUUUUAUAUUAAUUUUAAGUUUAGGAUUUUAAACUUAUUUUAAUAAAAUGAACUUUAUUUUAUGAUUUUUGUAUAUUAUUGGGUAAACUUUUACUUUUAUAUAAGGCUUAGAAUUUCUAGUCCUAUGAUGAAAGGGUUCGGAAAUAAAGCACAAAAAAGUAUUUAUAAAGUGAAACUAUGAACAAAACAGAGUAAUCACUAGGGAUAAUAAUAUAAUAUAAUCAUCUCUUCCAACUUUGGCUUUAGUAUAAAUGAUCUUUCAUUCCACCAACAAGCCAUGUCUCUUAGGCUAUAUCAGAUGAAAUUUUGUAGAAAUCAAGAUCGUAUUUCAUCACUACUAAGCUCUCUUUCACCUUCAUGUUUUCUUCUUCCGUUAAAGACCUCAAUUUUUUUGUUUUUUCCUCGUCUUUCCUCUUGCACUCCUGUUUGUCUCCUUGAUCUUCCCCGUCCUCUUCGACCCAUAGCUUCUUCUAACCAGCUCUUAGCAAAAGCAGAUCGACAAUGCAUAAGCAAGAGAGCAUUUGUAGGUGGGACUGCAUUAGCUUGACCAUCAACAUGAUCGAAGGAGCAUUUACCAGCAAUCACAAUUCUUAAUAUCAAUUUGCAAGUCUGAGAAGAUUACAGAUUUAAAAACCUAAUUGUCUACUUAAAGGUCUAAAGUCAAAUACUGAGUUGGUUAUAACAUGUAAUUAAGUAAUGAAACCUGCAUUUAUAAUUUAUUGAAGGAAUCAGGCUGCCACAAUAUCUAUAAAUGAUUAAGUUCAAUCUAUACAAAUUAUUUUAAAAAUAAGAUGACCAUUACAAAAAAUAAAAAAAGAAGGCCCUUUUCAGAGACAAUAACAUGUAAUUAACUAAACCAUGUAUUUUUUUGUUUCUUAAUCUUAGCCUGAACUUCCGUUUGCUUACCAAUAUUUCUGGAAAAUGAUUUACUUUCUAAGAAUGAUUUACUUUUUUGGUGUUUGAAUGAAUCUGUAUAAAAUAUUUUCUGUUGUUUGGCAGAUUUCCUGAAAAUAUUUCAAAAAAACUGUUUUAAAUGAAACAUACAUUUGAGAAUUUAAUUGAGUUUAUUUUAUAUCUACCAAUAAAUUUAUAUUUUACAUUAUUUUUACAUAUAUUUCAACCACAAUAUCAUUUCUCACCUCAUUAUUAUUUAUUUAUUUUCUAAUUUAAUUAUAAGGACAAAUUCUAUUUUUCAUUGUUUUUUCGUUUUACACUUUCGAUUUUCAAACGUUCCAAUUUUGAAUAUAAAAAAUAAAUAUCCAUUUAAUAAUUAUAUUUAAGUGUGAUUAUACAUGAUUGGUAACUUGUAAAUACACUAUUUUUAGUUUUUUCACUUUACCCAUAAUUAUUUAUUAAAAUAAUUUUAUAAAUAUAUAUUUUUAAUAUAAAAUAUAUUCAUUCGGAAGUCUUACCUUAUAAUAUCCACAUACAUGUUAUGGCUUAGGUUUGGAUAAUAUUAGACUUUGGAUUAAUAGGAACGAUAGAAGAAAUUGAUGUUGUCAAGUUGCACCAUAGAAACUAUCAUAUUCUCCUCCAAUGUAAACAAACCAAAAACUACUGUUCUAUUUAUCAACCACUGCACAAGUAGUGUGUAUUUCUUUUGUUAUACAUAUAAGCACAACUCUGCAUAUAUGAAUUAUCUACCAACUACUCACGAAAGGCUUUUAAAAAAAUAUUAGUUAGUAAAGCCAUCCAAGAGGAAAUAUGCUACUAACGUGAAACGGGCAAAAUUACAUAGUAAAUAUGUCUUCAUGAGACUGCUGUAUUUCUUUAAGAACCAAAAGAAAUAUAAGUGAAGGCAAAAUAGUUUAUUGUUUCAACUCUCUAUCCCCAUGCCUCAUUGUGCAAUGAAUAAAGUACAUCAAGCAGGGAUUUAUCCCUCGCCAUAAACAUAUCGCACUAGUCUUUACUUUAUACAAAUUUCUUGAAACACAACUUUGGAAUUUUAAUAUUUGGAACUCCUAAGCUACCUGAAAUAACUGCAAGUUACCAUGACUAAAGUGCAUACAUACAUAUAUGAAAGUUUCUCAAGCAAUGAUAAGAUAAUUAAUUGCUAAAAAUCUUUAUUGAUUUUGUGGAGAGACAAUCAGACAAGUCAUGUCAGAUUAAUGAUGGGACAAAAAGGGUUUCUGGACUUUUAAAGUUAUGAAUGCAUCUAUCAGGCUCAAACAUUUCCAAUAUCUAAUUUAUGGUGUACAUCUCAAAGCAAAGAAUGCAAAGCAUCAGGCUUAAAGAUCAUAAUAUGCACAAAAAAUGUAGUGGCCCUGCAAGGUCUGCAUCAUGUCAUGCAUGCAUAGAUACAUUACAUUACUACAAGCAAAUUUACAGCUUUAUCGGUCUAUAACACGGUAGCAUAAUUAGAAACUAUCAAACAUGUCAGAGCGUGCAUGUCUAAAUCAAAGUACAAAGGCAAAAAUAUACAGGUUUCUUUUCACUACAGUAUAGUAUAAACAAACUUCUAUUGCCUGCAAAGGAUGGAAGAUGCUAACUCAAGCCUUACAACAGUGCAUACAUCACAAGAUGCAUGCGAGCCAAUGGCGCUUCAAGAGACAUGAAACUUUACACAGUUAGAAUCUUCACAUUUACCCCAAAAGUUCAGACUUCAGACAAUAGAAAAUGGUAGAUAAACUAGCUUUUUAUAGUGUCAAACAUGCUGCAUUACAACAAAAUAUUCAGAUUGUUCUUCUCUGAUAAAACAAAAGGUUAACAUUUAGAGUUUAAAACAAAUGGAAAAUGAAAAAAAUAAUUGGAAAUAGACUAUUAACCAAAUGAAAAAAUGAAAAAUAAUUUCUAAUAAAUAUAUGCUAAAUAAAAACCCAAAAUGGCAAUUGGUCUUGAAUCCCAAUCUCUUAACAAUUCAAGAAACAAAUUCCAAUUCCAAAAAUCCCAGUCUCUUAACAAAACAAAUACCAAAUAUACCAAAUACCCUUUCCCUUACACAUAAAAGCUAAUUCAAGAGAUUACCAAAAAAAAAUGCUAACUCAAGAACCAAGCUUGAAAAACAACCAAAACCCCCACUUCAAAUCUUGGUCAGCUUACCCUGAAAAAUUACAUAGAAAGAGAAAAAGGGAAACUCACAUGUGGCCAUGGAGAAAGCAACGAAUUUACAGAGUAACCAAAAUACAAUAACUUUGAAGAACAAAAACAAUCAGAGAAAUAACCAAAGAAAAAAGCAUCAAUGAAAUGGACUGAAGCAAUAAAACACUGUAGACUGGAAUGAAGCUACUUGAAGAGAAGCACCCAAAGAAGUCAAGACUCGGUGAGACCGGGCAAAAUUGGUCUUUCUUAGUCUUUGCUCUAUUCCCGUUAAAAAAGAAUGAGCAAAGAGGGGCAGCUGUAAGAGCCCAUUUUUGCCCGGGCCCAUACCAACAAAAUAACCCAAAUAAUAAAAAUAAAAAUAGUUCAUUUUCAGCAAAUUUAAACCCAAAAAACUACAAGCCCAAACCCAAUAGGCCCAAAAAUCAGAAACCCUAAGCCCACAAACUUAAAGAUUUUCAGCAAACCCUAGUUGCCUCCCCUAAAACUUGGCACCGCAAGCUUCCAUGCGUGGCCUCCUCGUCUGCCACGCCCUCGCGUCGCCUCACGCCAGCACCCCAUCCACGCGCAUCUGACACUGUUCUGUCACCUGCAAAAGACAACCAACAGAACAACAAAUAGAGAAAACAAAUAGAAAACGACAAAUGAGGCAGAGAUUAAACGUUUGUAAUCGGCUAUAAAAAGCCGAAUAAGGCAAUUGUACUCUUCUUCUUCCGAUUUUACGAACAAAAAAGAGAAAUAAAAAAACAGAAAAAAUAAAGGUGAUUUUUUAAAUCUGUUGUUUUUAUUUUUUUUAUUUUACUUCAUUUAUUUUUUUUCAAACAAAAAUAAAAUAAAGAGGAGGGGCUNNNNNNNNNNNNNNNNNNNNNNNNNNNNNNNNNNNNNNNNNNNNNNNNNNNNNNNNNNNNNNNNNNNNNNNNNNNNNNNNNNNNNNNNNNNNNNNNNNNNNNNNNNNNNNNNNNNNNNNNNNNNNNNNNNNNNNNNNNNNNNNNNNNNNNNNNNNNNNNNNNNNNNNNNNNNNNNNNNNNNNNNNNNNNNNNNNNNNNNNNNNNNNNNNNNNNNNNNNNNNNNNNNNNNNNNNNNNNNNNNNNNNNNNNNNNNNNNNNNNNNNNNNNNNNNNNNNNNNNNNNNNNNNNNNNNNNNNNNNNNNNNNNNNNNNNNNNNNNNNNNNNNNNNNNNNNNNNNNNNNNNNNNNNNNNNNNNNNNNNNNNNNNNNNNNNNNNNNNNNNNNNNNNNNNNNNNNNNNNNNNNNNNNNNNNNNNNNNNNNNNNNNNNNNNNNNNNNNNNNNNNNNNNNNNNNNNNNNNNNNNNNNNNNNNNNNNNNNNNNNNNNNNNNNNNNNNNNNNNNCCCUCCACCAAGGUCACAAUCUCCAUUGUCUCCUCAUAGGGUAAAAUUUGUUUCUCUUCCUGCUCUACCAUCCUCAACAAGUUCGGAGAUAGGCUACAAUCUACGUCAUUUUCAAAGUUAUGAGAUCCCUCUAAACACAUGUCUUGUUUAAAAGGAAAUUCUGAGCAUAUAUCAGUGUCACUCAUUCGUUGAUAUCCAAGGACCUAUUGUAGGUACAAAAAAUAUUCAAAGAAUGUGUGAAUUUAAGAAUUAUUAUUUGUACAAUACGAUUAUGAAUGAAAUGAAAGAAUGAAUUGGAAGAAAAUCUCUAAAAGAAUGAAAGAAUAAUUAUUCAUAUGAAAAGAGUAAAAUAAUAUUUUCUCAAAAUGCAAAAAUGUAUUUUAUUAAAAUAAUGACGUUCAGACAUGAGCCUAUUUCACAAAGGGAUUCUUAUCACUUCUAGGCUAAAAGUAACAAGUGUGUUCUGAACAUUACUCUGAGUAAGCUCUAAAACUACAGGAAUUUCUUUCGCAGUCCAAUUAUUUAAAACACUCCCAGGUUUAUAAGGACGGAUAUCUAACAAGGUCCCCUUUUCAGUUGUGUCCUCAUAUACGACAUUGAUGUGAACACUUCCCAACAUUAUGCAUAGGCUUCUCUCUUCUAUAAUUUUCUCACAGAACUCCAUCUCUUUAUUGUCCAUCAUGCCUUGAACCAAAGCCCUGAAUUCCACGCACUCUUGGAUCUCAUGCCCCUUCUCAUGAUAGAACUCACAAUAGUUCAUUGUCUUUCCGUGGCCUCCUCCUAAAUCCGAAAUGACUAAUCCCCUUCUUGCCAUCUCCUUCUAGACCCAACUCAAUAGAGUUUUUACUUCUACAAUGUCUAUCUUGAUUCUUCUCCCAAUAUCUUAACUCAUCGUGUUUACCCUAUUAUCAAUAUGAUUGGGUAGCGGAAUAGAUGAGUCAUUGAACUUGACAAUACCCAUAUUGAUGAGCCUUUCAACUAGCUUUUUGAAAGCGGUGCAGUUUUCUAUCGAAUGCCCCAUGAUUCCUACAUGGUAUUUGCACUGGGCAUUUGUGUCGUACCCUGUAGGAAAUGGGGGCUGCAUUGGUUUCAAGUAGAAAGGCGAUACUAUAUGUGCUUCAAACAUGUUUUGAUAUAGCUCUCUAUACGUCAUUAGUAUAGGCGUUUUCUGUAUUUGUUCUCGUGUAAGAUUCUUACCUUGAAAGGCCCUGAUGGCUAGCGGUUACUAUUUUUGGCUGGCCUACAGUAAUUGGUUUUGUGUAUCCCCUGUUAUACAUGCUUGCGUUAUUCACUUCAUUCUUCCUAUUCCCCGGAGCCUUUAAAGUAUUGAGUUGGAAACUCCACUCUUGCCUUUUCUGUUUGUAACGAUCUUCAAAUUGCUUUGGGAACUCCACUCUCACCUGUUUUGUUUUAGCUAGAUCAUCAUGGACCACAGGAUUGGUUAGAUUGUCUCUCAUAUUGGAAUUUGAGCCUGUCGGGUAAUUCAUUAGUGUCGAGGUACCGGUCUAGUAUUGGGGUCUAAUGUUAACAGACACCUUUUAUGGAUACCCAUUUGGUUGUGUCUGGAUGCUUGUUGGUGUAAAGCCUGGAGAAGAAACAGGGUCUUCACAAUCAUCCCUAAAGUGGACCACCUGAUUUUUUCCUUUUUCUAACCCUUUAUCCAAUAACUGGGUUAACAGGCUUAUCAUACUUCUUUGGAACUCUAACAUCUGAUCCUUCAUAUCUUGUUAAAAUUUGGUUAAUUGUUCUUGCAUCUGUAUUUGCCUUUGCUCUAAUCUCUCCAACAUUUGGUCCAUUCCUUUUACUCAGGUACAGUAAUGAUGUUUGGUUGGUAGGUUUUUGUUGAUUUCCAGAUCAACUGAAAUAAUUUUAAUCAAUUAGGAUCUUUUGGUGUACUUUAAUGUAUAUGAUGUAAUGUAAUGCAAAUGCAUGCAAUGACUGCAAAAAAGAGACGUUGAUUCUGAUUCAAUUCUAUUAGAAUAACUUUACUAGAAAACAAAUCUCUUUACAUAAAGCGGAUAUAUAUACGGCUUUUCCCUCACACUCCAGGUGAAGACAUUGAUCCUUUUCUUCAUCUGGAUGUUAAGAUAAAUCUCGUGAAUUUUCCAAUGAUUGUCUAUACUAGCUCUUUUUUGCUUGAUUUGGGCCGCGACUCAUCACUCACUCGUCCUCGUGAUGCUUGUUAGCUUAUUUAAAAAAUUUUGGGAUGCUGACGACUCUCGAAUAAUCUUUGUCAACUUGAAUCCUCGGGAAACGAAAAAAAGUCGUGUACUCCUCCGUUAGGCUAUCAUCCUUCUCUUGUUGUGUUUUCUUAGAACAUAUUCGGCCAGUCGUAUUAUUUUCCACUUUAUCAAAAAAUUCAUUUUCCAUGACAAGCUCUCUAUUUAGCAAUUGAAGGUGAAUCAACACCUCUUUUCUAUGAUGAAAAUGCAAUGUAAUCAUAACCAGAACAAAACGAAACAAGUUAGUGCCAAGAAAAAGCAAGCAAGAAAUAAAUAGAGCACCUAUUCGAGUGACCACUAGCGGUUUGGCGUGGUCUUACCUAGGGUAGGCUCUUAUGGUUCACUAUAUGUGGUUUGGUUCUAAAGUAAAGGUACCUGAACCAGCAGAUUCCUUGAUCCUCACCCAUUAUAGCCUCAUAUGGGCUGAGUUCAGUUCAGGGGAAUUCAUUUCCCUAUGGCUGCACGGAGAUGAAAAUCUCACGAAGACAUAGGUACGGAUGUAUCUCGAAAGUGAUCCACUAUCCUGCACGAAGGUGAAGACCUCACGAAGGAAUAGCUUCUCACUCCCACUUAAGAAGGGUAAAAUUGACCAACUUAUGUAAUGCAAAAUGCAGAUAUACAUUAACAAAAUUGGAUCAACCAAGCAAACGCACUAUGAUUAACCAUGAAAAUAAUGGAUGAAAUGCAAAAAGGGAAAUUGUGAAUUGAGAACAAAAUUUGAUUUUUCGACAAAAAGAUAAAAAUUAAUCAAUUUGUGGCUUGACUCUCAAAACCAGUCCCCAGCGGAGUCGCCAAGCUGUCGAAACCACUUUUUGAAAAUAAAAAUAGUGUCGACUUAAAAAAAAUGAAAAUUGGAGUCGCCACCGAUCUUUUAUUGAGGUGUGAUCGGAUCACCUUAAAAAUGAUUUUGGUUUAAGAGUUUCAGUAAAAAUGGGUUCGGGAGUUAGUUACUUACAAAGAAGGAUCAGCACCCUCGUAACGCCCAAAAUUGGUACCAAAUUGAUUAUUUAAUGUCUUAAAGUCGAAUGUUGAAAAUUCGAAGAGAUUAAAAACGAUUUCCCCUUUUUAUUAAUGCCAUAUUUUAAAAUAAUUCUUGGAUAGAUUUGAACGAAUGUAUAAAAGGCCUUCUCACCCCGGGGCAACCAAAUAUCGUAUCCCGUAAGUUAGGAAGCAAUGUUGGAUUUCCCGAGUAUAAGAUAACCUUUAAAAAUUUUUAUUGAAACUUUGUGUAUUUGAAAACUAAAAUGUUUGGUCGUUUUAGUUCGACGAGGAAAUCAAAACCCCGUAAGUUAGGGUACGAUUUCUCGAAGUUCCAAAGAUCGAGUAUUGCAUUAUUUUAGAAACUUUUGAAUAAAAUGAUUUCAAUGUUUAAAUGAAAUGAAAUUUUUGACAAAUAAAACACAAUGGGAUGACAAUGUAUAACUCGAAAGAAUAAUUAGUAAGCCAAAAUACGUACAAAUGAACACGAAUAAUCUAUCAAUAUAAACAAGCAAUACAAUGUACAUAAUAACAAUAAUCUCACAUCACAUGUAAAUAUUAACACCAAUAUUUAAAAGUUAAUGACCUAAAAGCCUAUCACAAAUAAAAUGUAACUAUUUUAAAAUAGCUAAAAAAAAAGAGAAAAGAAAUUUGAAAUUUUCAAUGUAUAUACACAAAAUUACAUAUAUAAAAAUUUAAAAAGAAGUAAUUAAUGUGAAGACUUGAAAUAGUUUAAAAAUAGAAUUAAAUAUGAAUACUAUAUGGAAUAAUAAUAUCUAAAUGAAUUUUAAAGUGAAUAUUGUAUAAGAAGAAAUCCAAAACGCAUAAAAUAUAUAUAUUAAUUUAAAUAAAUAUUACAUAUGGAUUGAAAAAUUUCAUAUAAUAAUAUAUGUAUAAUAGUAUGUAUAAAAAGUUGAUAUAAACCAAGUAUAUAAUAGAGUAGGGUUUUGAAAGAAAUAAAAUAUAUGAAAUAGAUAAGAUAUAUAAUAAUAUGAAAUCGAUGAUAUAUUUUGUGUAUAUAUAUAUGUAUAAUAAAAUAGUUUAAUACAAAUUAUAUAUAUGAAUAAAAAAUAUUAUGUAAGAGUAUUAUUGUAUUAAUCUUUAAAGCAAAGAAAUAUAUAAGUGAAAUUAAAAAUGUAUUAUAAAAUAAAACCGUAAAAAAAUGUAUAAAUUAUAUUGAAAUUGCAACAAGAAUGCAUAAGAUAAUACAUGAUAAAUUUAAAUAAAAAAUACAUGAUACACCUAAAAUAAUGUUAAUGAUAAAUUUAGAAUAAUAAUAUAUUAUAAUAUUGAUAAUAAACUUAAAGAUAUAUUAAACUUAAACAUAAAAAGAAAGUUAGAUUUAAAAAUAAAUAUAUCUAAAAAUAAUAGAAAAAUAGAUUUUAAACAGAAUAAAAAUCAAGUACAUUAAAUUAAAUAAGUAUGGAUUAAAUUAAACUCAAAACUGAAUUAAAAGGAAAAAACGAAAAUAAAACAAAAUGAAGGGCCCAAUUGAAAGGCACGAAUAACUCAGAGGGACAGGAUGGGGAAAUAUUCUCGCCCUCUGAAACGCGCCAUUUCAUCAGGACCGAAUCAGAAACCGAAUAAAAUUUACAGUAUCAAUUGAAAAAAUGAAAACAACUGAAUUAAAAUAAAUAAAAAUGCAACGGGACCAGAGGUGCAAAUUACCCAUAAAUAAAAAACACGUGGAUCCUUCCUUCAGGUCGGGUUACCGCGCGGGUCAUGGCCUUAUACGGCACCGUUUUGAGGCCACUGAAACAGGCCUUAAAUGACGACAUUUCAUACCUAAUAUAAAAUCAACAAUUUUUUUUUAAAAAAAACUACUUUCUGUCAUUCUUUAAAAAAAAACUAUUAUCCCCUUUUUCCUCUACUAGGGUUUUUGAACCCAUUCCCACGCCGCUGAAAGCUCCGCCGAUCUUCGACCUUACAACCCUCGCUUGAGUUUCAAUUACGACGAAGCGAACAAGGAUCCAAUCGACGCCGACACUAAGGUAAACCCUCGCCCUUUUUUGUGUUUCUUUUCUUAAACAGUAAGCAAGCAUCAAUGAAAAAAAAAACUAAGGAGAAUAGCAAAGAAAUUAAAUGAAAAAAAAAGGAAAUAUAGAUCACUUUCAAAAAUUGUGAUUGAUUUUUUACUGCUUUUUUAAAUUUCCUAUCCUUUUUUUUUACAGAUUAUUCAGCCUUAUAUACCCGAUAAAAACAAAAAAUAAAAUUACAAGAAAGAAAAAUCUCAUUUUCUGUUAUUCUCAUUUUUCAUUUGCUAGCUCUUUUUUUGUUAUUGCCUUUCCUUGCUAUCCUUGUUGGUUUCGUUUGUUUUGCAGGUACAGCCAGCUGGAGGCGCGUGGAGGCGUUGCGCGCGUAGGGAACGACGGCGGCUGCUGGUCUACUGCUAGGGUUUUCUGGUCUUUCUUUUGCUAUUGGUUUUGGGCUAGGGGUUUUGGGCUGCUAUUGGACAAUUAUUAAUUUUUAUAUUUGGUUUCUUUUUUAAUUUGGUUAAUAUUGGGCAAGGCCAAAAUUGGCCUAUUACAGUUGCGCCUCUUUGUUCGUUGUCGUGUAACAAAAAUGGAGCAAAGACUUAAAAAGGGACAAUUUUGCCUAGUCUUGCCGAGUCUUCACCUCUCUUAGUGCUUCUCUUCUUCAAGUAGCCUAAUUCCAGCCCACUGCAUCUUGUUGCUUCGAUCCACUCUACUGUAACUUUAUAUACGGCUCAUAGCUUCAAUCUACCCUGUUGCGAUUUCAAAGGGGACGAGAUUUGUGGUUUUAGUCUGCUCCACUGCAACUUCAAGGAAAUAAGACUGGUGGCUUCAAUCUGCUUCACUGUAACUUCAGGAAGAUAAGAUUUGUCUCUUCAACCUGCCUCACUGCAACGUCGGGGGGAUAAGUUUUGUGGCUUUAAUCUGCUCCAUUGCAACUUCAGGUGUAACACCCCUUACCCGUAUUCCUUACCGGAACAGAAUAUGAGGUAUUACUAAAUUUUAAAAAUUUUCGACAGCAUUCCUACUUAUUUUUGCUUAAACCUCCUGCAAAUUUAGAACACAUUCCAAUAUACCAACCAAUUUCAUUUGUAUAAACACACAUAUAGUUUAACUAUUAAUAAACACUACAUUUAAAAGGGAACCAUAACAUAUAUUUACAUGAUGAUCCCACAUUACAUAAAGUGUCUAUACAUGCCAUAAAAUUUCGGAACACUAGUAGUAAAAUACCCCAAAUGUGAAGGAUAGUGUAGAUGAUUGUCUGACUUCGUUCCAAUUUCCGAGUUGUUGGAAGUCACUAUAACCAAGAGAAAAAUAAAAUCGAGUAAGCAUAUAGCUUAGUAAGUAAACACAUGAUAAAUAAGUAAUUACUCCCAUAACUACACCAAAAUAUAAACUUAUUCAUGAAUAACUUUAUUGUUUAGGCAAUUUCCAGCAAGCUGUUUUUCUGCAUCAUAGUCGCUAAUUUAUUUUUAUCUGGAGCUACAGGGCUCCAAAUUGAGUUCCGUAAAUUUUCCCUGAAACUAGACUCAUAUACCAUUUCACCAUAAAAAAUUCAGAAUUUUUAACCCAGCCAAUUAGUACAGUUUAUUCAUUAAACCUUCCCCUGUUUCACUGCCCAACGGUUCUGACCCUUCCUCACUAAAAUUUACUUAACUCUCUGUAAAAAAAUUUUAAAAAUGGUUUUUCUUGUUUCUAAUAAAAAUAGACUCAAUAAGGAUUCCAGGGAUAUAAAUUUAAUACCAUAAUUAUUUUUUUACAAUUUUUGGUAAUUUUCCAAAGUUAGAACAGGGGAUCUCGAAAUCAAUCCAGCCCUGUUUCAGUAAAAUUCAGAUAUCUCCAAAAAUACAACUCUUUUGCUUAUUCUAUUUCUUUCAUAUGAAAACAGACACAUCCAGCUUCAAUUUCAUAUAUUAUUCAGCUUCCCAUUCAUUUUCCACCAUUUAUGGUGAUUUUUCAAAGUUACCCAACUGCUGUUGUUCAACACAGUUUAUAAUUAAAUCGUUCCUUUUGCAUUUUUGAUAUUUUCUCCCAUCUCAUACAUGGGUCGAUUUAGUAUUCAACUCAAUAUUUACCCCAUAAAAUUUUCCACCAUAUGGAAAUAUUCAUCUUCCACACUUUUUCGUUGAACACUCGGAAUGUUAGCCGUUAUUGGUGGAUCCCGCACUUAGCACCACCACUGAAUCGGGGAAUCAGCACUUAGCAACCCCUCGGGGGAAUCAGCACUUAGCAACCCCCUUUUCAUUUCAAAGAUACAAUGGAUAUCGCACUUAGCACCACCAAUGAACCGGGGAAUCAGCACUUAGCAACCCCUCGGGGGAAUCAGCACAUAGCAACCCCCUUUCACAUUUCAAAGAUAUGGUGGAUAUCGCACUUAGCACCACCAAUGAACCGGGGAAUCAGCAUUUAGCAACCCCUCGGGGGAAUCAGCACAUAGCAACCCCCUUUUCACAUUUCAAAGAUAUGGUGGAUCACGCACAUAGCACCACCAAUGAAUCGGGGAAUCAGCACACAGCAACCCCUUUAUAUACAACAUACUCCGGCUUAUUCCGAGUGUUCAACCCAUAAACCAUAUAUUGCAACCCUUUACCACCUUUCCCGAUUUAACAACAUUUUUAGGAUAUGGCCAAACAUUUAUUUUAAUUCCAAAUAAAUCUCAACAUAUAUCAAAUAAUAUCAAAAUAAUACAUUAAGUCACGUGUUUACUUACCUCGGUGCAAAAUAUCGUAAUUUUGCACUUUACUCCCCUAUCUUUUCUUUUCCCCGUUUGAUAUACUCUUCACGUCUUUCUUGAUCUAUAAUAGCAAAUUUAACUCGUUUAAUAUUCACAUUUAUUAAAAUAAUCCACCACCCAACUUUUUGAAAAUUACAAUUUUGCCCCCAAACUUUUGCAUAAUUACACUUUUGUCCCCAAGCUCGGAAAUUAAACUUCAUCACUUAUUCUUAAGUUUUAUAACAUGAUGAACAUUUUUCCCUUCUAUGGAAACAUCAAAUUCCCACUCCAACACAUACUUUUGAAUAUUAAUUAUUUUUACCGAUUAUGUCUAUUUACCCGUUUUCGCUUAAAAUUGCUUAGCAAAAGUUGUUUAACAUAAUCUCUAGCUUCAUAUUCCACCAUAAAACAGCAAAAUAAACACAUUUCACCUAUGGAUAUUUUUCCAAAUAUGAACCCUAACAUGAAUUAAUGGUAGAAUAAGCUAAACCAAGUUACCGGGACUCCAAAAAUACGAAGAACAUUAAAAACGGGGCUUAGAAUCACUUACUAUGGAGCUUGAAAGCUUAAAAACCCUAAAUAUGGCUUCCCCAUUGCUGAUUUCGUUCACCAUGAAGAAGAUGAGCAUAUUUUGCCAUCUCUUUCCCAUUUAAUUCUAUUUAAUAACCAAAUGACUAAAAUGCCCCCAUUUAAAAAAAAUCUAUUUCACCCAUUUCUUAUGUCUAUUUUUGUCCAUCAACUAACUAAUGGUCUAAUUACCACAUAAAGACCUCCAAUUUAAAAUUUCAUAACAAUUAGACACCUCUAAGAUGUAGAACUCAACUUUUGCACUAUUUACAAUUUAGUCCUUUUGACUAAAUUGAGUGCCCAAACGUCGAAAUUUUCGAACGAAAUUUUUACGAAAAUUUUCCGUGAAAUUGUAGAUCAUAAAAAUAUAAUAAUAACCAUAUUUUCCCUCGUCGGAUUUGUGGUCCCGAAACCACUAUUCCGACUAGGCCCAGAAUCGGGCUGUUACAACUCUCCCCCCCUUAGGGAUUUUCGUCCCCGAAAAUCUUACCGGAAAAGAGAUUUGGGUACUGUUUCCUCAUAAUUUCCUCCGGUUCCCACGUAGCCUCUUCCAUUCCAUGUUUUUGCCACAACACUUUCACUAAGGCUACACUUUUAUUUCUUAACUGUUUGACCUCCCGAGCCAAAAUCUUUAUGGGUUCUUCUUCAUAAAUCAUAUCUGGUCGAACCUCAAUCUCUGUAGGAGAAACUAUAUGUGAAGGAUCCGAACGAUAACGUCGCAACAUCGACACAUGAAAUACAUUAUGUAUCUUUUCCAACUCUGGCGGUAAAGCUAACCGAUAUGCUACAGGGCCAACUCUCUCGGUAACUUCAUAUGGUCCAAUAAAACGUGGACUUAGUUUGCCUUUACGACCAAAUCUCAGAAUCUUCUUCCAUGGGGAUACUUUCAAGAACACUUUAUCACCCACUUGAAACUCAAUUUCUUUUCUCUUUAAAUCCGCAUACGACUUUUGCCGAUCUGAGGCAGCUUUUAGGCAAUCACGGAUUAUUUUCACCUUUUCUUCAGUUUCUUUCACCAGGUCGACUCCAUGAAUCCGAUUCUCACCGAGUUCAGUCCAAUAUAAAGGGGUUCUACAUUUACGCCCAUAUAAUGCUUCAUACGGUGCCAUUUGUAUACUUGACUGAUAACUAUUAUUAUAAGCAAAUUCAACCAGUGGUAGAUAUUUCUCCCAACUGUCCUUCAUUUCUAAAAUACAACACCGGAGCAUGUCUUCAAGAACUUGAAUCACCCUUUCUGAUUGCCCGUCAGUUUGCGGAUGAAAUGCAGUACUGAAAUUCAAUUUCGUACCCAAAGCUUCCUGUAACUUUAUCCAAAACCUCGAAGUAAAUCUCGGAUCUCUAUCCGAUAUAAUAGAUUUAGGCACCCCAUGUAGUCUCACUAUUUCAGCAACAUAUAAUUCAGCCAACCUGUCAAGUGAAUAAUCAAUGCGUAUCGGAAUAAAAUGGGCUGACUUUGUCAAUCUAUCCACAAUUACCCAAAUAGCAUCUUUCUUCUUUGGAGUUAAAGGCAAUCCUGUCACGAAAUCCAUCGUGAUACUGUCCCACUUCCAUUCUGGAAUCGUUAUCGGUUGAAGUAAACCCGAUGGCACUUGAUGCUCAGCCUUCACUUGUUGACAGAUUAAACAUUUUGUUACAAAUUCUGAGAUAUCCUUUUUCAUGCCCGGCCACCAAUACAACUUCCUCAAAUCAUUGUACAUUUUCACACUACCCGGAUGGACUGAUAAAUCACCACUGUGUGCCUUACCUAAAAUAGUCCGAAUUAGCUCAUCAUUUCUCGGUACACAUAUUCUGUCCCUGAACAUCAGGCAAUCAUCUGAACCAAUUUGAAAAUCUGAGUCAACACCUGCUUCACACUGAGCUCUCUUGGCUUGCAAUUUACUGUCAUUCUUUUGAGAUUCCCAAAUUUGCUGAAGAAAUAACGGUCUAGCUCUCAAUUCAACCAACAUUGAGCCAUCAUCAGAUAAAGUUAACAUCGUACCCAUAGCUCUCAAAGCAAAUAAAGAUUUUCUGCUCAAGGCAUCAGCAACCACAUUAGCUUUCCCGGGGUGAUAAUCAAUCACUAGCUCAUAGUCUUUGAUUAGCUCGAGCCAUCUUCGUUGCCGCAAAUUCAAGUCUUUUUGACUCAUCAAAUAUUUCAAACUCUUAUGAUCAGUGAAGAUUCGGCACUUUUCACCAUACAAAUAAUGACGCCAAAUUUUUAAAGCAAAAACAAUGGCAGCCAAUUCUAAAUCAUGCGUCGGAUAAUUCUUCUCAUGCGGUUUCAACUGUCUCGAAGCAUAAGCUAUUACUUUGCCCUCUUGCAUUAACACACACCCAAGGCCAUUCAACGAUGCAUCACUGUAAAUUACAAACUCCUUCCCGGACUCAGGUUGCACCAACACUGGCGCCUCAGUCAAUAAUGCCUUCAACUUUUCAAAACUCUGUUGACAUUUAUCGGUCCAUUCAAACUUGACAUUCUUCUGCAGUAACUUAGUCAUAGGAGAAGCAAUCAUCGAGAAUCCCUUGACAAACCGUCUGUAAUACCCAGCUAAGCCCAGGAAGCUUCUAACUUCAGUCACAUUCUUUGGUGGCUCCCAAUCAACAAUUGCUGAAAUUUUGCUUGGAUCAACCCGAAUACCUUCACUUGAAACUAUAUGUCCCAAGAAUCCAACCUCACGAAGCCAAAACUCACUUUUGCUGAAUUUAGCAUACAAUUUCUUUUCUCUCAGAAUCUGCAACCCAGUUCUCAAAUGUUCUGCAUGUUCCGAUUCAUCCCGAGAAUAGAUUAAAAUAUCAUCUAUGAACACCACCACGAACUUGUCUAAGUACAGCCGAAAAAUUCGGUUCAUCAAGUCCAUAAAAAUAGCUGGAGCAUUAGUCAACCCAAAAGGCAUUACCAGAAAUUCAUAGUGUCCAUACCUCGUUCUAAAGGCGGUUUUCGGUACAUCAGACUCUUUAACUCUCAACUGAUAGUAACCAGACCUCAGAUCGAUCUUGGAGAACACUGUUGCCCCUUUUAAUUGAUCAAACAAAUCAUCAAUUCUCGGCAAAGGAUACUUGUUCUUUAUGGUCACCUUAUUGAGCUGACGAUAGUCAAUACAAAGUCUCAUAGAGCCGUCCUUCUUUUUCACAAAUAACACAGGAGCACCCCAAGGAGAAAAACUCGGUCUCACAAAUCCUUUAUCUGUCAACUCUUGUAACUGAGCUUUUAAUUCCUUCAACUCAGUCGGAGCCAUUCGAUACGGUGCAAUAGAAAUCGGUGCAGUACCAGGUAACAGAUCAAUAGAAAACUCAACUUCUCUAAUCGGAGGUAACCCAGGCAAUUUCUCUGGAAAUACAUCUGGAAAUUCACAGACUACCGGCACUGAUUCAAGCUUUGACCCAGUUAUAUCAGUAUUCAACACAUAAGCAAGAUAAACUUCACAUCCCUUUCUCAAGUAUUUCUGAGCAGACAUGUGCGAAAUCACCAUAGGCAACUUAUUCGGCUCCUCUGUUUCAAUCCGGAGAAUUUCACCAUUUUCACACUUUAAUUCAAGAAUUUUCUGUCUACAAUUCACCUUGGCAUCAUGCAAUAUCAACCAAUCCAUCCCCAAAAUAACAUCGAACUCAUCAAAUGGUAACAACAUCAAAUUAGCCAGGAAACAGUGACCUUGAAUCAUCAGGGGGCAAUUCUUGCAAAUCUUAUCAACUAAGACAUACUUGCCUAAUGGAUUUGAUACUUUAACUACAUAUUCAGUGUUUUCAACAGGCAAUUUCUUACUAGAUACCAAUUUCAUGCAUACAUAUGAAUGAGUAGAGCCGGGAUCAAUCAAAGCAAUAACAUCUAUAUCAUGAAGAGAAAAUGUACCAGUAAUCACAUCGGGAGAUGAGGCAUCCUCUCGAGCACGUAUGGCAUAAGUCCUGGCAGGCGCUCUAAUUUCUGAUCCUCCAGCUGCAUCUUUCAUCACACUUUUACCACUGACUUUGCUUCCCACAUUUCUCGGCGGUCUCCCUCUACUAACAAUAUCACCCGAUCCAGCUCUUGGCAAAUUUUCUUCCUCUCUUCUCUCAGGGCAAUCUCUUACAUAAUGCUCUUGGGAACCACACCUGAAACAAGCUCGUUUAAAUCCCCAACACUCACCAAUAUGUCGCCUGCCACACUGUUGACAUUCAGGCCGGGUGUUUCCUACAUUGCCCACACUUGCUACAGAGGUAGCUCGAGUUGUAGCUCCAGAAUACGACCUCCCUCGGUCUCUGCGUGAAUACCCAACUGAACCAGUUGGUCGUGGAUCCAUCCCUUUAAACUUCUUCGAAUGAGAUUGAAAUGUUCUGCCCAUUGUCCUCUUCCUUACAUCUCGAGAUUCCAUCUCUGCCCUUCUCUUUUCUCUACUCAGUUCUUCAGCUUUACAGGCCCGAUCAACUAACACCACAAAUUCUUUUAACUCUAAAAUCCCAACAUGCAAUCUGAUGUCUUCAUUUAGCCCCUCUUCAAAUCUUUUACACAUAAUAGCCUCCGUAGGCACACAUUCCUGGGCAUAUUUACUAAGCCGAACAAACUCCCGUUCAUAUUCUGCUACGGACAUUCGGCCCUGUUUCAACCCGAGAAACUCUUUGCGUUUUUGAUCAAUAAAUCGUUGGCUUACAUAUUUCUUUCUAAAUUCUUCCUGAAAGAAGUCCCAAGUAACUCUUUCUUUUGGAACCACCGAUAUCAAUGUUUUCCACCAACGAUAUGCCGAAUCCUUCAAUAAAGACACAGCACAUUUCAAACAUUCUUCAGGGGUGCAAGAUAAUUCAUCAAAUACCCGAAUAGUAUUUUCAAGCCAAAACUCAGCUUUUUCCGGAUCAUCAUCAACAUUGGCCCUAAAAUCUUCAGCCCCAUGCUUUCGAAUUCUAUCAACAGGUGGCUUACUUGAUCUCACCAAUUCGGCACUCCGUGGAGCUACGGGGACCGGUUGAGGAAUAGGAGGGGGUGGAGGAGGAGGAACAUUCGGAUUUACACGGACAUAUUCUAUAUACCAAUCACUCAUCAUUCGGAGGAAGGCUUCCCUAGCCUCAUCCUGUCCAUGUGUCUCAUGUCUACUCUCUUCCUGCGCGGUCCCUUGCGCGAGAGCCGGCGCGUUACUUUCAACAUCAUCUGCCACACUUCGAUCAGGAUCCAUUUACUAUAUAAAACAAAAUUUUAAAUUGUCAGAAAUCAUCACACUAUCACAAUAAUUUUAUGGCAUGUAUAGACUGACUUCCACACGUAUUUUAUUGGUCCGAGAACCGACUAAACCGUAGCUCUGAUACCACUAAAAUGUAACACCCCUUACCCGUAUUCCUUACCGGAACAGAGUAUGAGGUAUUACUAAAUUUUAAAAAUUUUCGACAGCAUUCCUACUUAUUUUUGCUUAAACCUCCUGCAAAUUUAGAACACAUUCCAAUAUACCAACCAAUUUCAUUUGUAUAAACACACAUAUAGUUUAACUAUUAAUAAACACUACAUUUAAAAGGGAACCAUAACAUAUAUUUACAUGAUGAUCCCACAUUACAUAAAGUGUCUAUACAUGCCAUAAAAUUUCAGAACACUAGUAGUAAAAUACCCCAAAUGUGAAGGAUAGUGUAGAUGAUUGUCUGACUUCGUUCCAAUUUCCGAGUUGUUGGAAGUCACUAUAACCAAGAGAAAAAUAAAAUCGAGUAAGCAUAUAGCUUAGUAAGUAAACACAUGAUAAAUAAGUAAUUACUCCCAUAACUACACCAAAAUAUAAACUUAUUCAUGAAUAACUUUAUUGUUUAGGCAAUUUCCAGCAAGCUGUUUUUCUGCAUCAUAGUCGCUAAUUUAUUUUUAUCUAGAGCUACAGGGCUCCAAAUUGAGUUCCGUAAAUUUUCCCUGAAACUAGACUCAUAUACCAUUUCACCAUAAAAAAUUCAGAAUUUUUAACCCAGCCAAUUAGUACAGUUUAUUCAUUAAACCUUCCCCUGUUUCACUGCCCAACGGUUCUGACCCUUCCUCACUAAAAUUUACUUAACUCUCUGUAAAAAAAUUUUAAAAAUGGUUUUUCUUGUUUCUAAUAAAAAUAGACUCAAUAAGGAUUCCAGGGAUAUAAAUUUAAUACCAUAAUUAUUUUUUUACAAUUUUUGGUAAUUUUCCAAAGUUAGAACAGGGGAUCUCGAAAUCAAUCCAGCCCUGUUUCAGUAAAAUUCAGAUAUCUCCAAAAAUACAACUCUUUUGCUUAUUCUAUUUCUUUCAUAUGAAAACAGACACAUCCAGCUUCAAUUUCAUAUAUUAUUCAGCUUCCCAUUCAUUUUCCACCAUUUAUGGUGAUUUUUCAAAGUUACCCAACUGCUGUUGUUCAACACAGUUUAUAAUUAAAUCGUUCCUUUUGCAUUUUUGAUAUUUUCUCCCAUCUCAUACAUGGGUCGAUUUAGUAUUCAACUCAAUAUUUACCCCAUAAAAUUUUCCACCAUAUGGAAAUAUUCAUCUUCCACACUUUUUCGUUGAACACUCGGAAUGUUAGCCGUUAUUGGUGGAUCCCGCACUUAGCACCACCACUGAAUCGGGGAAUCAGCACUUAGCAACCCCUCGGGGGAAUCAGCACUUAGCAACCCCCUUUUCAUUUCAAAGAUACAAUGGAUAUCGCACUUAGCACCACCAAUGAACCGGGGAAUCAGCACUUAGCAACCCCUCGGGGGAAUCAGCACAUAGCAACCCCCUUUCACAUUUCAAAGAUAUGGUGGAUAUCGCACUUAGCACCACCAAUGAACCGGGGAAUCAGCAUUUAGCAACCCCUCGGGGGAAUCAGCACAUAGCAACCCCCUUUUCACAUUUCAAAGAUAUGGUGGAUCACGCACAUAGCACCACCAAUGAAUCGGGGAAUCAGCACACAGCAACCCCUUUAUAUACAACAUACUCCGGCUUAUUCCGAGUGUUCAACCCAUAAACCAUAUAUUGCAACCCUUUACCACCUUUCCCGAUUUAACAACAUUUUUAGGAUAUGGCCAAACAUUUAUUUUAAUUCCAAAUAAAUCUCAACAUAUAUCAAAUAAUAUCAAAAUAAUACAUUAAGUCACGUGUUUACUUACCUCGGUGCAAAAUAUCGUAAUUUUGCACUUUACUCCCCUAUCUUUUCUUUUCCCCGUUUGAUAUACUCUUCACGUCUUUCUUGAUCUAUAAUAGCAAAUUUAACUCGUUUAAUAUUCACAUUUAUUAAAAUAAUCCACCACCCAACUUUUUGAAAAUUACAAUUUUGCCCCCAAACUUUUGCAUAAUUACACUUUUGUCCCCAAGCUCGGAAAUUAAACUUCAUCACUUAUUCUUAAGUUUUAUAACAUGCUGAACAUUUUUCCCUUCUAUGGAAACAUCAAAUUCCCACUCCAACACAUACUUUUGAAUAUUAAUUAUUUUUACCGAUUAUGUCUAUUUACCCGUUUUCGCUUAAAAUUGCUUAGCAAAAGUUGUUUAACAUAAUCUCUAGCUUCAUAUUCCACCAUAAAACAGCAAAAUAAACACAUUUCACCUAUGGAUAUUUUUCCAAAUAUGAACCCUAACAUGAAUUAAUGGUAGAAUAAGCUAAACCAAGUUACCGGGACUCCAAAAAUACGAAGAACAUUAAAAACGGGGCUUAGAAUCACUUACUAUGGAGCUUGAAAGCUUAAAAACCCUAAAUAUGGCUUCCCCCUUGCUGAUUUCGUUCACCAUGAAGAAGAUGAGCAUAUUUUGCCAUCUUUUUCCCAUUUAAUUCUAUUUAAUAACCAAAUGACUAAAAUGCCCCCAUUUAAAAAAAAAUCUAUUUCACCCAUUUCUUAUGUCUAUUUUUGUCCAUCAACUAACUAAUGGUCUAAUUACCACAUAAAGACCUCCAAUUUAAAAUUUCAUAACAAUUAGACACCUCUAAGAUGUAGAACUCAACUUUUGCACUAUUUACAAUUUAGUCCUUUUGACUAAAUUGAGUGCCCAAACGUCAAAAUUUUCGAACGAAAUUUUUACGAAAAUUUUCCGUGAAAUUGUAGAUCAUAAAAAUAUAAUAAUAACCAUAUUUUCCCUCGUCGGAUUUGUGGUCCCGAAACCACUAUUCCGACUAGGCCCAGAAUCGGGCUGUUACAUCAGGGAGAUAAGAUCUGCCAUGAUAACUUCAAACCAUCUCACUGUGAUGCUAGGGAAAUAAGAUUCGCUGUCUUCAGCUUUAAUCUACUGUGACACCAGGGAAAUAAGAUUCGCUGCCUUCAGCUUUAAUCUGUUCCACUGCAACGCCAAGGAAAUAAGAUUCUCUACCUUUAACUUUAAUCUACUGCAACACCAAGGAAAUAAGAUUAGCUGCCUUCAACUUUAAUAUGUUCCACUGCAAUGCCAAGGAAAUAAGAUUCGCUGUCUUCAGCUUUAAUCUGUUCCACUGCAACGCCAAGGAAUUGAGAUUCAUUGCCUUCAGCUUUAAUCUACUGCGACGCAAGGGAAAUAAGAUUCGCUACCUUCAGCUUUAAUCUGUUCCACUGCAACGCCAAGGAAAUGAGAUUCGCUGCCUUUAGCUUUAAUCUACUGCGACGCGAGGGAAAUAAGAUUCGCUGCCUUCAGCUUUAAUCUGUUCCACUGCAACACUAAGGAAAUGAGAUUCGCUGCCUUCAGCUUUAAUCUACUGUGACGCUAGGGAAAUAAGAUUUGCUGCCUUCGGCUUUAAUCUACUGCGACGCUAGGGAAAUAAGAUUUGCUGCCUUCAGCUUUAAUCCGUUCCACCGCAAUGCCAAGGAAAUGAGAUUCGCUGCCUUCAGCUUUAAUCUACUGCGACGCCAGGGAAAUAAGAUUUGCUGCCUUCAGCUUUAAUCUGUUCCACUGCAACGCCAAGGAAAUGAGAUUCGCUGCCUUCAGCUUUAAUCUACUGCGACUCUAGGGAAAUAAGAUUUGCUACCUUCAGCUUUAAUCUACUGCGAUGCCAGGGGAAUAAAAUUUGCUACCUUUAGCUUUACAACCCUCGCUUGAGCUUCGAUUGCGACGAAGUGAAUAAAGAUCCAAUCGGCGCCGACACUAAGGUAAACCCUUUCCCUUUUUUGUGUUUCUUUUCUGAAACAGUAAGCAACCAUCAACGAAAAAAAACUAAGGAAAAUAGCAAAGAAAUUAAAUGAAAAAAAGAAAUUUAGAUCACUUUCAAAAAUUGUGAUUGAUUUUUUACUGCUUUUUUUAAUUUCCUCCCCCUUUUUUACAGAUUAUUCGGCCUUAUAUAGCUGAUAAAAACAAAAAAUAAAAUUACAAGAAAGAAAAAUCUCAUUUUCUGUUAUUCUCCUUUUUCAUUUGCUAGAUCUUUUUUUGUUAUUGCCUUUCCUUGCUGUCCUUGUUGGUUUCGUUUGUUUUGCAGGUACAGCCAGCUAGAGGAGCGUGGAGGCGUUGCGCGCAUGGGGAACGACGACGGCUGUUGGUCUCUGCUAGGGUUUUCUGGUCUUUCUUUUGCUAUUGGUUUUGGGCUAGUUGUAAUUGGGCUAGGGGUUUUGGGCUGCUGUUUGAUCUUGGGUUAAUUGGGUCAUUGUAACUCUGGACUGUUAUUGGACAAUUAUUAAUUUUUAUAUUUGGUUUCUUUUUUAAUUUAGUUAAUAUUGGGCCAGGCCAAAAUUGGCCUAUUACAAUGUGCUUACAUUAUUAAAUAUGUAAUAUUUGGAGUUUUAUUUGUUUAUCAUUUAUAAAGUGUAAUUUAAUAAUAAUUAAAUGGCUAUUUUAUAACUUUUUAUAAUUUACAGACUAAAAAGUUGUAAUUUUGUAAACUCUAUAAUAGUUUAUCCAUAAUAUAUUCACUUGUUGCCGACCAAAUCGUGAUGGCCGACUACAGUCCCAAACAUUAAAAAUGAUGAACUAUAAAAUAUGAGUACCUUUGUUUGUCCUAUAAAUUAUAUAUCAUGGUCACAUUUCUUUUUCUUUUUUUGAAAAUGCGUUGUAACAUGUGCGGUAUAUUAUCCUUUUUUAGGAAAUAUGCAGUAUAUUAUUAUAUAUAUGUAAUAGUCAGAGUUUCAUUUGUUUUUUCUAUUUAUAAGGUGUAAUUUAUAUAAUAUGUUAAAUAAAAAUGUAUACUAAUGUGAGUUCCUGUAGAGGGAUAAAGGUGACAGGAAGUUGUAUCGCUACCUUGCUUGAAAAGAAUGUCGUCUUCACUUGCCAGGGUUUUGAUGACGCCUUUUAUUGCUUUUGAGUUUGGAUAUCAGGUCUGUGGAAUCUCACUUACAUUUUAUAAGUUGAGAGAUUGUUUCAUGAAUUAUAGAUAGUUGAGGUGAAUUCUUGAUGUAUGUAUUGAUUGCAUUUUGUUGCUUUGAUUCACCCUUAAUUUACUUAUAUGUUAUUUAUCUGAGUUGGUUUGAAAGAAGCACAAAAUUCAAGGAAGCAGCCAGCGAUGAUGUCUUAAUAUUUUGAUCAAAUUCCAGAAUUUAUGUCUUCUAAAGCAACUGGAUAAACAGUUUUAUUAAACAUUGCAAUUCAUUCCAUCAUAUAUAUAAAACCAGAGAUGGUUCACAAACAAAUUAUCAGAGCAUGAUAAACAAUAUCUAAUCAACAAGCGCAUGGACUUUAAACAUCACAAGUUUUAGUUUUGCCUCCAAUAUGCAUUUCACGGUUCAUGAGUUGUAACAAAGAGAUCAUCCGAAGAGGAAUUCCCAAGGAUGUAUGGCGAGAAAGGAACUCUUCACACACUUCCUUCAUUGUUGGUCGGGACUUCGUUUGUGGAUUUAAGCAAGCGAAUGCCAGUGUAGCAACAUGAACAAGAUUUUGUGUAACUAGUUGGCUUGUUGGAAGUGGUAAACGGUUGUCUAACACAUCAACCAGCUUCAUGUUCACCAAAGAAGUUGGUGAUGACAACCAUGAUAACACUUCUUCAGGAUGCUUUCCCAUUAAUGUUUCCAGUGCUACCACUCCAAAACUAUAAACAUCGCAUUUUUCGGUGACAAUCAUUGUAUAAGCAAGUUCUACAUACACAAAUUAGUAAGAAGAAAUUCAAUUAUAUGUUCAGAGAAAAGUUCAGUAAAUCAAGUAAAAAAGAAAACGCCACCUGGAGCUACGUAGCCACAAGUUCCGACAAUAAUGGUCUGAUUGGAUGAAUCAAGAUCCAACAUUCUAGCUGUUCCAAAGUCGGCCACAAAUGCCUCAAAACUUGAGUUUAAAAGAACAUUGUUACUUGAUGUCUCGAUGAACUAUCGGAGGGCAGCAAUCAUGGUGCAAGUAAGACAAAGCAUGUGCUAUGCCUUUGAUGAUCUCUACUCUUCUCGUCCAAUCCAUUUCCACAGCAUUCACUUCAUCCCUUAGGUUGCAGAACAAACUCCCUUUUUCCAUGUAUUCAUAGAUCAAAAACAUGGAUCGUCGGUGUAGACAAAACCCAUGAAGCUUCACUAUGUUUCGAUGUCGUAUUUCUGAUAGAAACUUGAUCUCGUUCCUGAAACUCUUGUCAAAAGUUGGAUUUUCGGCUUCUAAAUGAUGAAGUUUCUUCAAAGCAACUACUUUACCACAAGGGAGUUUUGCUUUGUAAACACUACCAUAACCACCAACUCCAAUACAGUAUCGGAAGUCGAAAUCCUCUGUUGCUGCAACGAUAUCCUCGUAUGCUAUCUUUCCAUCAUAGUUCCAUAAGGAACACAAAUCCCCAUUCUUGGUUGGUUGUACGCUGACAUGGUUAUUCUUGAGCUUAAACCGUGAAAAUAGCAAACAUCCUAAAAUGGAGAAUGUGAAUAAGAUCGCAAUAGGGAGGAAUAUUUUGAUAUAGUAAGGAAUUCUGCUGCUGUUGGCUUUUUUGGUUACUGGAGUAGGACACAUAUAGGGUGAUAAAUCACUAUUGCCUUCAAAUGGAUCGGGAGAAAUCUUGUUACAACCAUUUCCAGCGUCGACAAUGUAGAGAUCAGUAGCAUACAAGAUAGGGAUAGGACCUGAGAGUUGGUUGAAGCUAAGGUUUAGAUAUGAUAGAUCAAAAAGCUUGCCAAUAUCUUUUGGGAUAGAACCUUUUAAUAGAUUAGAAUCAAGGCUUAAGUGCCGCAUCUUUGAUAAACUACCAACACAAGAAGGGAUGGAACCACUCAAUUUGUUUUGGGAGAGGUACAAUGAAGUCAAAUUUGCUAGAUUACAAAUUUCUUGGGGAAUAGGACCUUUUAAUAGAUUAGAACCAAGGCUUAAGUACAGCAUCUUUGAUAAACUACCAAUACAAGAAGGGAUUGAACCAGUCAAUUUGCUUUCGGAGAGGUACUGAUACGAGUCACAAAAGCCCAAAUUCUUGAGGGCAAGGCCCAAUAAGAAGAUUCCAAGCCCAAUCAAGAAAUCCACCCAUACUUAGUUGAAAAUCAGGCCAAAUUGUCAAAGUGGCCCAAGUUGUAAAGUUUUAUUUUUAUUUAUUUAUUUAUUUUACUUAGUUUAAAUGUUUAUCCAAGAGUCCCAAAUAAAAGACCCUUGGCCGAAUUUCCAUAUUAAAAUAAUUAGGAGUUUUUUUUUUUAGUUUUAGUUUUAGUGUUCUAAUUAAAUUAGGAAAACAUUUGAAAGGCCUAUUUAUAUGGCUUGGCCAACCACCCUACAUUACAAUACAAUUACAUUGAAAAUUUCAGAUUUAAUUUGAGUGAAAAUUCUCUUUGAGUUCUUCAAGGAUUUUCUCUUGAGUUUUCUUUAGAAGUUGUUUUAACAAUCUUUUUGAUUGUGGGAGCCAUCUUCAACCUUCUUCUUGCCAUUGAUAUUCUUUGGAGGGGAGAUUAGAGCCGUUUGAAGGGAGUUGUGAGAUCUUUCGAGAUUUCAAGGCUUCUUAGGACUUAUCUUUUAAUUUCUUACUGUCAAUUCUUUCUUUAUUUCUACUUGUGCUGAAUCAUUAUCUAAUCUAUUUUCUGUUCUUAUUGUGUUUUCAGCCUUUUUCUAUCUUAAGGAAUCAGCCCAAAAAUCCCCAAUUUCUAGGGUUUUUCCAUACUCUUUUUGGGUGAAAUUAGAUUGUCGAAAUUUGGGGAAAACUAUCUUGGUGUUCAAUUGGGCAGAAUCACAAUCUCCUUGAGGGUUUCAAGAACCCUAACACUUAUUUCUAUUCUCAAUUUGAUUCUUUGCUGAUUUGGGGAUUUUAUUUCAGAUCUGAAAAUUCAAAAAUCUAAUCUUUUAAUUUUCUGUUUCGUUUCAGAUCUAAUUGUUUAGGGUUUUCGUAGGAGUCUCUCGUGACUUGGCAACUCGAUCUUGGUCCGCGCGCAACCCCGUAUCAUUUGGUAUCAGAUUUUGGGCGUUUUGAGUGUUCUUGGUUGAUUUCUAAACUGAUCUUUAUUUUUUAAAGCAUAAACAGCAGUUUUACCCAGAAAAAAUUGUUCAAAAAAAAAUUCAUUUGAGUGGGUAAACGUUGUCCUAUUGAUCUGAAAUUUUACAUACAUGUUUUUGGCACUGUGAUUGAAUAUAAAAAAAUUAUUCCCGCAAAAAAAUCAGUCAAAAAAGUUAAAAAAAUCAAAAAAUACGAAAUUCAAUAAAAAUUUAAAAAAAGAUUCAGCGGGUUGAAUUUGGUGCCCAAAAUUUCCAGAUCGAAAAUUCAAUAUAUAAGGACACUCCAGAUUUAAUUUCGUGAUUUUUGGAGAUCGGGAACACCUCGAACGAAGUUGUCAAGUUACUCCGCAGUUUUUCGGGUUUUCUGUUUUCAGCAAUUUUUAUUGAUUCUUAGCUGUAGGUUUUCAUUUGUUUGCUUUUUAUUCUCCUUUUACAAUAUCUAACACCUUCUUGUUUCUUGUGUUAGUAGGAUUUAAACGUGUGCACAAUCCUUCCUCGGUGCAACACGAAUCACUUGGUGUCUCGUCAGUUUUUGGCAUCCUAGUGCAAAUUAGGAUUCUUUGGUAGUUUGGUUCACACUCUCUAAUUGGUUGAUAUAAACUCUGAUAAAGAACUCACAAGAUUGAAUUCGACCUCAUUGAGAAUUUAAUUUUUCUUUUUGAGUGAUUAAUGGUGAGGUUUGCUAACUUUUAUUUUUGAGUGUUGAGUGUUUAUUUUUUACAGUUUUGAAGAUGUCUAAAGGUGAUAAUAAUGAUGCACUUAUGAAAGUCCAACAACAGUUAGACGGACAUACUGCUGCAAUCACACAAAUAAAUGCUACACUUCAAGCAUUGAAUACUACUUUGAAUGAGGUACGAGUGAAUCAAAAACAUCAAUAUCGAGAUCCAAUUAAGGAAGAUAGGGAUAACCAGCCCCAUAGGUGCAGCCCUCAACGUGUCCCUAGAAUGGAUGAUGAUUUUCAUGAUCGUGGACAAUCAUCUUUGGCAAAACCAAAGAGCAAGCAGCAACGAGAACAUCUCUUUCAUACUCGCUGCCAUGUACAAGGUAAGCUUUGUAGAGUUAUUAUUGAUUGUGAAAGUUGCUCAAACAUAGCCAGCACGACGAUGGUGGAAAAGCUUUGCUUAACCACUACCAAGCAUCCACAACCUUAUCAACUACAAGGGCUUAGCAACGAAGGCCAAUUUAGGGUCACUCAACAAGUGCGCAUCGCCUUUUCUAUCGGUAAGUAUCAAGACGAAGUUGUGUGCGACGUAAUGCCUAUUCAAGCCUGCCAUUUAUUGCUAGGAGAACCAUGGCAACUGGAUCGAAAAGUCACUCACGAUGGUCGUACCAAUAGGUAUUCUUUCAAGCAUCAAGGAAAGAAACUCACCUUAGUGCCGCUCACUUCGGAACAAGUCCAUGAGGACCAAAUCAAACUGAAAAAUUCUGUUAAAACAAGUGAGGAAAAAGAAAAAGAGAAUGAAAAAGAGCAAAAAGAGAUUGAGAGUGAAAAAGAAAUUGAAGAAAGAAGAGAAAAUGAAUUAGAAAAAGAAACAAAAGAAAAAGACGUGGAAAGGGUAGUGAGGAAUGUUUCCACUAACCAAGAUAUGAAUUUUUCUUGUGUUGCUACUUUUCAGGUUCCCGAAAGAUCGAAAGAUAACUUUCAACUUCAAUACCUCUCAAAUGAAAGACGCUUUCAUACGAUCAACUUAGGCAAAGAUGAAAUCACACUACAUGAUCCCGAAGGUAAGCGAGGUAAGGAAAUUUUAGAAACCGAGUCCAGUGCAGAUUUGAAAAUUAUUGAUAAAACUUUUGGUGACUUAGUUCUUAAAAGAUCCCCUCAUUUUGAUCCGAUUAAUUGUUACUCUUCGAUUGUGGUUGAUAAAGUCAUUACGAAAAGAAGCGUGAUUUGUUAUUCUCUUAAUUUACCUUGUGUAAAAUCCUUGAAUUUGUCCAAAUCUGUUUUGGAGAAUAAAGUAACGAAAUUUUCCAAAUUUGUUUUCAAUUUAUAUUCGUGCCUUAAACAGUUUAUGUGGUUGUACAUGAAGUUUGAGUUCCAUUUGACAAAGGUUAACUCAACAACGGAGAUUCGACUACACUAUGCCCCCGAUGAGCGAAGGUUUGUUUUAAAUGAAAAAGGUAAAAUCGACCCUUAUUCUUCUGCUUAUCGAGGUAAGAUGCUUGAAACCUUUGAAACACUUUUGUACUCCUCGGAUAGUGAUAAAGAUCGUGUUGAUGAACACUUAGAUCGAAACGUGCUUGACUGUCCUAUUUUAUUUAUUGAUGAUCUAUCUGUUUUGAUGGUUGAUAAAAAGAUUCUUGUUUUUGAUAAUGCAUGUGUGAGUGAAUCUAUAGACCGUCGAUUAAUGCAUGGUAUGAUUAUGCAACUCUGUGAACCAUGUGAAUCUUUUCAAAUACCUACUUGUGACGAUUAUGUUUACCAUUUGAUUUAUUACUCGCAAUUUAUUCAUGGUUUGUGGGAACAAUGUGAGACCACUGAAUGCCUUAAAACAUGUCCAUCUUUGUUUCAAAUAUUUGACGAGGCAGUGGUGAGUAAAUUAGAUUGUUUGCAUGGUAAUCUGAAUCUGUCCAUUCACAUGCGUUAUACCUGUUCUAUUAUGCUUAUGAUUGGACUACAAGCUUAUUUCCGUUGCUAUUUACUAUCUCAUGGCUAUUCUUCUCAGUGGACUCAAUUGCCAUUAGUCCCGUUCGAUAGAGGAAAGUCGAGUUCAUUUGAUUUUUCAGAUUCGAGGACGAAUCUUUUUGAGGAAGGGGGGAAUGAUACGAGUCACAAAAGCCCAAAUUCUUGAGGGCAAGGCCCAAUAAGAAGAUUCCAAGCCCAAUCAAGAAAUCCACCCAUACUUAGUUGAAAAUCAGGCCAAAUUGUCAAAGUGGCCCAAGUUGUAAAGUUUUAUUUUUAUUUAUUUAUUUAUUUUACUUAGUUUAAAUGUUUAUCCAAGAGUCCCAAAUAAAAGACCCUUGGCCGAAUUUCCAUAUUAAAAUAAUUAGGAGUUUUUUUUUUUAGUUUUAGUUUUAGUGUUCUAAUUAAAUUAGGAAAACAUUUGAAAGGCCUAUUUAUAUGGCUUGGCCAACCACCCUACAUUACAAUACAAUUACAUUGAAAAUUUCAGAUUUAAUUUGAGUGAAAAUUCUCUUUGAGUUCUUCAAGGAUUUUCUCUUGAGUUUUCUUUAGAAGUUGUUUUAACAAUCUUUUUGAUUGUGGGAGCCAUCUUCAACCUUCUUCUUGCCAUUGAUAUUCUUUGGAGGGGAGAUUAGAGCCGUUUGAAGGGAGUUGUGAGAUCUUUCGAGAUUUCAAGGCUUCUUAGGACUUAUCUUUUAAUUUCUUACUGUCAAUUCUUUCUUUAUUUCUACUUGUGCUGAAUCAUUAUCUAAUCUAUUUUCUGUUCUUAUUGUGUUUUCAGCCUUUUUCUAUCUUAAGGAAUCAGCCCAAAAAUCCCCAAUUUCUAGGGUUUUUCCAUACUCUUUUUGGGUGAAAUUAGAUUGUCGAAAUUUGGGGAAAACUAUCUUGGUGUUCAAUUGGGCAGAAUCACAAUCUCCUUGAGGGUUUCAAGAACCCUAACACUUAUUUCUAUUCUCAAUUUGAUUCUUUGCUGAUUUGGGGAUUUUAUUUCAGAUCUGAAAAUUCAAAAAUCUAAUCUUUUAAUUUUCUGUUUCGUUUCAGAUCUAAUUGUUUAGGGUUUUCGUAGGAGUUUCUCGUGACUUGGCAACUCGAUCUUGGUCCGCGCGCAACCCCGUAUCAGGUACAAUAAAGUUAAAUUUGCUAGAUUACAAAUUUCUUGGGGAAUAGGACCUUUUAAUAGAUUAGAACCAAGGGCUAAGUCGUGCAUCUUUGAUAAACUACCAACACAAGAAGGGAUUGAACCAGUCAAUUUGUUUUGGGAGAGGUACAAUGAAGUUAAAUUUGCUAGAUUACAAAUUUCUUGGGGAAUAGAACCUUGAAGUUGGUUAUUAUCAAGGUACAAAAUUUCCAAAUUGGUUAAUUGGUACAGAGUAAUGGGUAUUGAAUCGACAAGUCUAUUGUUGUAGAGACCCAAAAAAGUCAGAUUUCUUAAAUAUCCAAUUUCUAAUGGGAUAGAUCCAUUGAUUUGGUUCCCCGAAAGGCUCAGAGAUUGGAGACUGGUUAAUUGACCCAAAGCAGAAGGGAUUGGACCAACAAUUCCACAUUGACUUAAGUUUAAAGUCACAAGGUUCUCUAGAUUCCCCAGUUGUGGAGGGAUGGAACCAUUAAUAUUAUCAUUAUAGGAAAUGUCGAGGAAUUCUAAUUGGGUCAGCUUCCCUAGAGAAGGAGGUAACUCACCAGAUAAACCACAACUGGACAAGUCAAGGUACUUCAAUGCUGAUAGAUCACCUAUCUGAUGCGGGAUUUUUCCUCUAAUUUGAUGGUCACUAAGAUCAAGAAGGACAAGAUUUGGAAAUGAAGAGAAAUUCAGUUUCCCAAAUCUAUCUCCAACCUCAAUGUUGGGCGCAUCAGAUAAGUUAAUUUUGGUGAUGCUUUCAGCAGUGUUGCAGGUUAUACCAGGCCACUGGCAACGUUGUGAAGUAUUGCUGCUAUGGUUACUCCACCACCUGCUUUCUAGCAGAGCUAUGGCUUCGGACUCCAAUGGCGAUGGAUAUGCUGCUGUUACAGUUGUAGCAAAGGAAAGAAGGAUGGCAGCCCACAGUACCCCUAGAAUAACAGAAAUGGUUAGGGAUGAGGCCAUUGUUUAAUCUGGUAAGUAUUUAGUGGUAGCAUAUAUGUUAUGGUUUCCAAACGAUGAAUUUAAAGGAACUCAUCAAAGGAUUCAAGCUCUUGUUGCAAUAGUUGUAGGGGCAAGUUAUCGUCAUUGUUUUAGUCCUUGUCAUGGAACUUAAUUCAUCAUGCGCAAUGCUUUCUUCUUCAUGGAAUUUCUAUGUUAGCAUCAAUAAUGCAAAUACUAUAUUUAGGAUUGAAUCUUUGCUCUUCCUAUGGUCCAUAUUUCUUGAUAAUGAUACCUCCUGAUUUGAAUUUUCAUCAAAAGUAUAUGGUCGACGCAUGUUUCCAGAUAUAUUAAUUUCUCACGGAAAAUUCAUACAUAAUUUAACUUUUUAAAAAAUAUUUUUUAUAUAAAUUUAAGUUAAAAAAUUUAUAUUAUAAACAUAAAUACGCAUACGUGUUUAGGAUGAUUAUGAAUAAAAAUUUCUAAAAUCAUAUUAUAAGUUCUAAAAAUUUAUAUUAUAUAUUUUUUAAUAUUUUAUAAAGUUACGACAAGAAUUAUAUUAUUUAAAUCCUAAAAAGUUUCUAAAGUUAUAGGCAAAAGUAUAUUAUAAAAAUAAUUUAUGUUUUAUAAAAAGUGUUACUACAUACUUACUUAUAAAAAAAUUAUGGUCAAAAAAUUUAAAUAUAACUUACUUAUGUGUCUAUACUAUAUGUUAUAGAAAAUAAUAUAUUUAUUUAUAAAACAAUUAUAAUUUUUUGCCAUGACUUAUUUAAAAAAAAAUUAAGAUAAAAAAAUAUAUUAUUUAUAAGAAGUGUUUUGGAAGUUAUUGGACACUUUAUAAUUUUUUUUAUAAUUGUUAUAUAUUAUAAAUUUUAUACUAUUUUUAACCUAAUUCAUGAAUUAUAAAAAUGGUUAUAAUAUUCUAAAAAACUUUAAGUUGUAGUCUAUUGGUCGAGUAUUCAUCUUUCCAAGGAAUAGCUUAGGUUCAAAUCUCAUUGUUCAAAAAAAAUAUAUAUAUAUUUGUUAUAACCUAAAAUAAAUCAUUUUUCUUAUAAUUUUUAUUAGUAAUCAUAUUAUCGAUUAGUUUCUUGGGCUAACAUAUUAAAUAUGAUGAUUUUAUUUUAAUUUUUGUUACUUGUUUAGAAAUUUUUUAAUUUUACUGAUAAUUUAUUAUAGUAAUUAAUAUUUUAAAAAAAUAUAUUAAGUAACUAUGUAAUUAUAAAUUAUAAUUUACAAUUUGUACUAUGAAAUAUGAUAUAGGAAAUUACGAUGUAAUUACACACUGUCACCAAACAUGUCUAGAAAAUCAUAAUUCUUACUACUUAAUAAUUACACUUUUAUUAUGUGUUGUCAAAACAAAUUUUUGCAAUUGCUAGGGAAAAAGAAGAAGCUUAAUUAGAAUCCAAAGCUGCAUGAUUUUGAAAAUAUUUCCUUUCUCAUUGAAUCAAAAGUUUCAUGCAAAAAAACAUUGGAAAUUCAUGAUACGUAAAACUGGAACACCCCGUGUAGAUCCCAUGACAACGACGAUUCCAUCUUUAAUUUGGUUUAACAAUUUAAAGAUGUCGAUUUAGUUGUGGCCCAAAGCCUUUUUCUAUCAUUUUGUGGAUAUACUUUUCCAUUAAGUGCCUAAUUUUCCACAAAUAAUAAUGACUCAAGGGAAUUUUUAGUUCAGUCGUGAUGGAAUUUAUUUUCCAAAGAAUUGGGCUUUUAACGUGGUAUUUACUUUAUAUAUCGUCUUCAGUUUUUAUAUAAGAAAUUUCUCACCCAUUAAGACUCAAAAAGUCGAGACUUCAGACAAAUUAAUGGUGUUUUCUUUAUUGACAGAUUUUGAUGAAGUUAUAUCUAUGUUUAUAUAAUAUAUUUUAUUGAAUUAGUGUUACGAGUUAAUUUGAUAUCAAUUCAGUCGAAAAAAUUAUUUAAAAAUCAAUUUUUUAAUAAAGUAAUGAAUAUUAAUAUAAGGUUAAAGGGUUAAAAACACCUUAGUAAAAAGUUAAAAAAUCAACUAAGUUCAUAAUAGAAAAAUGGACCCAGUUGAGUAUUCAAUGAGAAAAAAAAUAAAUUGGCUCCUUUCGUUAACGAAAACGGUUGUUGACUAAUUUUAUCAAUAUUGGUUGUUGAUGUGGUUGGCGGAAGCUAUGACAAGUUGACAUGUGACAUACCAUGUGGAAGUAUGUUGAUGUUGCUUGUCAAGUUAUUAGAAUAUUUUUAAAAAUGUAAAAGUUAUAAAAAAAUAUAAAAUUUAUUACAAAUAUAAAAAAUAAAAUAUGAAUGAUUUUUAAAAUGUUCCUAAAAAAAUUAUAAAAUAUAACUUGACCUGCUAUGAGAGUUCUGUCGAAACCGUUUUUUGAAAACAAAAAUUUUGGUUGUCGACUUUAAAAACUAAAAUUGGAGUCGCCACCGAUCCUUUAUUAAGGUGUGAUCGGCUCACCUUAAAAUGAUUUUGGUCUACGAAAUUUGAGAGAAUGAGUCCGGGAGUCAGUUACGCACGAGGAAGGAUUAGCACCCUCGCAACGCCCAAAAUCGGUACCAAAUUGAUUCUUUAAUGCCUCGGUGUCGAAAAUUUGAAAAGAUUUUAAAAGGAGACUCUUUAUUUCAUGAAUGAAUCAAAAUAAUAAGACAUUCUUAUUUCAAAAAAUUAAAACACCACACCCAGUGAGUUAGGGCACAAUAUUUUUAAAUCUUCAAAAUACCCGAAUAUUGCCUUUUGCUUUUGAAAAUUCUUAUUUCGAGAAGUCAAAAUAUUAGGACCAGUAAGUUAGGACCCAACAUUUUUGAACUCCCGAGAAUAAGCUUUUAUUUGAAAUUUGUGGAUUUAUUGCAAAACAAAUACUUGGCUUUCUAAAUCCAUCGAAAAAUAAUCGCAAUCCAGUAAGUUAGGACACGAUCUUUCUCGAGAAUCAUGAAUGCCAAAUAUUUUGAAAAUUUAUAAAAUAUGAUGAUUUUAAUGCUUUGACAAAAGCAAAAUAUAUUUCUCAAAAGGUAUGCUAAAAGUUAAUGUAUAAUAUGAAACAAAAACUUUAAUCUAAAACAUAUAUGAAUAAAUAUUUACAAAUAUAUAUUUAUAUACAAGUACAAUAUACAAGUAAAUUUGUAAAUAUAUGUACGCAUACAUUUGACACACCUAUACAAGAAUACAGAAAGAUGGGAUGGAAUAUAUAUAUCAAUCAGAAAAUAAUAAAAAAUACAUGUAUGUAUUUAAAAAUCGUGAAAGUAAAAAAAAUAAAAAAAAUGUAUAUGUGUAUAUAUUUACAAAAUAAAAUAUAUAAGUAUAUAUAUAAUAUAAAGUAUAUAAAAAUAAGAAAAUAAAAUAAAAUGUAUAAGUAUAUAUAUAAUAUAAAGUAUAUAAAAAUAAGAAAGUAAAAUAAGGAUAUAAGGAAAAACGUAUGUAUAAAUAUAUGCACGUAUAUAUUAUAUAAAAAAUGCGUAUGUGUAUAUAUUUUACGAAAAACAUUUUUUGAAAAUGAAAUUCACAAAAUAUAUAUGUUUUGUAAAAAAUAUGAAAGAAAAAAUAAUAGAAAAUUAUAUAUAUAUAGAAUGCGCAUGUAUAAAAAACCAAUAUAUGUAUACUAUAAAAUAAUAUAAGGAUAUAAAAAAAAGUGCGAAUUGAAUGAAUAUAUUAAUAACGUGGUAAUAAGAGUAAUAAUGAUAAAAAAAUGAAAUGGAUUAAUAAAAACAAAAAGGAUCAUAUUGUAAUCGAGAUAGAAUUAGCGGGUACGAAUGGGAUUAAAAGUAAAAUGGGGACGAGAAUGCAACAAGAGAAUGACAUGGGGGACCAGUUUAGCAAUAAUCCGCUCUCCAAAACGCUGCGCAUUGACACUGGCUAAAAUGAACAGAAACAGAAACAUUUGGGCUAAAUUUAAAAAAAAUAAAAAUUGGCUUAAUAAAAACAUGGCGCAAAAGAGGGAGGACUGAUCGCGCAAAUUUCCCUUCUGACGUCAGAACUCGCGAAUCCUCCCCUCCGGGUCGGGUCACCGCGCUGGUCGCACCUGGCUAAAACGGCGCCGUUUUGUCUUCAAUAUAAAAACUAAAAUUUCUUUCAAAAAAGACCAAUUCUGUUUCAUUUUUCCUUUUUUAAAAACAACAGAGGGAAAAGGGGGGAAAGGUUGCUCUGCUAGGUUUUUCUUAACCUAGCUUCGCGCCGCCACUCGGCUUACACCUCCACGCCCCCGAUUUCGCCAGAGAAGACACCGGCCUGACGACUCCUGUGACCAGGUAAGUCUCUCCCCCUUUCUUUAUACUUUAAAUGAAAAAUAAAUAAAGAUAAAAAAAAUAAAACAAAAAAAGAAUAGACAAAAAUAAAAAAACUCGCCUUCAAAAAUAUCUUUGUCUCAGUAUAUUUUUCUCUCUAUCUUUGUCUCCUUUACACUCUAUCCCCCCUUUUACACUGAAAUUAUUGGCCUUUUAUAGCCGAAAAUGGAAAAGAAAAAAUAAAUCCAAAAAACAAAAUCUAUUCGAUUGUUUGUUGGCCCGAUUUUUGCUCUUCUCUUUCGCUUGUUGCAGGUACGUGCUUGAGGAGCGGCAUUUGCGGAGGUGUGGCAUGCGUAGAGGAGCGGCAUGCGUGGAGGAGGCUAGCUCCGAAUCUUGCGACGGCUGGAGAUGCUGCUAACUGCUAAAGGUUCUUAGGGUUUAGUUUUGGGCUGGUUCGGUUAUUGUUUGGGCCUGCUUAUUUGCUUGGGUCUGGGCAUUAUUGGGCUUGUACAGCUGCCCCUCUUUGCUCAUUGUCGUGUAACGGGAAUAGAGCAAAGACUAAAAGCCUAAUUGUGCUCAGUCUUACUGAGCCUCGCCUUCUUCAGUGCUUUUCUUCUUCAAGUAACCACAUUCCCUCCUACUGCAUCUUCAGAGGUAUAGGAACUGGUGCUUCGAUCUACCCCAUUGCAAUAUCGGGGAGAUAGGAUUCAUAUGUUCUAGCUUCUCGAAAGAACAAAAUUUGCUAUCUUUAAUCUGCUCCACUGCAACUUCAGGGAGAUAAGACUUAUAGCUUCAACUUGUUCUGCUACAACCAAAAGAUAAAUCUUAAUGCGAUCUGCUCUACUGCAACUUCAGAGAGAUGAGAUCUGCGAUUUUAAUCCACUCCAUUGCAACUUCAAGGAGAUAGGAUUAUUUUCUUCUGUCUACUCCACUGCAACUUCAGGGAGAUAAGACUUGUAUCUUCGAUCUAUUUCGCCAAUAUAUGGGAAGACAAGAUCUACUUUCUUUGAUCUACUUCACGCCAGUACAUGAAGACAAGAUCUGCUUUCUUCGAUCUACUUCGCCACCAGUAUGGGAAGACAAGAUCUAGUAUCUUUGAUCUACUUCACGCCAGUACAUGAAGACAAGAUCUGCUUUCUUUGAUCUAUUUCGCCACCAGUAUGGGAAGACAAGAUCUGGCAUCUUUGAUCUACUUCACGCCAGUACAUGAAGAUAAGAUCUACUUUUUUUCGAUCUACUUUGCCACCAGUGUGGGAAGACAAGAUCUAGUAUAUUUGAUCUACUUCACGCCAGUACAUGAAGACAAGAUUUGCUUUCUUCGAUCUACUUCGCCACUAGUAUGGGAAGACAAGAUCUGAUAUAUUUGAUCUACUUCACGCCAGUACAUGAAGACAAGAUCUGCUUUCUUUGAUCUACUUCGCCACCAGUAUGGGAAGACAAGAUCUGGUAUCUUUGAUUUACUUCACGCCAGUACAUGAAGACAAUAUCUGCUUUCUUCGAUCUACUUCGCCACCAGUAUGAGAAGACAAGAUCUGAUAUAUUUGAUCUACUUCACGCCAGUACAUGAAGACAAGAUCUGCUUUCUUCGAUCUACUUUGCCACCAGUAUGGGAAGACAAGAUCUGGUAUCUUUGAUCUACUUCACGCCAGUACAUGAAGACAAUAUCUGCUUUCUUCGAUCUACUCCGCCACCAGUAUGGGAAGACAAGAUCUACUAUCUUUGAUCUACUUCACUACCAAUAUAGGAAGACAGGAUUUGCUACUUUUCAACCUGCUCCGCUGUUGCUCAGGGAGAUAAGGCUUUAUGAUUUCUUUGAUCUAUUCUUUAGGGAACAUGACCUGUAUAAUUCACUUUAUGAAUCUAAUUAUGCCUAAUGAAUAGGAUGUCAUGAACAGAAUGAACCAAAUGCUCCUAACUAGACAUGUAUGAAUGUCAUUUGAAUGAAUGUAGAAUGUCAUUUAAAUGAUAUUUUAACGCUUGAGUUAUUAUUACUCCAAGUUUAUUAAGGUUUCAUCACUAAUGUGUUAUAACACCUUCUUGCUCAGCUGGCGUCUCCAAAGAAACACUUAGUCAGAUUGCCCCACUGUAACCUUCAAAGUUUAAUCCACUGGGAUGCAAAAUUUGUACCAUCUUUCUCCCGUUGUAACCCAAGAGUAAAGAUUUGACCUUUUCUCAAUCAUCUGCUAUCACAACACAGGGUGUAAAGCUCUUUGGUCUCUUACACCAUUCCCAGGGUGUUACACCAAAUGCUCAUGCACAAAUGAAGAAUUUUCUUAUCCAAGAACAACUUCUUUUCAUUAUUCGGUGAUCAUUGCUUGCUUGUUCAUUGAAGCUUUGUCACCAACACGACAUCUUGCCGUAUUGUUCAAUCGAUGUUUUAGACAACAAAAGCUCAAAGGGAUAGUCUGAAUUUAGACUUUUCCUUAUCAGAUUUCCAACCUGGUGCGUACUAAACAAUAGUCCUGUUUCAGGUUCCUAUAUUAUUUAGAAACUUCUAGAGUAAUAUGCAAAACUUCUCUUGUGAAAGUUUUGUUAGUCCAUUAAUUAUUAUUCUAAUGCAACAUGCUUGCAAAAAGAUCAUAGAUAAGAAGAAAGUUGGUUUUGAGCAUAGCUCGAAAUGAAUAAAUUGUUAGAGAUAAUAACAAUGGAUAACAAAGAAAUUGAUUUAGGAAUGCGUAUCUUGGAAAUGAAUGAAGUGUUCCAAGAAUAACAAAAAUAGUAUAGAGAUUAGGUGCCCCAGAUAUCGCAGCUUGAACUUCUCUGUACAAACUUUCUGAAGACCAUUCCGAGUUUAACAUAUGUUUAGGAGAUCAAUAGUACUUUGUCGAUGCCCCAAAAUGUCACCUACCCUUUCCUAUUAAUUCAGGUAUAGCAAGACCACUGCAUCCCCCAUUCUGAACAGUAUUUGAGCUACUCUGAAAAUUUCAAACGCCAUUUUGAUCAACAUUUGAACUGCCCUUUUUGGGUUUUCAACUCAAAUCCCCUUUGGUCUAAGGCGCCCUUUGCGGGUUUUCACCUUAACCUCUCCAUUUUUACUUUUUCAUUUUUCAUUUUCAUCUUUUCAUUUUUUUCACAUCACUUUUUUUUUGGACUCAAACUUCCCUUUGUGGGUUUUUACCUUGGUCCUCUCCUUCUUUAAGCGGAGUAUUUCCUGAUUGAAUCUGAGUUUACAGGACUCUGCAGGUUUAUCAUCCAUCUCGCUCAAAAUCAAAGCUCCUUUGGAAAAAAAACCUUCUCUAUAAUCAUAAGGUUCAUCCCAAUUUGGCAUCCGCUUCCCUCUAAGAUAUUUUUUUGUAGAGGGAGGAUCUUCAACAUUUGGUCACCCUCGUGGAAUUCUCCAGGAUGAACCUUUUGUUAUAAGCUCGCAUCAUUCAUUUCUGGUACAUCUGGCCGUGAUGAUUAGCUUUUAGUCUUCUUCCUUCUAUCAUGUUCAAUUGAUCACAUUACGAUUGGAUCUGUUCUGCUUCAUCCAACUUGCUCAGCCAAUACCCGGAGAGAAAGAACUUCAAUAGAAAAAAAACCAUGAUAAACUCAAUAGAGAGGCACUGCUCCGGUAAAGUUUUUACUGCAUCAUUCAUGAUAUUAACCUCGAACAUACUGCAAAUUUCUGAUAACGUGCUGUUGUUCAGAUUGCAAUGACAGUGCUUAACCUGGGCAUAUCCUGGUAUGACCAUGCGUAGAUAUCUUUGAAUUCUUGAAGUAACUCAACAAUGUAUUGUUUUGUCUUUGAAGUCAUGUCAAUUCCAAUCUUCACCAAGCUCACAACUUUUAAUGAUUCUUUGUGAGGUAGGAUCUGUCUAUCCUCUUAUUCUACCAUCCUCAAUAAGUCUGGAGAUAAGCUACAAUCCAUAUCAUCUUCAAAGUUGUUAGAUCCCUCUGAACACAUGUCUCACUCAAAAGGAGAUUCUGAGUCUGUAGCAGCGUCACUCAUGUCAUUGAUAUUUGGGGACCCAUGGCGGGUACCGAAGAAUAUACAAAAGAAUGUAUGAAUAAUAUGAAUGAAUGAAUGAAUAAUUUGGCAGAAAAAAUCUGAAAGAAUGAAAAAAAUCGUAAAGAAUGAAAGAACAUUUGCUCAAAGAUGAUUGCAAUAAUGUAUUUCAUUAAAAUAAUAAUGUUCAGACGUGAGCCUAUUUCACAAAGAAAUUCCUAUUGCUUCUAGGCUGAAAGCAACAAGUGUGUUCUGAACAUUACUCUAACAAACUCUAAAUACUAUAGGGUUUCUUCUGCGGUCCAAUUAUUUAGAACACUCCCAGGUUUACAAGGGCGAAUAUCUAACAAUGUUCCUUCUUCAGUUGUUUCUUCGUAUAUGUCACUGAUGUGAACACCCCAACACCUCUUCAUAUAUUGCAUCCACCCUAUUGUCAAUCAUGAUUGGGAAGCAGAUUUUUUGCACUUGAUGAGUCAUCAAGCUUGACAACACCCAUGUUGAUGAGUUUUUCAACUAGCUUUUUGAAGGUAAUGCAAUUGUCAAUUGAGUGCCCUGUAAUUCCCGCAUGGUAGUCACAUUGUGCGUUCGCAUCAUACCACUUGGGAUACGGAGGUUGUAGGGGUUUUAAGUAGGAAGGAGAAACAGCGUGUGUGUAACAGCCCGAUUCUGGGCCUAGUCGGAAUAGUGGUUUCGGGACCACAAAUCUGACGAGGGAAAAUAUGGUUAUUAUUAUAUUUUUAUGGUCUACAAUUUCACGGAAAAUUUUCGUAAAAAUUUCGUUCGAAAAUUUCGACGUUUGGGCACUCAAUUUAGUCAAAAGGACUAAAUUGUAAAUAGUGCAAAAGUUGAGUUCUACAUCUUAGAGGUGUCUACUUGUUAUAAAAUUUUAAAUUGGAAGUCUUUAUGUGGUAAUUAGACCAUUAGUUAGUUGAUGGACAAAAAUAGACAUAAGAAAUGGGUGAAAUAGAUUUUUUUAAAUGGGGGCAUUUUAGUCAUUUGGUUAUUAAAUAGAAUUAAAUGGGAAAAAGAUGGCAAAAUAUGUUCAUCUUCUUCAUGGUGAACGAAAUCAGCAAGGGGGAAGCCAUAUUUAGGGUUUUUAAGCUUUCAAGCUCCAUAGUAAGUGAUUCCAAGCCCCGUUUUUAAUGUUCUUCGUAUUUUUGGAAUCCCGGUAACUUGGUUUAGCUUAUUCUACCAUUAAUUCGUGUUAGGGUUCAUAUUUGGAAAAAUACCCAUAGGUGAAAUGUGUUUGUUUUGCUGUUUUAUGGUGGAAUAUGAAGCUAGAGAUUAUGUUAAACAACUUUUGCUAAGCAAUUUUAAGCGAAAACGAGUAAAUAGACAUAAUCGGUAAAAAUAAUUAAUAUUCAAAAGUGUGUGUUGGAGUGGGAAUUUGAUGUUGCCAUAGAAGGGAAAAAUGUUCAGCAUGUUAUAAAACUUAAGAAUAAGUGAUGAAGUUUAAUUUCCGAGCUUGGGGACAAAAAUGUAAUUAUGCAAAAGUUUGGGGGCAAAAUUGUAAUUUUUCAAAAAGUUGGGUGGUGGGUUAUUUUAAUAAAUGUGAAUAUUAAACGAGUUAAAUUUGCUAUUAUAGAUCAAGAAAGACGUGAAGAGUAUAUCAAACGGGGAAAAGAAAAGAUAGUGGAGUAAAGUGCAAAAUUACGAUAUUUUGCACCGAGGUAAGUAAACACGUGACUUAAUGUAUUAUUUUGAUAUUAUUUGAUAUAUGUUGAGAUUUAUUUGGAAUUAAAAUAAAUGUUUGGCAAUAUCCUAAAAAUGUUGUUAAAUCGGGAAAGGUGAUAAAGGGUUGCAAUAUAUGGUUUAUGGGUUGAACACUCGGAAUAAGCCGGAGUAUGUUGUAUAUAAAAGGGGUUGCUGUGUGCUGAUUCCCCGAUUCAUUGGUGGUGCUAGGUGCGUGAUCCACCAUACCUUUGAAAUGUGAAAGGGGGUUGCUAUGUGUUGAUUCCCCCGAGGGGUUGCUAUGUGCUGAUUCCUUGAUUUCAUUGGUGGUGCUAAGUGCGAUAUCCACCGUACCUUUGAAAUGUGAAAGGGGGUUGCUAUGUACUGAUUCCCCCGAGGGGUUGCUAAGUGCUGAUUCCCCCGAGGGGUUGCUAUGUGCUGAUUCCCCGAUUUCAUUGGUGGUGCUAAGUGCGAUAUCCACCGUACCUUUGAAAUGUGAAAGGGGGUUGCUAUGUGCUGAUUCCCCCGAAGGGUUGCUAAGUGCUGAUUCCCCGAUUUCAUUGGUGGUGCUAAGUGCGAUAUCCACCGUAUUUUUGAAAUGAAAAGGGGGUUGCUAUGUGCUGAUUCCCCCGAGGGGUUGCUAAGUGCUGAUUCCCCGAUUCAGUGGUGGUGCUAAGUGCGGGAUCCACCGAUAACGGUUAACAUUCCGAGUGUUCAACGAAAAAGUGUGGAAGGUGAAUAUUGCCAUAUGGUGGAAAAUUUUAUGGGGUAAAUAUUGAGUUGAAUACUAAAUCGACCCAUGUAUGAGAUGGGAGAAAAUAUCAAAAACGCAAAAGGAACGAUUUAAUUAUAAACUGUGUUGAACAACAGCAAUUGGGUAACUUUGAAAAAUCACCAUAAAUGGUGAAAAAUGAAUGGGAAGCUGAAUAAUAUAUGAAAUUGAAGUUGAAUGUAUCUAUUCUCAUAUGAAAGAAAUAGAAUAAGCAAAAGAGUUGUAUUUUUGGAGAUAUCUGAAUUUUACUGAAACAGGGCUGGAUUGAUUUCGAGAUCCCCUGUUCUAACUUUAUAAAAUUACCAAAAAUUGUACAAAAAUAAUUAUGGCAUGAAAUUUAUAUCCCUGGAAUCCUUAUUGAGUCUAUUUUUAUUAGAAACAAGCGAAACCAUUUUUCAAAUUUUUUACAGAGAGUUAAGUGAAUUUUAGUGAGGAAGGGUCAGAACCGUUGGGCAGUGAAACAGGGGAAGGUUUAAUGAAUAAACUGUACUAAUUGGCUGGGCCAAAAAUUCUGAAAUUUUUAUGGUGAAAUGGUAUAUGAGUCUAGUUUCAGGAAAAAUUUACGGAACUCAAUUUGGAGCCCUGUAGCUCCAGAUAAAAAUAAAUUAGAAAAUAUGACGCAGAAAAACAGCUUGCUGGAAAUUGCCUAAACAAUAAAGUUAUUCAUGAAUAAGUUUAUAUUUUGGUGUAGUUAUGGGAGUAAUUACUUAUUUAUCAUGUGUUUACUUACUAAGCUAUAUGCUUACUCGAUUUUAUUUUUCUCUUGAUUAUAGUGACUUCCAACAACUCGGAAAUUGGAACGAAGUCAGACAGUCAUCUACACUAUCCUUCACAUUUGGGGUAUUUUACUACUAGUGUUCCGAAAUUUUAUGGCAUGUAUAGACGACUUAUGUAA
rnacentral:lncRNA from 1 species